rnacentral:lncRNA from 1 species
CUAAACUCUAAACUCUAAACCCUAAACUCUAAACCGUAAACCCUAAAUCCUAAACCCUAAAUCCUAAACCCCAUCCCUUAACUCUAAACCCUAAACCCUAAACCCCACCCCUAAACUCUAAACUCUAAACUCUAAACCCUAAACUCUAAACCUUAAACCCUAAACCCUAAAUCCUAAACCUCACCCCUUAACUCUAAACCCUAAUGUCUAAAUUAAUUUACCAUUGGGAUAUAAAUGUAUAUUUAUCUCUUUUGAUAAAACAUUAAGUGCUAUUUUGGUCAUUUUUAUUUUUAAAGGUUAUAUUUAUGAUAAAAAUUUUUUUAUUGAUAUCUUAGUCAUUUUCUCUUUAUUUAAUUCAGUUUUCGAGCAGGAAUAUUUGUGAAUAAAUUUUUUCGGGCAGGGGCACUUGAGCCAUUGAUUCAUAAAAAUGUUGAAAACCAUCUUUCAAAAAAGUAAUUGGUGAUUAGAGUAAGAUCCAAAACGCCCAGCAAUGAUCCAUAUAAAGGCCCGCCCAACAAACGCCGACCAUAAUACUUGUGCUGACGUAAGACAGCGUCGUAAUAUCCAAGAUAAUUAAAAAUAAAAAUAAAUAGUAAAAUCCAAAGUUAGGGUGCCGUGUAGGAAACAAUCACUAAACCCUAAAUACAUUCUUUAAAUAUUCUCUUCCUUCAGGCUUUGAUCACCGAACCCUAGUUUCUCUCGAUCAUCGAUUCGCUUCUUCUUCUUUAGGUAUAUCUUCGAUUUCGCCUCUGUUCUAUCAAUUACAAAUUCUGGGUUCCAUCUCGAUUUCGCCAAAAAGGAUAAAGAUUUGUUUUUUUUUUGUUUUUUAAUUCUUUCGUAAUAAUCGCAGAUACGGAUCGAAUCGCCAUGGCAAAAAACUCCUUCAAGCUUUCUAACCCUCUGAGUAAGUUCCGUUGUUUCUCCUCUCUCUUGCUUGAUCGUUAAGCGUUUAUUGUUCUUGUUUGAUUCUAUCGGUUUAAUUGUUUAGAUUGUGGUAUGAUUCUGAUCUUUGUUAUAAUGAAACUCAAUUUUGGAUUAGCUUAUAUAACUUUUGAAUAUGGUUCUUUGAUCUUUGAUGCUCGUUUCUACGCUUGUGUUUGAUAUAAUCGAUUUCGAUUCUUAAGGAUUUUAUGUGAUUGGUUAACUUAUGGUUUUGUUUCUCUCAGAGGUGAGAAUGGCUGAAUCUACUCGUAUCAGAGAGAAGUACCAAGACAGAGUUCCUGUAUGUUUCCUUGAACUUUGACUAGUUCUUUCAAGUACAUAUUUGUUCUGAUUAGAAACUGAAUACAGGUGAUUGUGGAGAAAGCUGGACAGAGUGAUGUUCCUGACAUUGACAAGAAGAAGUGAGUACAUAUGUUACAUAUUGAUUAUUGAUUCUCAGCUUGAAAAGCUGUAUUGAUUCUCAAUCUUGUUUCUUGGUUGAUGAUGAGUUUAAAGCGAGUUCCUUAGUGAAGUUUAAACUUGAUUUUGUUUCUUCUCUUAGGUAUCUUGUGCCAGCUGAUCUAACCGUUGGGCAAUUUGUGUACGUUGUGCGCAAAAGAAUCAAGCUUGGAGCCGAGAAAGCAAUCUUUGUCUUUGUCAAGAACACGCUACCUCCAACUGGUAAUUAAAGAUUGAGACUUCUCAAUACUUUCUGAAUCUUCAACUUGUAUCCUUCCUGUCUUGACUUGGUCUCUCUUUUUCUUGUUCUUAUGAACAGCUUCAUUGAUGUCUGCAAUCUAUGAAGAACACAAAGACGAAGAUGGGUUUCUCUACAUGACAUACAGUGGAGAGAACACGUUUGGAUCUGCCUCUGCUAAUAUUGCUCUGCCAUGACACUUUGAUCUUCUCUGUGAUGCUCUUAUUGUACAUUCGUUUUCCCCUCUAGCUUCUUUCGCUCUGAUAAUGUAUUUUUCUUUCUGUGGUUUUAUCUUCUGAACCUCGUUCUCACUGGAUUUGAACAAAUAUUCUAUCUUCAGUUAAUUUGAGACUCUGUUUACAUUGCUUUUGUUUCCUCUGUUUCAUUCUUCUAUCUUGACUCACUAGUGCUCUCUAUGGUCAUCUCUGUUAGUUACACUUCAUGAUAACUGAGUAGAAAUCACAAAUGAUUUGAGAGAGAGUGGUAUGUACUCUGGUUCUGAUUCUUAAAAUCUCAACUUAUCCUUGUAAUUGAGGAUAAUUCGACAUCAAUGUGAAGAAACAAGAGCUUAAUUUCACUAAUAACCACAAGUUUACAUUGAAAAAUCUUCACUGUAGUACAAAAACUCGAGCUUUGUUGCAGAGUGGAUCUCUAAAGUUAUGAAGUGUUCUUCAAACACUAACUUCCAUCUGUUAUAGCAACCAGGAACGAGAUGAGAAGGUUCUUAUUUGAUCUCUCUUUCUCAUGGAAAUGUCGGACUGGUUUGGCUGUUGAUCUACCGGACAAGAUUAAAGAACGAGGUCAAAGAAUCAACGUCUCUCUUCUCAGAUGGAUACUUGAUCGGUCUUGAAGAGUUCUUGGGGAAGCCUUAGCAUCUUCCCACCACCAUCUCCCUUCUCUCUCGUGUUGUCCCGGUAAAACCGCUCUCGUGCACGGCUCACAGCCGAUGGAAACAUACCGCGUGCAAUGUGUUAACCGGAACGUCAUAGCCCUCAAGAAACUCCACACAUGGUUCCUUUCAACAUUAGCAACCGGAUUCCACUUCACCAAACUACCAGCUCCACCAUCCAAACCUUGGAAAACCGGAUCAACCUGAACAACGGGAAUCUCAGACCAUGUCCCCGGAGACUGAUCUUUCCUCUGACCAGUGAUCCCAGCUCUUAAACCCACGCCUCAAAGGUCUCACCUUUCGAACACGGCAACACUCUUGAUGACCAUCCUCAUAGAAAGAGAACAAACCCUUGUUCCUAACCAAACCUUGAACCUCGACAGAGUCAGGAAACAUAAACUCAAUCCUUAUCCCAUAGUGUCUCUCCACCUCAUCGAAAAACCGAUAAGUCUCAGGGUUCAAACUCCCUGUAUCCAAGCUAAACACACUGUAUGGUCUCCCAGUUAAACGUGCAUACUCAAUUAGAGCAACAUCUUCUGCAAACACAAGAAAACAAAAGAAUCAGAUUCAUCAUAAUCAUAUCAUGGGACCAAUCUGAAAAUGUAAUAUCUACCUAAUUGCGAUGGCAAUAUGGUUCCCGAAUGUCUCGAGGGCUUUAUCCAUAAUCUCAAGAGGUGAAGCAUUCUCUAGCAUCACGGAAUGGAGUUGCGAUACUGUAGAGUUCUUCCAAGACUACUACCAUGGUCUAUCUUUUAUUAGCCGGAGAAGAUAAUGUCAAAGUUUCAAUGGAUAAUUACAAAGAUGAGAAAAAUUGGAACAUUUUCGCAAAGAGAUAAUUUGGGCCCAAAGAUAAAAUAGGAAAAGGGCGACCGACUUUAAAGACAUAUAUAAGAGAGGCUAAAGUAAUGAGCACAAGGACGAUGCUUGAGACUCUAUAAUUCUCUGCACUUAGAAACCUUAGUCUUAUUUCUCAACAAGUUUGGUUUCUAUGACUGGCACUCGAUUACUAAACGAACUCGUCCAUGCAAUUUGAUCUCUUGUUCCACUCUCUUAAUUGAACUACGUUCGGCUUGAUCCUCGAAAGGGGUAUGUAGGCAGCCUUUCAUAAGGUCCAGUUCGAAAUCUUUUAAACCUUUUUUGUCUUUUCGUCUAUUGCUAAGCGAGUUGCGGCCACAUAGGUUUUUCUCCACAUAGGUAGUAAUACUAGCAAGCUUAGUCUCAUUUUACCGUUUGUGUUAUACGAUUUCCUUUGUGAUCCCGUUUCCAGACGAGCUUCAUGUAUGCUUUUGUCUCUGAAACGCUCAUACGCAAAUUCCAAAUAAAGAUCUAUUGUUUUCUAAACUCGUUUUGUUAUCUUUCAUAUUUUCAGCAUUUAUUUGGUCACUUGUUGUCGGCUCUCAUAAAGAAUCCGGACCUCAAGGAAAGUAGGGUUUUCUUUGCUCUCCUCCGUUAACAAAAAUCGACGAUGUGAAUUUUGGUUUCCACAUUUUGGCGCUAGAAGGGGAGGAAGGAUUACUCUUACUCACACAGCUGCAAAACGCUUGAUCAAAACUGUGUCUAAAGACAAACUCGCAGCUCGCAACAACACUGGUAAAACAAUUCUAGUAGUGACUGAUCCUAUGGCUAACGCUUACGCAAAUGCCGCAAUGCUCGAAAAACUCGAAAACCUAGUCGCGACUUUUCACCACAGGAAGAGCACGAAUACAAGCUCGUGAUUUCUAUGUCUAAACAGAAAGGAAAAUGAUAAAAUCUCUCGAACUCCGCAAGAACUUGUCUCAUUACCGAGUCAGAGAAAUCUCAACAAGUAGGGAUUUGACCGAAAACAGUUUUCCGUGAUUUUCUCGGAAAAAUAAACAUGUUCUCCUGAAAACCCUGGAGAAACCCUUGAUUCCUCGCGGAAUAGAAGCACAAAAAAUCGGCUUGCCAAUUCCCCACUGCUGUGAUUCUUCCGAAUAACUUUCAGAUGAACAAAGUUGAUUUUUUUUGAAUCGCUCGAAACCUAAAACAGUUGACGAAGACUAAACUAAGAAAAAGGGGAAUGUAUCCCUCACUACAAAAACGUUUUCUGAAACCUAAGAUUUCGUAAAAAUUCUAGCGUCGAUUCUAUAGUAACAUAUUCAGAGAAUUCAAGAUAAUUGUCACCUAAGCUUACUUCACCUAAGCUCCCUCGGAUCAAUCCUAUGGAAACCAGAAAAUUUCUGAUUGAGUUUAGUAGUGAUAAUUAAGCUCCUAACAGCGAGUGUUUCUGAUCCAGGAACUAAAUUUGCGGAACAGCCGCAAAACAUGAGUUUUCCGGCUCUCCUACAGCCAAACUCGACGAAAAAAAGGGAAAACCAGUAUCGUCGGGAAGCUACCGAGCUGCAACUCCUGCUUAGCAAACUCCUUCUGCUCACCAUCAGCUCUGAACUUGGCAACCUUAACCCCACUUCCAGCCAGUUUAUCAGCCAGUUCAUCAUACGAUGCUUCCAUGGCUUGACAAAACGGACACCACGGAGCAUAAAGCACAACGAUCCAAGGCUCUUUACGGUUCUCCAACUUCACCAAAUUAUCAAUCCCUUGCCUGCUCAGAGCCACAAGAUUCUCACUCUUAAAGAUAUCCUCAACAAUGGGUUUUGACUCUCCGUUUACAUUAGCAUUCUCCUUGAUGUUCCCUUUGUGAAGUCCACACUCUUUCGCCUUAGCAUCUUCCCACCACCAUCUCCCUUCUCUCUCGUGUUGUCCCGGUAAAACCGCUCUCGUGCACGGCUCACAGCCGAUGGAAACAUACCGCGUGCAAUGUGUUAACCGGAACGUCCAUAGCCCUCAAGAAACUCCACACAUGGUUCCUUUCAACAUUAGCAACCGGAUUCCACUUCACCAAACUACCAGCUCCACCAUCCAAACCUUGGAAAACCGGAUCAACCUGAACAACGGGAAUCUCAGACCAUGUCCCCGGAGACUGAUCUUUCCUCUGACCAGUGAUCCCAGCUCUUAAACCCACGCCUCAAAGGUCUCACCUUUCGAACACGGCAACACUCUUGAUGACCAUCCUCAUAGAAAGAGAACAAACCCUUGUUCCUAACCAAACCUUGAACCUCGACAGAGUCAGGAAACAUAAACUCAAUCCUUAUCCCAUAGUGUCUCUCCACCUCAUCGAAAAACCGAUAAGUCUCAGGGUUCAAACUCCCUGUAUCCAAGCUAAACACACUGUAUGGUCUCCCAGUUAAACGUGCAUACUCAAUUAGAGCAACAUCUUCUGCAAACACAAGAAAACAAAAGAAUCAGAUUCGUCCUCCUUUGCGUUUUCUUUUGAAUCCUCAUCGUAACGCUUUUUGUUUCGAAAAUGUAAUAUCUACCUAAUUGCGAUGGCAAUAUGGUUCCCGAAUGUCUCGAGGGCUUUAUCCAUAAUCUCAAGAGGUGAAGCAUUCUCUAGCAUCACGGAAUGGAGUUGCGAUACUGUAGAGUUCUUCCAUGACUACUAUGAUGGUCUAUCUUUUAUUUGCAGGAGAAAAUAAUGUCAAGUUUAGAUGGAUAAUUACAAAGAUGAGGAAAAUUUGAACAUUUCCGCAAAGAGAUAAACUUGGGCCCAAAUAUAAAUGAGGAAAAGGGCGACCGACCUUAAAGACAUAUAUAAGAGGGGCUAAAGCAAUGAGCACAAGGACGAUGCUUUGAGACUCUAUAACUCUCCGUACCUAGAAACCUUAGGCUUAUUUCUUGACAAGUUUGGUUUCUAUGACUGACACUCGAUUACUAAACGAACUCGCCCAUGCAGUUCGAUUUCUUGUUCCACUCUCUUAAUUGAACUACGUUCGGCUUGAUCCUCGAAAGAGGUACGUAGGCAGCCUUUCAUAAGGUCCAGUUCGAAAUCUUUUAAACCUUUUUUCGUCUUUUUCGUCUAUUGCUAAGAGAGUUGCGGCCACAUAGGUUUUUCUCCACAUAGGUAGUAAUGCUAGCAAGCUUAGUCUCGUUUUACUGUUUGUGUUAUACAAUUUCCUUUGUAAUCCCGUUUCCAGACAAGCUUCAUGUAUGCUUUUGUCUUUGGAACGCUCAUACGCAAAUUCCAAAUAAAGAUCUAUUGUUUUCUAAAUUCUUUUUGUUAUCUUUCAUAUUUUCAGCAUAUAUUUGGUCACUUGUCGUCGGCUCUCACAAAAAAUCCGGACCUAAAGGAAAGUAGGGUUUUCUUUGCUUUCUUCAACAAAAAUCGACGGUGUGAAUUUCGGUUCCCACAGUUUGGCGCUAGAAGGAGGGGGGGGGGACGAUUACUCUUACUCACACAACCGCAAAACGCUUGAUCAAAACAGUGUCUAAAGACAAAUUCGCAGCUCGCAACAACACUGGUAAAACAAUUCUAGCAGUGACUGAUCCUAUGGCCAACGCUUACGCAAACGCCGCAAUGCUCGAAAAACUCGAAAACCUAGUUUUUCGCCACAGGAAGAGCACGAAUACGAGCUAGCGAUUUCUAUGUCUAAACAGAAAGGGAAAUGAUAAAAUCUCUCAAACUCCGCAAGAACUUGUCUCAUUACCGAGUCAGAGAAAUCUCAACAAGUAGGGAUUCGACCGAAAAACGUUUUCCGAGAUUUUCUCAGAAAAAUAAACAUGUUCUCCUCAAAACCCUGGAGAAACCCUAGAUUACUCGUGGAAUAGAAGCACAUAAAAUCGGGUUGCCAAUUCCCCACUGCUGUGAUUCUUCCGAAUAACUUUCACAAAAACAAAGUUGAUAUCUUUUGAAUCGCUCGAAACCUAAAACGGUUGACGAAGACUAAACUAAGCAAACCGGGAAUGUAUCCCUCACUGCUAAAACGUUUUCUGAAACCUAAGAUUUCGUAAAAAUUCAAGCGUCGAUUCUAUAGUAACAUAUUCAGAGAAUUCAAGAUAAUUGUCACCUAACCUUACUUCGGAAAAACUACUCAAAACUCCCUCGGAUCAAUCCUGUGGAAACCAGAAAAUUUCUGAUUGAGUUUAGUAGUGAUAAUUAAGCUCCUAACAGAGAGAGUUUCUGAUCCAGGAACUAAAUUUUGCAGAACAGCCGCAAAACAUGAGUUUUCCGGCUCUCCUACAGCCAAAAUCGACGAACACUUUACAGAACAAAUUUCGUAAAUUUAAGCUCGACAACAUAUUCAAAACAACUUUCAUAAGAUUAAGCUCGGCAAUAUUCUAUGAAAUAUCAUUCGUAAAGUUAAACGAGACACUAUUUCACGAUACAAUCUUCAAAGAGUAGAUUUGACAACAUUUGCGAAACGCCUCUCGUAAAUAAAACUCAAAAAAAAAAACUCGACAACCUUCAAGAAGUCAAACAAGAUCGAACAAUCAACGGAAACACGAAGACAAUAAGGGCUAGGGCAGGACCAGUUCGCUCACAGCUUGACGAACUGAGCACCCCACCCAAACAACAUCGUAUCCAUUGUUUCUUUUUCCCAAUCGCCAAAUUCAGCCUUAUUCGAUUCAUCACCUACUUCCCCCCACUUUGUUUCAACAAUUUCGUUAAAUUCCUUUUGUACAAAAAACGCAAUCCAGUUUUACAAAAAUUGCCACGUUGAGUCAAAAACAUCUAUUCAUAAAUGUUUGAUAGAAUUUUCGAUGAUAUACAAAGCACACUUGGUUAAUUUAGUAAACUCAGCGGUCAGAAGACACAAAGAGAAGGAGAAUGAAGAAGAUGCAAACCUUGAUCUCCGAUAAGACUAAGGUCAGAAGACACGAAGAGAAGGAGAAUGAAGAAGAGGCAAACCCGAAUCUCUGAUAAGACUAAGGUAUGUCCGACAUAGAAAAUAUUAUCAGACUUGGAAUUUUUCGUAGAAAAGGAAUCAAAAUGUCUUAGAAACUGCCGUAAACUUUAGGGAACUUAGAAUCUAGGUGGAUAGUCUAGCAAGCGAAAUCUUAGGCGGUGUUUUCCAGUCUUGUACUAUUGUUCCUUAACUGUCAAGUCAGAACUUACAAACUGAUCUAAUCUCUCGUACAACCGUGAAACGAUCGCCACACGUUCGAGCGUAGUCAUCUCAUAAUAAUCAUUAAACCCUAAACCUAAAUGCUAAAGCUCUUAACGUCCUAAACAGACUUAGCCAUCUCGUAGAGAUGACUCUCGUACAUCCGACACACGGAUAAUAGCGCUAUAAAAUAAACCACAAAUUUUUGGUCAGCACAUCCAGGAGGCUUAAAAAUUGUCCUUGGAAGAUUUGGCUAGUAAUGUGGAAAGCUGGGACUUGCUGGAAAACAAGUCUCCAUCUCUUCUCUGCGCUUGUUGAACCAUGUACCAGUGAAGUCUCGCAUUGCUUCAUCUCCUCUGCGUCAUUUGUCCUUCAUUGUUGCAGUUACAUUCUCUAUCUUCUGCAAUCUUUCUCCGAGACUCUCAAGUUGGAACUGAUUCCUGAUGAGUGUGGCGUAUGUGUCGUCUGAGAUCUCCUCUCCAUGGUUGUUUGUAUCAGACAUGUCUGAUUUUAUCUUUGGUACUAGCCUCCCUCGGGUUGCUGAUGUAGCUUCGUCGGUCGAUAUGUUGAUGCGUCUGUCGAUCGAUGUUGAUGCCUCUGGUCGACGAGCGAUGUAUCUCUGAAUCUCUACUAACUCCCUAUGUAUUGCUUCCAUCUGAGAAGUUAAAGAACUCAUUGUAAGGUCCAAUGGGAAGUAGAUGUCAUCACAUCUCCUAUCAAGCCUCUCUUCUGCUGAUUCCAGAGUUCUGUAGAUCUCUUCUACCAACUGAUCAAUCUCUGCUCUGGUGUAGGAAUCUGGUUGAGACUUCAUCGGAUUUGAAUGUGGUGGGUUGUCGUCGAUCGAUAUUGAGAGCUUUCUUUCGAUCGAUGCUGGUGCAGUUGCUUCGGCCGCACGCUCUGUUUGGAUUUUGGCUAUGUCUUGCUUCGUCUCCUCCAUGCAUGUAGUCAACCAACUGAUGCUAUCAUUCAGUGGGUAGUAGACACCAUCAAGCUUCAUCUGGAAGUCACCUUCAUUCUUUUCUUGGGCUCCACAGACUCCAUAAAACAUCUCAUUGAUCUCAUCCUUGGUGUAGAUCUCUGGCACUAGCUUGGUCUGUGUGAAUGACCUAGCAUGCUCUGGAAGACAUAGGUAGCUGUGCUCAUCCAUUGAGGCUCCUUCCAGAAGACUUCUGAUAUCAUCAUUGGAUACUCUGAUGAUGUGCCCACCUAUAUCUCUGGCAUGUCCAUAAUCAUCUCUGUAGACUCCAUAUUCAUCCUUCUCCUCCCAGUGGAAUCUCCUUGUGCCAUCACGGUCAUAGGCUCUUUUUCCAAACUUUGGGCGUCUGUCGAUCGAUGAUGGGUUGUCAACGUCGAUCGACGGUCGAGUAUGAUGUCGAUACUUCUAAUUGGAACGAUUGUCUCCGCCACCAGCUUCUGCUUGAUGUUGAUCUACUUUAUCACGUUCUCGCAUGUUUAGAAGUUUCUCUGUAGUGAAACCCUCAUGAAGCUCGUUUGCGCGUGGUUGAGAUAUUGCUGUCUCUACUGCAAAGCUCUCGUGACAGUGAUCAUCUGCCCAACUUCUAAUUGAGUAAUCUCCUUCUCGUACACGGUCGACUCCAGUGUCGAUCGAUGGGUAGUAAGCAAUGUCGGUCGAUGCGCGUUUGCAACUUGUCUGAUGAAGAUGAGCGUCGAUCGAUGUUGGGAAGCAUCUGUCGAUCGACGUCGCAUUCCUUUUCCAAGAGGAAUGGUGGAGAAGUCUAUCUUCCUCAGAAAUAAUGGCUCUGUACUCUAUAGCUCGUUCCUCCUCAUGAUCUUCAUCAUACUCCUCUGUCUGCAGGGUAGUAGUGUGCAUCGCCAUGGUGGGAUUGUAGUAGUCAUUCUCCCAAUCGCCUGGACUACUGUCGAUCGAUUCUUCCUUAUGAAUGUCGAUUGAUUUUUGAUUGGCACUGUCGAUCGAUGUGGCAGUGUGAGUUUCGAUCGACGCUGAAUAUUCUAUCUCAUACUCAGCUCCACAGUGGCAUGCUGCGAUGAGUUCUAGAUCAUCAUUUCUUCUGGAGGACGUCUGUGGCUUCAUGACUGGAAUAGGAUUUUAGUGGACAUGUGGAUCUAUGAGCGUCAGGCACAACUGGUUGGUUUGCAUGUUGCACACUGCUCCUACUGUUGACAAGAAGGCUAUCCCAAGCAAUAGAGAAGAGUUCCAGUUUAGCUUGAUAUCCAAGACAUGAAAAUCAACAGGAACUAGGGCAUUACCAAUCUGCACCUCAAGGUCUCUUACAAUUCCUCAUGAGCUUCUCUGAGAACUGUGGGAACCGAAAUUCGCACUGUCUAUUUCCGUUUAAAUAAGGAAAGUAGGAGAAUCCUAAUUUCCCAGAGGUCCCAGAUAUCUGCUAAUACCACACGCCAAGCAAUCAGAACACGAAAAAAAGACGAGAAAAUAUAAGAAAUCGAAAAGAGAGCAAAGUAGAUCUUAUUCCGAAUUCGUGUUUGAGCGUUACAACAAGGUAAGAGUCUGGGCUACGAGAGCUGUCGGCGAGAUCCCAAGUUCUAAAACCAUAAAGCUGCUAAACCUAAUUGAGUCGCAGCUCGAAUAACAAAAACGGAAAAUUGCCUAAAUUGCUCUAAGUGCUAAAUUUGCCGUGUAUCGCAAAUCCUUCUUUGCCUCUCACCUAGGACUCCUUAUAUACUUGCUCCUAGGUCGGUUGGCACCUUUCCUCUUCUGCCCCUAAGCCGUCAUAACUCAAAAAUGGAGAUAUUCCAAUUUUCCCAUCUUCGUGAUUAUCUUUGGAAACUUCACAUUUAUCCGCGGAAAUUUGACAUUUAUCUUGCCAUACGAACCAAGCAUAAACCGUCAUAAGGCUUAUGGAUUUUCGGUUAAGAAAUCGUAAGUGGGCUUCGAGUUGCGUUUUAGGUCUCUUUGGAACGUCUUUGACUCGAAAGGUUUAUUACGGUUUCUACGAUAAAAACAAACUUCCCGUGGUUUUUAUCAUAACAAAAUUCUACGAUAAAAACAAACUUCCCUAAGCCAUCAUAGCUUAAAAAUGGAGAUAUUCCAAUUUUCCGAUCUUCGUGAUUAUCUUCGGAAACUUCACAUUUAUCCGCGGAAACUUGACAUUUAUCUUGCCUUACGAACCAAGCAUAAACCGUCAUAAGGCUUAUGGGUUUUCGGUUAAGAAAUCGUAAGUGGGCUUCGAGUUGCGUUUUAGGUCUCUUUGGGCCGUCUUUGACUCGAAACGUUUAUUACGGUUUCUACGAUAAAAACAAACUUCCCGUGGUUUUUAUCAUAAAGUUUGACUGAUGACUUCGAGUGAUGAGAAACAAAGAAUGGUUUAGCCAUGGCCUACGAGAGAUAACAUUAAAGAGUAGACGAGAAUGCAUGGAUUCGUGUCGUAUCGAUGUUUUGGGAAAGUUCGGUCGCUACGUAGCGACCGAGCCGUGUGCGUGGUCCGAUGGCCAUACUUGAGCUUGUCCGUGGCCGAUUUGGAUACGUGUCCAUUGACUUUCAGACAUUGAUUCCGUCGUGACCCAUUUUGACCCCAACAGUUAGUCCCCCAGCUCGUUAGAACUAUGAGCUUCUAGCGUGAGGUUCUAGCGAGUGGCUUGGCGAGUUAGGCAAGUUAGGCGGAAUUAAUGGUUGAAAGGUCCGUGGUAAGUGUUCUUCUCACUCUUCUAAGAGUGGAACGCGAUAAAAUUGGGGCUGCACCUUAUGACGGCUGCCUACGUACCCUUGUUGAAGGGAUCAAGCCUUUUGUAGUUCAUCUUGGAGUUAAGGUUCUUAUGACAUGUUUUCCGGCGAGACCUUUACGGUCUAGUUUAUAUGUAGAGGUUAUCAGGCAUGCUGCUGCCGAUGGCAUUUUAUAUGGGUGUAGAGGGAAGACUACGAGUUGUCAUCUCGUAAUCUAACUCUGUAUGAACUGCUAUAUCUGUGAUAUGUUUCGAGAGUUUUCUGCAGUGUGUAAACUCGCGGGAUUUCUGAAGACGCUCGAAUAUUGGCCUAGAGACAAAUUUUGGGAUCUCGUAUCCGGGUGUUUGAUACUAUGCCUAGAGAUGUUAGAGACCAGUGUGCUGGGUUUAGGGCAAGACCUAGGUCUAAUCACGACUUUAGGGGGUGCGAUGACUACUUCGACUUACGUUUCCCGUAUCGUUUUCGACCUGAUUCCAUCCCGCUUUAAAGUCCGCGAUAUGUUCUUGGCUUACGUGACUUGUAUGGUAGGAAUCGAUUAAUAAAAUAAGAAAUCGAAAAAGAGAGCAAGAUAGUUCUUAUUCCGAAUCUGCGUUUGAGCGUUUACAACAAGGUAAGUGCCUGGGCUACGAGAGCUGUCGGCGGGAUUCCUAGUUCUAAAACCCUAAGACGGCAAAAACAUAUUUGAGUCGCAGCUCGAAUAACAUGCAAGGGUUUAGUCAUAACCCUGCGUUUGAGAAACAUUCUGGUUUGUCUAUGGAUGUUCGCAGCCAAAAUUAUUGUACCUGUUUGGAUGCUAAUAAUUUGAUUUGCGAUCGAGGAAUUAGGACCGAGGGGUCGCGUAAAUUUGUCCCUGGAAGAAGUGUUUUCCUUCGUAGUGCUUUGUGAGGUGUUGGCUUUUCGAGAUCUAUUUCGUGUACAUUUGAUGAUGUUUCGUAUAGCUCUAGGAGCUCUUUUACGAGUUUUCCUUACAUGCCGCAUUUUACGGGUAAAACGUAGCGGGAUUUAAAGUUAUCGAUGGAACGUAUUGAACUCGGUCUAUUGUCAAUAAGUUUAGGUUUUCUGUUAACCGUUUGGUUGUUAGGACUGAGUUUUGUUACGAAGAAUUUAUCAUAUAAUUUCCGACGGUGGGCUAUACAAUAAUUAUUCUCUUAAUAAUCACACGACGUUUUUAGACAAAUCGUAGAUUGUUGUUUAGCCGUUAAGUGAUGGAGCGAUGGUUUCUCAAAUUGUUUGGCUUGGUGUAAAGGAUGUGUUCACUCAGAUCGCCAAGGACGUUGUAGGUCAAGGAUUAGACCAUGGUACUUUCGUGUUAAAAUUAAGGUCAUAUUAGUUUACGAUCGUCCUUAAAGGGGAUGCCAAAUUCUGGUUUGGACCUAUACUGGAAGGCGUAAUUGACCGAGGGCCAAAGAGCGCUUGUCGAGAUUGAUAGGCCAAGUUUGCCAGAGUUAUUCGUGUUAAGAUGGCUGAUAGUCAUAGAAAACGAUUCUAUGCUUUAGGUUUCAGUUAUACGAUGAAUGUUUCGUAUAAUAUUCCCUAUAGUCUUAUGAAAAUUGAUUCGUUUUUGUCUGAGGAAGACGUAGCCUAAGAGGUUUGAUACAGAACCAAUGCGGAGUCAGUUGCGGGAUGAUUGCCUGCUCGGAUGUGACCGAGGUGAACGAAACGCAGAAGCCAGUGAGCCGCAUCGCUAAAAUAUGAGAUCUAUUAAAUCGUAAUGCGAAGAGAUCUCUCUAUAGAUUGGUCAUCCAAAGUCAAAUUUUAAAGCUUUGUGUCUGCUAUACAAAAUAUACUUCUUCGUAAAACCAAUUAUGUUACUUUCAAAAGUUUCUUCGUAAGACUUGGUCUGAUUGUACGAAAGAUUUUUCGUGUAAGUAAUGGGGACCGGUUUUACGAAGAUUGUAAAUCGGUGAUAUGUAUACACAUGUCGUUGUUUCUGCGGGUUUUACGAGAAACGUUUCUGCUGUGAUAUCGAUCUUAGGUGAAAGUUGCUUGGAGUUACUCAUGGAGUGUUACCAAAGUUUAUUUCACUACGAUCUAGUCGCAUAACGUUUUUCAUUGGUUUUUUGAGAGGAUUCUCAUGACACAUUCGUUUCUGGAAUGAAUUGGUCAACCAGCGGUAGAUCUAGCCAACGAUCGGGAAGAAAGUGAUCCUCUUAAUGUGCACAAUGCUACAUCUAUUCGUCGCAAAUGUUUUCGAUGCUUUUCCGUGACUCACUUGGUACAAUGGAAACUGAAAGAAAUUCUUUGGUGCUUGAAGAUUUCUCGUAGAAAUUUUUAAACGAAACUGGCUUUAUAAAGCCGGAAAGGGUUUCAAGACUUUGGCUAAUCGUCGAGUUUUCAGAUUAAUAUUGGUACAGGUUUUCUAUACGCAUGAUUGCGACAAGAAAUGCUGUAUAGUCUUUGAGAUUAUGUUCAUGAUCGUCUGGAUAUGUUGCUAGCGUUUAGACGAAUUUUAGAUUUAUGUUUGCCUACUUGGGACGAUUUGCUUUGACGAAAGCGUUUUCUUGACGAUUUGCAAAAGUUUUUGAAGUUUGGGAGUAUACGAGUAUAAUAUACGUACCUACUCCCCCAUUUUUUACGAAAGAAAACGGUUGAACCGAUACUUUGAAGGGUUGUGUACGUUUAUUCUUCCGAGGUCUGGAAUGAUCGAUAAUCCGGGACGAUUUAAAGACGACGCUGGGUCUGUGAUUUGGUGGUUUCUAGGUUGACGACUUGGAAUGUGUCGGUUUUAAGAAAAUCGCUAGAAACGAAUCGGUUUUAAGACGACGUUCGUGUCUCUAGUUUUUUCUCUCUUUAGGAAGCGAGCUGGAUAUGCGUGGCGAUCGUUUCUCGAUUUUCAGAGAGUUUAGAUGAGUUUGCAAGAUCUGGCUGAACAGUGAUAGAACGAUAUAUCGAGAUAGGAAAAAUUGCCUAAGACUUAGUCCGCUAUACUAUCUGAUACGCCCUAAAAUAGGGAAGGAUCACUCGACUUCCUACUGUUGACAAGAAGGCUAUCCCAAGCAAUAGAGAAGAGUUCCAGUUUAGCUUGAUAUCCAAGACAUGAAAAUCAACAGGAACUAGGGCAUUACCAAUCUGCACCUCAAGGUCUCUUACAAUUCCUCAUGAGCUUCUCUGAGAACUGUGGGAACCGAAAUUCGCACUGUCUAUUUCCGUUUAAAUAAGGAAAGUAGGAGAAUCCUAAUUUCCCAGAGGUCCCAGAUAUCUGCUAAUACCACACGCCAAGCAAUCAGAACACGAAAAAAAGACGAGAAAAUAUAAGAAAUCGAAAAGAGAGCAAAGUAGAUCUUAUUCCGAAUUCGUGUUUGAGCGUUACAACAAGGUAAGAGUCUGGGCUACGAGAGCUGUCGGCGAGAUCCCAAGUUCUAAAACCAUAAAGCUGCUAAACCUAAUUGAGUCGCAGCUCGAAUAACAAAAACGGAAAAUUGCCUAAAUUGCUCUAAGUGCUAAAUUUGCCGUGUAUCGCAAAUCCUUCUUUGCCUCUCACCUAGGACUCCUUAUAUACUUGCUCCUAGGUCGGUUGGCACCUUUCCUCUUCUGCCCCUAAGCCGUCAUAACUCAAAAAUGGAGAUAUUCCAAUUUUCCCAUCUUCGUGAUUAUCUUUGGAAACUUCACAUUUAUCCGCGGAAAUUUGACAUUUAUCUUGCCAUACGAACCAAGCAUAAACCGUCAUAAGGCUUAUGGAUUUUCGGUUAAGAAAUCGUAAGUGGGCUUCGAGUUGCGUUUUAGGUCUCUUUGGAACGUCUUUGACUCGAAAGGUUUAUUACGGUUUCUACGAUAAAAACAAACUUCCCGUGGUUUUUAUCAUAACAAAAUUCUACGAUAAAAACAAACUUCCCUAAGCCAUCAUAGCUUAAAAAUGGAGAUAUUCCAAUUUUCCCAUCUUCGUGAUUAUCUUCGGAAACUUCACAUUUAUCCGCGGAAAUUUGACAUUUAUCUUGCCUUACGAACCAAGCAUAAACCGUCAUAAGGCUUAUGGGUUUUCGGUUAAGAAAUCGUAAGUGGGCUUCGAGUUGCGUUUUAGGUCUCUUUGGGCCGUCUUUGACUCGAAACGUUUAUUACGGUUUCUACGAUAAAAACAAACUUCCCGUGGUUUUUAUCAUAAAGUUUGACUGAUGACUUCGAGUGAUGAGAAACAAAGAAUGGUUUAGCCAUGGCCUACGAGAGAUAACAUUAAAGAGUAGACGAGAAUGCAUGGAUUCGUGUCGUAUCGAUGUUUUGGGAAAGUUCGGUCGCUACGUAGCGACCGAGCCGUGUGCGUGGUCCGAUGGCCAUACUUGAGCUUGUCCGUGGCCGAUUUGGAUACGUGUCCAUUGACUUUCAGACAUUGAUUCCGUCGUGACCCAUUUUGACCCCAACAGUUAGUCCCCCAGCUCGUUAGAACUAUGAGCUUCUAGCGUGAGGUUCUAGCGAGUGGCUUGGCGAGUUAGGCAAGUUAGGCGGAAUUAAUGGUUGAAAGGUCCGUGGUAAGUGUUCUUCUCACUCUUCUAAGAGUGGAACGCGAUAAAAUUGGGGCUGCACCUUAUGACGGCUGCCUACGUACCCUUGUUGAAGGGAUCAAGCCUUUUGUAGUUCAUCUUGGAGUUAAGGUUCUUAUGACAUGUUUUCCGGCGAGACCUUUACGGUCUAGUUUAUAUGUAGAGGUUAUCAGGCAUGCUGCUGCCGAUGGCAUUUUAUAUGGGUGUAGAGGGAAGACUACGAGUUGUCAUCUCGUAAUCUAACUCUGUAUGAACUGCUAUAUCUGUGAUAUGUUUCGAGAGUUUUCUGCAGUGUGUAAACUCGCGGGAUUUCUGAAGACGCUCGAAUAUUGGCCUAGAGACAAAUUUUGGGAUCUCGUAUCCGGGUGUUUGAUACUAUGCCUAGAGAUGUUAGAGACCAGUGUGCUGGGUUUAGGGCAAGACCUAGGUCUAAUCACGACUUUAGGGGGUGCGAUGACUACUUCGACUUACGUUUCCCGUAUCGUUUUCGACCUGAUUCCAUCCCGCUUUAAAGUCCGCGAUAUGUUCUUGGCUUACGUGACUUGUAUGGUAGGAAUCGAGCAUCCCUUCGAGGACAAUUUUUAAGUCUCCCGAAAGUGCUGACCAAAAUUUUGGAUUAUUUUUUAUAUAGCGCUAUUACCCUUGUGUCGGGUGUUCGAGAGCUAUCUCUACGAGAUGGCUUUGUCUGUUUAGGACGUUAAGAGUUUGUUGUGAUCAGAAACAAACUUAUCAGUAGAUAUUACCGUUUUUGAGUCUUCGCGAAUAAUACAUGUUUGAGAAGAUGUUAGUAUGACUGUUUGGUCUUCCAAGAAGGUGCCUUUAUCGAGGAAGGUAAUUUUGUCGAAAAAUUGUUCUUUAGGCGUCUGCGACGUCUCGCAAUGCUGAAGAUUGAUUUUUCUUUCGUAUGCCGCGCAAUCGUUCUUGGAAUGUUCGCGGGCUUGAAGAUGUUUCGUGAUAUUGCAAGGGUUUAGUCAUAACCCUGCGUUUGAGAAACAUUCUGGUUUGUCUAUGGAUGUUCGCAGCCAAAAUUAUUGUACCUGUUUGGAUGCUAAUAAUUUGAUUUGCGAUCGAGGAAUUAGGACCGAGGGGUCGCGUAAAUUUGUCCCUGGAAGAAGUGUUUUCCUUCGUAGUGCUUUGUGAGGUGUUGGCUUUUCGAGAUCUAUUUCGUGUACAUUUGAUGAUGUUUCGUAUAGCUCUAGGAGCUCUUUUACGAGUUUUCCUUACAUGCCGCAUUUUACGGGUAAAACGUAGCGGGAUUUAAAGUUAUCGAUGGAACGUAUUGAACUCGGUCUAUUGUCAAUAAGUUUAGGUUUUCUGUUAACCGUUUGGUUGUUAGGACUGAGUUUUGUUACGAAGAAUUUAUCAUAUAAUUUCCGACGGUGGGCUAUACAAUAAUUAUUCUCUUAAUAAUCACACGACGUUUUUAGACAAAUCGUAGAUUGUUGUUUAGCCGUUAAGUGAUGGAGCGAUGGUUUCUCAAAUUGUUUGGCUUGGUGUAAAGGAUGUGUUCACUCAGAUCGCCAAGGACGUUGUAGGUCAAGGAUUAGACCAUGGUACUUUCGUGUUAAAAUUAAGGUCAUAUUAGUUUACGAUCGUCCUUAAAGGGGAUGCCAAAUUCUGGUUUGGACCUAUACUGGAAGGCGUAAUUGACCGAGGGCCAAAGAGCGCUUGUCGAGAUUGAUAGGCCAAGUUUGCCAGAGUUAUUCGUGUUAAGAUGGCUGAUAGUCAUAGAAAACGAUUCUAUGCUUUAGGUUUCAGUUAUACGAUGAAUGUUUCGUAUAAUAUUCCCUAUAGUCUUAUGAAAAUUGAUUCGUUUUUGUCUGAGGAAGACAGCUCAUGAACUCGCGGAGGGGUUCGUCUUCCCUCUGGGACAGACUCCAGAGAUCGACAUCGGAAGUUUCUCUAUCUAUGAACAUAGAGUAUUGCUUGGGAAAUUCCGAUGCGAGCUGUCGAAAACUUCCGAUAGAGUUUCGCUUAAGGCGUGCGCACCAUUCGAGGGCUGCUCCUUCUAGAUUCUCGACGAACAGGCGGCAGUAGCCGGCGUCUCUUUCGCCGUCCUUCAGCCUCGCUCUUCCCAACCUGAUGUGGAAAGCCUGAAGGUGUGCUCUCGGAUCGGUCGUGCCAUCAUAUUUCGGUACUUUGAUUUUUCCUAGAUCGGAUACCCUUUGCCUUGUGGAGGGCAUCCUGGAUCGUCCGCGGUUUGUCGAGGGAUAUCCAUUUUUGGAAUUUCGACUUGUACCAGAGGGCCUUUCUGAGUGCAUCGAUGGCCACCUUGUCGCUUAUCCCGCUGACCCUGGACAUUACCAACUUGAAUCGGCUGAUGAACUCGCGGAGGGGUUCGUCUUCCCUCUGGGACAGACUCCAGAGAUCGACAUCGNNNNNNNNNNNNNNNNNNNNNNNNNNNNNNNNNNNNNNNNNNNNNNNNNNNNNNNNNNNNNNNNNNNNNNNNNNNNNNNNNNNNNNNNNNNNNNNNNNNNNNNNNNNNNNNNNNNNNNNNNNNNNNNNNNNNNNNNNNNNNNNNNNNNNNNNNNNNNNNNNNNNNNNNNNNNNNNNNNNNNNNNNNNNNNNNNNNNNNNNNNNNNNNNNNNNNNNNNNNNNNNNNNNNNNNNNNNNNNNNNNNNNNNNNNNNNNNNNNNNNNNNNNNNNNNNNNNNNNNNNNNNNNNNNNNNNNNNNNNNNNNNNNNNNNNNNNNNNNNNNNNNNNNNNNNNNNNNNNNNNNNNNNNNNNNNNNNNNNNNNNNNNNNNNNNNNNNNNNNNNNNNNNNNNNNNNNNNNNNNNNNNNNNNNNNNNNNNNNNNNNNNNNNNNNNNNNNNNNNNNNNNNNNNNNNNNNNNNNNNNNNNNNNNNNNNNNNNNNNNNNNNNNNNNNNNNNNNNNNNNNNNNNNNNNNNNNNNNNNNNNNNNNNNNNNNNNNNNNNNNNNNNNNNNNNNNNNNNNNNNNNNNNNNNNNNNNNNNNNNNNNNNNNNNNNNNNNNNNNNNNNNNNNNNNNNNNNNNNNNNNNNNNNNNNNNNNNNNNNNNNNNNNNNNNNNNNNNNNNNNNNNNNNNNNNNNNNNNNNNNNNNNNNNNNNNNNNNNNNNNNNNNNNNNNNNNNNNNNNNNNNNNNNNNNNNNNNNNNNNNNNNNNNNNNNNNNNNNNNNNNNNNNNNNNNNNNNNNNNNNNNNNNNNNNNNNNNNNNNNNNNNNNNNNNNNNNNNNNNNNNNCGAGCAUCUUUCCUGAGACAAUUUUUAAGCCAACUGGAAGUGCUAGACCAAAAUUUCGGAUUUUUUUUGUAGCGCGCUUUCGUCCUUGUGUUGGAUGUUCGAAGAUCAAAAGAGUGAUCAAGUUGCGUUUGUUUAAGACGGCUGAUGUGUUCGUCGGGGCCAAUCGACGAACGGAGUGUAAGAUUUGUAGUGGUCGCGUUCGGACAAUUUGUUCGUAUCAUCUCGAUUUUUAACUUGGCGAUGUCUUGCAGUUAUUUCGAAGACUAUACGUAUAUUUUCGGUGCUGAAAUGAGAUUGUUUUGCGAUUUUGGGCCUUACGAGGCUGCUGGCAAGAGUAUUAACGUUUGUAGAUUUUCUAGGCGUGUUCUGAGACUUUUGUAAGUGUCUUAAAAAGGAGCGACGCAUAUUGAUCGUAAAAUUUUUUGAAAUCUCUAAAGAACUCGAUUACAAUAACGCAUCUUUUCCUAUGUGGGAGUAUACGAGUAUACGCACCCACUCCCCCCCCCUUUUCAGAGAGGGGGAUACCUGAACUCGUCUUUUGACGAGCUGCCUACGUACCUCUUUAGAGGAUCAAGCCAUCCCGUAGUUCUAUUUUAUGCCGCGAGUGUUUUCACUCGGCGGUUGUCGCCGUGCUGACCGCCUUGAUCGUGAUGAUCGGGGCUGGGUCAGUGUUCUCUUCCGGAUGUUCCGGUUGAGUUGUAGUGUCGGAUUUGGACUAUGUUGAUUUUCGACACCCGAAGCGUUUGCGUCAGCAGACGAUGUUAAAUCGUCUUUUCUUGAAACGCUUUUGGUCAAAGAUUUAUCAAUCUUCGUGCGUUUGCGAUUUGCCGUUGCAAAGGUCGUCAUCUGCCUUAACUUGUGCUCCGCGAGGAAGCACAGUCGCGACUAUUUCUGACAUCCCCAGAUAGCUACGACUCCGUUUGGGAUCGGGAAUUUGACACCCAGGUGGUACGUCGAUGGAACGGCUUGCAUAGCGUUGAGCCAUGGGGUUUCCAUGAUCACGUUGUUGAUGGCAGGAUGAUCGACUACCGCGAAUUUGACGAUUUUUGUGAUCUCCUUGGCCAUGACUGGUCGCUGAAUUGACCCGAGGGUCAUCGAUACUUCGCCUGAAAAGCCUGUGAGCGGUUUCAGAGUUGGAGUUACUUCUCCGAGUUAGAUGCUCAUCCGAUUGAGAGUGUCGCGGAAGAUUACAUUGACCGUGCUUCCCGUGUCAAUGAGUACUCUUCCGACUUCCAGAUCUCGUAUGACGAGAUCUAUGACGAGCGGAUCNNNNNNNNNNNNNNNNNNNNNNNNNNNNNNNNNNNNNNNNNNNNNNNNNNNNNNNNNNNNNNNNNNNNNNNNNNNNNNNNNNNNNNNNNNNNNNNNNNNNNNNNNNNNNNNNNNNNNNNNNNNNNNNNNNNNNNNNNNNNNNNNNNNNNNNNNNNNNNNNNNNNNNNNNNNNNNNNNNNNNNNNNNNNNNNNNNNNNNNNNNNNNNNNNNNNNNNCCGUUGCAGAGGUCGUCAUCUGCCUUAACUUGUGCUCCGCGAGGAAGCAUAGUCGCGACUGUUUCUGACAUCCCCAGAUAGCUGCGACUCCGUUUGGGGUCGGGAAUUUGACACCCAGGUGGUACGUCGAUGGAACGGCUUGCAUAGCGUUGAGCCAUGGGGUUUCCAUGAUCACGUUGUUGAUGGCAGGAUGAUCGACUACCGCGAAUUUGACGAUUUUUGUGAUCUCCUUGGCCAUGACUGGUCGCUGAAUUGACCCGAGGGUCAUCGAUACUUCGCCUGAAAAGCCUGUGAGCGGUUUCGGCGUUGGAGUUACUUCUCCGAGUUAGAUGCUCAUCCGAUUGAGAGUGUCNNNNNNNNNNNNNNNNNNNNNNNNNNNNNNNNNNNNNNNNNNNNNNNNNNNNNNNNNNNNNNNNNNNNNNNNNNNNNNNNNNNNNNNNNNNNNNNNNNNNNNNNNNNNNNNNNNNNNNNNNNNNNNNNNNNNNNNNNNNNNNNNNNNNNNNNNNNNNNNNNNNNNNNNNNNNNNNNNNNNNNNNNNNNNNNNNNNNNNNNNNNNNNNNNNNNNNNNNNNNNNNNNNNNNNNNNNNNNNNNNNNNNNNNNNNNNNNNNNNNNNNNNNNNNNNNNNNNNNNNNNNNNNNNNNNNNNNNNNNNNNNNNNNNNNNNNNNNNNNNNNNNNNNNNNNNNNNNNNNNNNNNNNNNNNNNNNNNNNNNNNNNNNNNNNNNNNNNNNNNNNNNNNNNNNNNNNNNNNNNNNNNNNNNNNNNNNNNNNNNNNNNNNNNNNNNNNNNNNNNNNNNNNNNNNNNNNNNNNNNNNNNNNNNNNNNNNNNNNNNNNNNNNNNNNNNNNNNNNNNNNNNNNNNNNNNNNNNNNNNNNNNNNNNNNNNNNNNNNNNNNNNNNNNNNNNNNNNNNNNNNNNNNNNNNNNNNNNNNNNNNNNNNNNNNNNNNNNNNNNNNNNNNNNNNNNNNNNNNNNNNNNNNNNNNNNNNNNNNNNNNNNNNNNNNNNNNNNNNNNNNNNNNNNNNNNNNNNNNNNNNNNNNNNNNNNNNNNNNNNNNNNNNNNNNNNNNNNNNNNNNNNNNNNNNNNNNNNNNCUCUUCUUGUUCGUUCCAAUAGAGGAUUUCCUCCUCUUCUGUCAUUGGUUUGUCGAACGGAGAGCUUUCCCGAGUGAAUCGGCUUCUGGUCCUCCUUGGAUGUCUGUCGACGUCCUCAUCAGUAUCGUUGGAGACAUCGCUAGGAUCCAGGUCGACUUGCUUGACUCCGUUGUCCUCCGAAGCCUUCGCGGGAGGCGGAGGGCUUUCAGAGUUUCCCUUUUCGAUGGGAGAUUUCUCGCUAGGGUUUUGACCCGAAGGUCGUUCCUGCGCGGCUCCAGGCCUGUUGAGUGGGGUUGCGAAGUCGAGUCUUUUCCCGCGGACUUUAGUGGUUCCGCGGGGGCGGAUUGCUCGAGUCCUUGCUAUUAAAGUUUCAACUUGUUUGGUCAAGGUGCUCACGAGCUUAUCCUGUUCUUCCGACCUUUUUCCAUAGGUGGCGAACAUCUUUUUCAACUCCUCGAACGCCGCGGUGUUGGCUGGUGCGUUGGCCGCGGAUACGUCCGCUGCGGGAGCGUGGAGAUCAGUGCCACUGGUUGAGCGUGAUGUGGUUGAGAGUUAGAUUGAUCCGUACCCCCCUCCUUCUAGCGCCAAACUGUGNNNNNNNNNNNNNNNNNNNNNNNNNNNNNNNNNNNNNNNNNNNNNNNNNNNNNNNNNNNNNNNNNNNNNNNNNNNNNNNNNNNNNNNNNNNNNNNNNNNNNNNNNNNNNNNNNNNNNNNNNNNNNNNNNNNNNNNNNNNNNNNNNNNNNNNNNNNNNNNNNNNNNNNNNNNNNNNNNNNNNNNNNNNNNNNNNNNNNNNNNNNNNNNNNNNNNNNNNNNNNNNNNNNNNNNNNNNNNNNNNNNNNNNNNNNNNNNNNNNNNNNNNNNNNNNNNNNNNNNNNNNNNNNNNNNNNNNNNNNNNNNNNNNNNNNNNNNNNNNNNNNNNNNNNNNNNNNNNNNNNNNNNNNNNNNNNNNNNNNNNNNNNNNNNNNNNNNNNNNNNNNNNNNNNNNNNNNNCGGAUAAAUACGAAAUUUUGAAGAUAAUUACGAAGAUCGGGAAAAAUGGAAUAUCUCCAUUUUUAAGUUAUGACGGCUUAAGGGCAGAAGAGGAAAAAGCGUAAACCGACCUAGAAGCGAGUAUAUAAGGAGUCCUAGGCGAGAGGCAUGAGCGACAACUUUUUAGACUCAUAACUCUCAGCACUUAGAAACUCUGAGGCAUUAUUCUCGACAUACUCUGUUUCCAUGACUGGCACCCGAUUACCAGACGAAUGUGCACAAGCAGUUUGAUCUCUUGGUUCACUCUUGAACUACGUUCGGCUUGAUCCUCGAAAGGGGUACGUAGGCAGCCUUUCAUACGGUUCAAUCCGAAAUCAAUCAAAAACCUUUUCUGUAUUUUCUUCGUCUUUUGUUAACGAGCUGCGAGUCAACUAGGUUUGAGCUUUUAGGCCGCUAGAACUAUGUAACUCGCUGACAACCUUUGCGGCCAAAGCUUUUAUGAUCUCUUGUAAUGAUCGCAACGCUCUCACGCGGACUCGAAAUAAGAUCUACUGUUUUCUCUAAACUCGUUUGUUAUCUUUUCAUGAUUUCCGCAUAUAUUUGGUCACUUGCCGAUGGCUCUCGCAGAGAUCCGGGACCUCUGGGAAAUUAUGGUUUCCCUAGUUUCCUAAUUUAAACGUAAAUCGACAGUGCGAAUUUCGGUUCCCACAACGCAUAUCCAGCUCGCUUCCUAAAGAGAGAAAAAACUAGAGACACGAACGUCGUCUUAAAACCGAUUCGUUUCUAGCGAUUUUCUUAAAACCGACAUAUUCCAAGUCGUCAACCUAGAAACAACCAAAUCACAGUCCCAACGUCGUCUUUAAAUCGUCCUAAGCAGACAAACGACAAUCUUAAAUUCGUCUAAAUGCUAGCAACAUAUCCAGACGAUCAUGAACAUAAUCUCAAAGACUAUACAUCAUUUCUUGCCGCAAUCAUGCGUAUAGAAAACCUGUACCAAUAUCAAUCUGAAAACUCGACGAUUAGCCAAAGUCUUGAAACCCUUUCCGGCAUUAUAAAGCUAUUUUCGUUUUAAAAUUUCUACGAGAAAUCUUCAAGCACCAAAGCAUUUCUUUCAGUUUCCGUUGUACCAAGUGAGUCACGGAAAAGCAUCGAAAACAUUUGCGACGAAUAGAUGUAGCAUUGUGCACAUUAAAAGGAAUACUUUCUUCCCGAUCGUUGGCUAGAUCUACCGCUGGUUGACCAAUUCGUUCCAGAAACGAAUGUUUCAUGAUAAUCCUCUAAAAAAACCAAUGAAAAACGUCCUGCGACUAGAUCGUUGUGAAAUAAACUUCGGUAACACUCCAUGAGUAACUCCAAGCAACUUUUACCUAAGAUCGAAAUCACAGCAGAAACGUUUCUCGUAAAACCCGCAGAAACAACGCUACUUUGACAUGUGUAUACAUAUCACCGAUUUAGAAUCUUCAUAAAACCGGUCCCCAUUACUUACACGAAAAAUCCUUUGUACAAUCAGACCAAGUCUUAUGAAGAAACUUUUGAAAGUAAACAUAACUGGUUUUACGAAGAAGUAUAUUUUGUAUAGCAGACACAAAGCUGUAAAAUCUGACUUUGGAUGACCAAUCUAAAGAGAGAGAUCUUCGCAUUACGAUUUAAUAGAUCUCGUAUUUUAGGCAUGUGGCUCACUGGCUUCUGCGUUUCGUUCCCCUCGGUCACAUCCGAGCAUGCAAUCAUCCCGCAACUGACUCCUCACUGGUUCUGUAUCAAACCUCUUAGCCUACGUCUUUCUCAGACAAAAACGAAUCAAUUUUCAUAAGACUAUAUGUAACAUUAAACGAAACAUUCAUCGUAUAACUGGAACCUAAAGCAUAGAAUCGUUUUCUAUGACUAUCACCCAUCUUAAUACGGAUAACACUGGCAAACUUGGCCUAUCAAUCUUGACAAGUGCUCUUUGGCCCUCGAUCAUUUACGCCAUCCAGUAAAGGUCCAAACAAGAAUUUCCCAUCCCCUUUAAGAAUGAUCGUAAACUAACAUGACCUUAAAUGUUAAAGUACCAUCGUCUAAUCCUCGACCUACAACAUCCUUGGCUAUCUGAGUGAACACAUCCUUAACGCCAAGCCAAACUAUUUGAGAAACCAUCGCUCCAUCACUUAACGGCUAAACGAAAAUCUACGAUCUGUCUAAAAACGUCGUGAGACUAUUAAGAGAAUAAUUAUUGUAUAACCCACGGUCGGAAAUCAUAUGAUAAAUUCUUCGUAAUGAAACUCAGUCCUAACAACCAAACGGUUAACGGAAAACCAAAACUUGUCGAUAAUCGACCAAGUUCGAUACAUUCCACAAUUCACUUUAAGCCCGCUAUGUUUUACCCAUAAUACGCGGCAUGUAAGAAAAAUUUUGUAACAAAGCUUCUAGAGCUAUACGAAACAUCCUCAAAAAUGCACGAAAUAGAUCUCGAAAGGCCAACACUUCACAAAGCACUAUGAAGGAAAACGCUUCUUCCCAUCGAAAAAUUUACGCGACCCCUCAGUCCUAAUUCCUCGAUCGCAAAUCAAAUUACUAUCAUGCAAACUGAAACAACAAUUCUGGCAGCAAAAAUCCGUAGACAGACCAGAACGUUUCUCAAACGCAAGGCUAAGACUAAACCCUUGCAAUUUCGCGAAACAUCUUCAAGCCCGCGAACAUUCCAAGCACGAAAAGCGGCAUACGAAAGGUAGCGACCAAGCUCAAGCCAAGCUCGGUCGCUACGUAGCGACCAAGCUCAAGCAAAGCUCGGUCGCUACGUAGCGACCCGCUACGUAGCGAUUGAGCACGCACACGGCUCGGUCGCUACGUAGCGACCGAACACGCACACGGCUCGGUCGCUACGUAGCAACCUAACUUUCCCUAAACAUCGAUACAACACGAAUCCAUGCAUUCUCGUCUACUCUUUAAUGCUAUCUCCCGUAGGCCAUGGCUGAAACAUUAUUUGUUUCUCAUCACUCAAAGUCAUCAGUCAAACUCUAUGAUAAAAACCGCGGGAAUUUUUUUUCUCUCGAAGAAACCGUAAUAAACGUUUCGAGUCAAAGACGGCCCAAAGAGACCUAAAACGCAAUUCGAAGCCCACUUACGAUUUCUUAACUGAAAACCCAUAAGGCUUAUGCGGUUUAUGCUUGGUUCGUAAGACAAACCUCGAAGAGAUGCUCGAUUCCUACCAUACAAGUCACGUAAGCCGGGAACAUAUCGCGGACUUUAAAGCGGGAUGGAAUCAGGUAGAAAAUGAUACGGGAAACGUAAGUCGAAGUAGUCAUCGCACUCCCUAUCCGAAGAUAAUCACGAAGAUCAGGAAAAUUGGAAUAUCUCCAUUUUUGAGCUAUGACGGCUUAAGGGCAGAAGGGGAAAGGCGCAAACCGACCUAGGAGCAAGUAUAUAAGGAGUCCUAGGUGAGAGGCAAAGGGGAUUCGAGACACAGAAAACUUUCAGCACUUAGAAACUCUGAGGCAUUAUUCUCAACAUGCUCUGUUUCUAUGAGUGGCACCCGAUUACCAGACGAACGCCACAAGCAGUUCGAUCUCUUGGUUCACUCUUGAACAACGUUCGGCUUGAUCCUCGAAAGGGGUACGUAGGCAACCUUUCAUAAGGUUCAGUUUGAAAUCAAUCAAAACUGUUUUCAUAUCUUUUUCGUCUUCUGUAAUUGAGCUUCGACUCAACUAGGUUUAAGGUUUUAGGUUGCUAGAACUAGGUAAUUCGCUGACAGCUCUUGUGGCCGAAGCUUUUAUAAUCUCUUGUAAUGAUCGCAACGCUGUUAUGGUUUUAACGAGCUGGGGGGCUAACUGUUGGGGUCAAAAUCGGUCACGGCGGAAUCAAUGUCUGAAAGUACGUAAAAAUCAGCAUGACUGUUUUUACGAAAAGUAAUCUUCGUAAAGAAAUAUUUACGAAGAGCCUUGCGGUAAAAUCUUGUUCUAAUCUCAAUCGAACCACUAAAUAUCGAUAGUCCAAAAGCAACAGACACAUUCCUCCGAUUACGGAAAUUGACGGUGUGAAUUUCGGUUCCCACAUCCUGUUUCUUUGAUGACGGUCCCUGUUCUGAGAUCCGAGAGGGGGAUCUGGCUGACAUAAGGAGGAAGUACUUGAUUCAUCCUUCAGUGGGGAUGAGGAGUCCAACCGAGUUCGAACGCUUUCCGAAUGGCGGAGCGGGUGAGGAGGCUAUCUAUGAUAGCGUACCUGGAAGCAGGCUUCCGGGGUGCUAUUCCUUCUCUUAUAGGCGAAGUGUCAUCUUUCUUCGGUUUCAGUCCUUCUCCACUUACUCCCCUAACCUGGAGGACUUUAAUGGCUCUCCAAGUACUCGGAGAACUCCAUGGAUUUUCCAUCGGGGUGCAUGAGAUAUUAUACUCUUAUUACUUUUCUCCUUUGGCAAACAAAGAUGGGUUCUACCAUCUUCGAUCUCGUGAUGGCACCCCUUUGGUCGAGGAACCUUAGAGGGGUGUCAGAGGAAAUCAUCCCUUUGGGGAUGGUUGGAACAGUCGGUACGUGUUCGUGAAGAUCCAUGAGCCAGUGGGUUACCCUACGUCCUGGCGUACCGUGGGUGAGAUUUUCUUCUGAGUUUUGGAUUUUACCAUCCUUUGUGGGACCUAAUCCUGACAUUUUUGCUCUUGCUUUGUCAGAUGUAUCUCGCCCAGUUUCCUUUGCUGGAGAAGCGGUGGCGAAGCUCAUAGUGGGAAUCCCCCGGCGAUUCCGCUGGGUGACCUUUCUGGUGAGCAGGGAGGCCCUGCGUCUUAGCCGUGUUUGGGGUAAGCCUUUCUUCCCCAUCUGAUAGGACUCUGUCUUAUUUGAAUCUCAUGUAUGUAUACACUUUUUGCUCUAGGGAACGCGGUGAGGUCUCCGGUAUCGGUUAUUUAUCACGAGUAUCAGAAGGUUAAAACGCGGAAGCGGCAUCUUUCUUAUAUGUGGGAACCAAAAUUCGCACUGUCGAUUUCCAUUUAAAUUAGGAAAGUAGGAGAAUCCUAGUUUCCCAGAGGUCCCAGAUAUCUGCUAACACCACACGCCAAGCAAUCAGAACACGGAAUAAAUACUAUAAAAGAUACGAAAUCGAAAAGAGAGCAAGGUAGAUCUUAUUCUGAAUUCGCGUUUGAGCAUUAGAACAAGGUAAGAGUCUGGGCUACGAGAGCUGUCGGCGAGAUUCCCAGUUCUAAAACCCUAAAGCUGCUAAAUCUAAUUGGGUCGCAGCUCGAAUAACAAAAACAGAAAAUUUCCUAAAUUGCUCUAAGUGCUAAUUUUUGCUGUGUCUUGCGAAUUCCCUUUUGCCUCUCGCCUGGGACUCCUUAUAUACUUUCUCCUAGGUCAGUUUGCACCCUUUCCCUUCUGCCCUUUAGCCGUCAUAGCUCAAAAAUGGAGUUAUUCCAAUUUUCCCGAUUUUCGUGAUUAUCUUCGGAAACUUAACAUUUAUCUUGCCUUACGAGCCAAGUAUAAACCAUCAUAAGGCUCAUGGGUCUUCGGUUAAGAAAUCGUAAGUGGGAUUUUAGUUACGUUUUAGGUCCCUUUGGGCCGUCUUUGACCUGAAACGUUAAUUACGGUUUCUUCGAUAAAAACAAACUUCCCGCGGUUUUAAUCGUAAAGUUUGACUGCUGAAUUCGAGUGAUUAGAAAUGAAGGAUGGCUUAGCCAUGGCCUAUGGGAGGUAGCAUUUAAAGAGUAAACGAGAAUGCAUGGAUUCGUGUCGUAUCGAUGUUUUGGGAAAGUUCGGUCGCUACGUAGCGACCGCGCCGUCUGCGUGCUCGGUCACUACUAGCCACAACAAAUACUACUUUUAAAACUAAUGUUCAUGCUCGUGAUGAUAAAGGAAAAGCAGUAGAAACCAGUGGCCGAGCAAGAGACAUCGGUUGCUUCAAAUGUCAUGGACUUCGACACUACGCCAACAAGUGCCCAAACCAGAAAGUAAUGAUUCUUUUGGAGAAUGGUGAGUUUGAGUCUGAGGACGAGGAAGAGGACAAGGAAGAUAUCGGUCCAAUCUAUGAUGAGGAGGAAGAACCAUUCGAUUACCCACAUAAUGGGCCACUCCUUGUUGCUAGGAAGCCAUUUGACGAUGCUCCUGGUCCCAUCUUCGAUGAGAAGGACAAUCUCUUGGACGGUGAACUAGUUCCGGUCUUUGAAGAUACACUUGGUCCGAUCUUUGAUGAAGAGGACACCACCUUGACUACCCAUCUCAUGGUCCACUUUUCGUCACUAGGAGAACAUUGAGUGUUCAGCCCAAAACUAAUGACCGAGAACAAAGGGAGAAUCUUUUUCACUCUAGAUGUUUGGUUUAUGAAAAAAAUUGUUCUUUGAUUAUUGAUGGUGGCAGUUGUACUAAUGUUGCUAGUGACUCUCUUUUUAGGAAACUUGGACUUGUGACCAAACCACUUCCUCGACUUUUCAGGUUGGAAUGGCCGAAUGAAGCUGGUGAGCAGUAUGUGAGGGAGCAAGUCAUGGUUCCUCUUACUAUUUGUCGAUAUGAGGACGAAGUCCUUUGCAAUGUUUUUCCCAUGGACGCAUUCCAUAUCCUGUUAGAACGACCAUGGCAAUUCAAUAAACAAUGCAUGACGGUUACACCAACCGGCACUCCUUUGAUCAUCAAGGAAAGAAGAUCACUUUGGUUCCUCUAACACCAUCCGAAGUCCAUCUAGACCAGAUCCAGUUGAAGAAGAGCCGAGGCAAGAAAUCUAAACGAACAGAACCUAAGGUAUCUGCUAGAAACUCGAACUUCUUUAUCAAGGAAAUACUUGUACUCUCAACAGCCUUUCCUUUUGCUUGUGUAUAAAGCAACUUGAUGGGUUCCUUUGACCUUGCACCGGAGUUUCCGAGUGAUUUGAUAGAUGCCUUGCAGGAAUUUUCAGAUAUCUUUCCAGAUGAGAACCCUAAGGGAUUGCCACCAGUAAGAGGCAUAGAACAUCAGAUUGAUUUUGUUUCGGGUGCGUCUCUUCCAAACCGUCAAGCUUAUCGAACCAACCCAGUGGAAACAAAGAUACUUCCAAAGCAGAUUGGGGAGCUUCUUGAGAAAGGCUAUAUAAGGGAAAGCCUUAGCCCAUGUGUCGUGUCAGUUCUCCUUGUGCCUAAAUAGGAUGGUUCUUGGCGCAUGUGCGUGGACUGUCGUGCCAUCAACAACAUUACAAUAAAGUAUAGGCAUCCAAUCCCUAGGCUUGAUGAUCUCACACAAAUUGCCUUAAGGAGUGAAUUACCCUCUCAAAUAAGAGGUUCAAUUGUAGUACUUAGGGUUCAAAUCCACAAGAAGCUAUGGAACCUAAUAAAUCUAAUUAGAGUGAUGAAGCUAGGGUGAUUAGAAAUGUAAAAGAAAAUUGUGAGCAAGAUAAUUGCUCGGUUAGUUUGAUGGUCUUUGACACUUAAAUAAAAUAGCUAGACUUACGAUUUCUAUUCAGGUAAUCAGGAUUAUAAUCCUACAGAUGCUUAACAGUUAUAUGCAUGAUAGUAUAUAGCUCAAUCACUUGAGAACAAACCGAUCGGCGUUCUCUUUCUAGGUUUGUCUAUUGACCAGAUCUAAUGGUCUCAACAGUAGGUCAGACCAAUUAGAAAGUUUCGAUCGAUGAUUCUAGAGGAAUAUCGAUCGAUACACUUUUUGUACCUCGAUCGAUUAUUCUAUAGGAAUAUCGAUCGACGCGCUCUUAGUCAAGCUUUACGCGCGGGUUGAAUAAUUCUCACUAGGCUUACUAGAUCAGCUUUCGCCUUACUCUAGAAAUCCUAGCCCAAUUAGGAUAGAUUCAGGGUGAGAUUCAAGUGUUAACUUGUGCCUACAACUCCUAGAUCAAGGUUCUAGCUAGCUAAACUAGAAACAUGCAUUAAUGACAAUUCUAUUUAUGAAUAUCACAACUAGCAAUCUAUAGUUGGGGCUAAUACCUCAUAACCUAUUUGAACCAUAAACCUAACAGUAGAACUACUCAGACAUAGCUAAGCAAUUCAUAGCAACAAUAAGGUAUAAAAACUGCAUAGAUAUAAAAUAGAAAAUAAUGGAGUUCCAAUCACAAAUCUCUCUGGAUCUUCUCUCUAACUCUACUAAAUCCUAGAAAACCCUUUGCUGUGUAAACAAGAGAACAAAAAAGCACACCUUGCCUAAAACACAUUGGCAAGCUAUAAAUAUAAGGUUAAAAACUCGUAAGGGGUAAUCUUGUAAUUUGGUGAAAUCUUUGGCUCUAAGCCGGCUGGAACCAAACAGACUUUUGCGCGCUUCGCUGUCGAUCGAUUCACGAUGUCACAAUGCAUGCAUCGAUCGAUUAUUUCCUAUGAAUGUCGACCUCUGGUCUUGCUCGAUGGUCAUCUCGGAUGUUCUCUCCUUUUAUCUCCAAAAUACUCCAAAAUCAUCACUUUCUUCCAAAUCACUCUUGAACCUAUAAAUAUACUAAAUAGACUCUAAAAUAUAGUAAUUAGUUAUUAAAACACUUAUAAACCAUGGUUAAAAGUGAGUAAAAUCCAUGGCCUAUCAACUCCCUCAAACUUAGGCCUUGAUUGGGAGAGCAGAUGAUAAAGCAGUAGCAGUGUGCUAUAGAAACAGUAUGUUGCAUAAGCUGUAUGCUUUUCUAAACUAUUUAAUAGAACGAUUGGUAGAGCAAUAUGAAUAUGCUAUUUAAAAUUAUUAUAAAAAUUAAUAUAUAAUAUAAUUAUUUUUAAUAAAUAUUUUUACUGUAAAUUAAUUUUAGAAAUCAAAAAUUUUAUUUCUGGAUAUAAAAAUAAUUUUUAUAAUAUUAUUAAAUAAAAUAAAUUAAUUAAUUAUAUAUUUUCCUUAAUUUUAAAAAAUUAUUAAUGCAACUGUUCUUCUAAAAUUUUCAUAUGAGAGCAUUGACCAGAGAGCAUUUGGAGAGUACUAGCAUUUAGUAAAUGCUUUUUAAAAUACUUUUCUAACAAUUGUUGGUUGGAUAAUGUAGAGCAUAAUGCUAAUGCUAAUGCUAUACCAGUCAAGACCUUACCCUUUUGCUUGUCCUAUAUAGGCAGUGUCUUAGAAAGAGGUUUGAAAGCAGCAGAGACUCACAGAUUUAAAACUGAGAAUCAUCACCUUAUAAAAUCCUAAUCUCAGAAGCACAUUAUACCAUAUCCUAAUCUAGCAACCAAAUUCACCUAGUCAACAACUUAGCAAAUCAUGUGUGACAAUCCCCUCUACCAACCUCAUUUCUUGCAUAAAUAAAAGUGUAGGUUUUACCUUGGGAGUAUCAAUCACAUGAUGCAAGGAUGCUCAAACAUGUAUCUGGACCUGCAGGUAAAUGGGAGUUCCUUUCUUCUCUCUCUCUCUACUAGUUUUUCUCUCUGUCAAAGUCUGAUUUCAUUGCAGGAUCAUUGACCAAGAUUGGACAGGCUUCCAUGAAUCAAGCUUUAAUGGUUUUAGCCACCAAAUCUUGUUCACUUCUUUUUGACCUAUAUCCUGGGACUCUUUGUGAAUCAAGCUUUAUGGUUGUAGCCACCAAGUCAUGUUCGAAUCUUUUACCUAUUGAAUUCUUAUGAAUCAAGUCUUAAUGGUUGUAGCCACCAAGUCCUGUUCGAAUUAUUUUCCUAAAUUAUCAUCUAUAAUUAUAUAUAUAUAUAUAUAUUCAUAAUCUAAAUUUUGAAAUUGAGAGAGAGAGAAUGACAUAUCUACACAAAGCUUUACCUUCCAGACUUUUUUGAAGAAUCCAAUUUCAUGUAUACAAAGCCCUAAGACAAGCAAAGUUGAGCUAAGUUAGGUUGGAGUUCAGCUUUAGUUCCUUCAAAAACAUUUUCAGCAAGUGUAACAUAGUUGACAGGUUGAUCCACUUUAGUAUCUUUGGUGCUAUCUGCAACUAGUAAGUCUAUAAUGAUGUGGUUAGAUAACAAGCAAAAUCAAUAAGUUCAAUGUCCUCUUCUUGACUCAAUAAAAAUUUCUUUUUAAAAACAUUUUAAUAAGACUCAUGAAAUAAACUAAUAUCAGUAAACCUCCUCCUAGACUUAAACUACACUGCCCCUAGUGUAAAGUCAGUCGGAGUUAUGGUGAUAACUAAAGCAAAAGGACUCAAUUUAACAAGUAAGAACGAUAAACCAUACUGGAAUAGAUGUCGAUCAAUGUGAAGAUGUUUUCAUCGGUCGCAGCAUGUGAUGUUCUGAUAUCGGUAGGGUCUCGUCGGUCGAUAUUCUUGGCAAUCGUCGACUCAGAUCUUUUUCCGUUUUUUUAUGACCUGCAAAAAUUCAAAAACUAGCAUAAGUACUAAACUAAUGAAAACCAAUUAAAAUUACCAAAUAGUGGGUUGCCUCCCACUCAGCGCUUUGUUAUAGUCAUUUAGAUUGACUUUGGAGGUGAUUUGGUUUGCAUGUUGCAUACUGCUCCUACUGUUGACAAGAAAGCUCUUCCAAGUAAUAGAGAAGAGUUCCAGUUCAGCUUGAUAUCCAAGACAAGGAAAUCUACUGGAACUAGGACAUUAUCAAUCUGCACCUUAAGGUCUCUGAUUAUUCCUCAUGAGUUCCUCUGAGAACAAUCGAAAAAAGUGAACGAUUCCUUGGAAGGCUCUACCUUCAGACCUAGCUGGUCAGCCAUAACCCUAGGUAGAAUGCUGACUUAUGCUCAUGUGUCACAUAAUGCUUAUGGGAACUCAAUACCUUUCACUAGACAUGGUAUUACAAACUUCCCAUGAUCACUCUUCUUCUUCAGUGUAAUCCUAUUCUUUAUCUUAUCUCUGACCUGAUGGAACAUUCUCCUAAUGUCCUCUUCAGUCUCCUUGGUCUCUUUGACAAACAUCCACAAUUUGUGGGUAAAGUAAGCUUCCUCGAAUGGUUUCUCUAGUGGAAUCCUAAGGACUCUGUUAAGAAAACUUUCCAUCUCCUACUCAUUAGCUCCCCUCUUCAGAUGCUUAGCAACCUUUUCAUUUCUUCUCCUCAAGGUUCUUCCCAUAGUAGCCUUGUCAACUUGCAUAGGCUCUGGUGCAUAUUCUGAAUGUGUACUGGUGGUCUCUGGUGGGUUAGUGGAAGGUUUUGGUUGUGGCCUGAGUGCAUUGAUUCAUGCGAUGUUGAUCUUUUGUAACUGCACUCGGAAUGUGAGAGGUGCUCAUCGAUCGAUGGGUACUGGAGGUUGCCGAUCGGUGGUGGUGUCUCGUUGUCGAUCGAUGGCUGGCUCAGUUUGCCGAUUGAUGUUGACAUGAAAAGGGCUGGGUGGAUGUGCGUGUCUUGCUGCGAACUCCUUGUGGGUCAUGAUCCUCACGACAUUGCACGAUGAAACCGACUCUGUAGGUGUCAUAGAUCGAUGCUCUGGAAAGCUUAUCGAUCGGUUCUGGUUGAAAUCCGUCGAUCGAUGUUCAAAUUCUGACAUCGAUCGACAACAAUGCGAUCCGCCAAAACUCAUCGAGCAUUCUACUUUGAAAUCUCCUUCUUGAAGCUUCUCAUGCUUCACCACUUGCCAGAAAUCAUCAUCUAUGAUGGCAUUCACAUGGUGCUUCAUUGCAUCAUCUCAUAUCCCCCUUGCUAAAGCUUCUUGCCUCUUAACAGCUUCUCAUGUCUGAACUACCUGCAUCUCCAGCUUCUUCGCAUGAGAGCUCAAAGUCUCAAACUUUGUGGUCAGGUUGUUGUAGACAGAAUCAAUCUUCCCAUUGAAAUCCACCGUCAGGUUCUGCUGUCCUUCAAGGACCCGAUCAAGCAUUGCUUUUAUUUUGCUCUCUUGAGUCUGUGGUGGUGGUUUCUUCUAAGAUGAGUUUCCAUAACUCAUGCUGUUGUUGCUGAUGUGGUUGUGGUUGUAGGGUUUCUGGUACUGCGAACUCUGGUUGAAGUUACUCCUCUGUCCAUUGCCAUAGAAGUUUUUGUUUGCACUCUGGUUUCCAGACCUCUGGAAUCCAGUUCCACUGAUGAAGUUCACAUCCUCCUCUCCUUCUGCUUUAUCCUCUGUAUUUGCAGCAUCUGCAUCCCCUACUAAGCAAACAAGCUUCCUGAGAAGCUUGUGAACACUGUCCAACUUUGCUUUCACCUCGUCAAUCUGUUCCUUCCCAAGGAUAGCUGCAGAUUUCCUCCUCUCAAAAUCAGUGUUUUUGGUGCUAUUGCUGGAUGCCAAGUUCUCAAUAAGUCUCACAACAUCUUCUGGAUUCUGUUGAGAUGAGAUCAAUAUAUGGGAAGAGAAAGACAUGAGGAGUUGAGUGGCGUAGUAAUACUAGUUACCCGAGUAACUUCCAAAGGUUAAACCAAAGUUACCCUAGUUAUCCUAGUAUACUAGUUAUACUAGUUACCCGGGUAACUUUGGAUGAAGAAGUGAAGCCCUAUUCCCUUUGCUAAGGCAUCAGACCGUUGCAAGGGAAGAGGAGGCGCAUGUGACAGGCUGGAGAAGAGCUGGAUAAAGCAAAAGGAGCUUUAUGCACAAGGAAGAAGCUCAUUGGAUGGUUUGAAUUAAAGCAAACCUUAUCUCUUGUAAUAGUGCCUCUUUAUGAAACCCUCAUCCUAAUGUUGCCUCCACAUAUGUAUUGUAAACUUUGAUCAGAUUAAUAAUUAAGAAAUUUGAGAUUAUCUCUCUAGACUCUCUCUCUUGUUCAUGAUGAUUCUUAAAUACUCUUAAACAUGAUUACUACCUAAUCUCUCUACAAAUCUCCCAUUAAUCUUUUCUAAUCUACCUUUAAUCUCUCAAUACCUACUCUAUUCUCUAAAAUCAUAUGGUAUCAGAGCCAUGUUGGCUUUGGUAUUGAGAAACAUCGUUCCAUUUUUUUUUCUUUCUCUAGCUCUUGUGUUCUUGUGUUCUUGCUCUUGUGUUCUUGAGUGUUCCGUGAAGCUGUGUGAUAAAGUUGAGUCAUGUGGUGCUGUGCUUUGAGUUCGUGUUUUCUUGAAGUCAGGUACUGUGUGUUCUUCAGCUGAGUUGCAAGUUUGAAGCUUUCUGGUCAUUUCUGGUUCAAGCAAGAGAAGAUGGAGGGAAACAACUUCAGCAAGCUAGUUGCUGUCCCGGUUGCGUUGAAAGGUAGUUCAAACUACCUCUUGUGGUCUCGAUUGGUGAAGACUGCUAUUGGAAGGCUAUGGUUGUGAAGCUACAUCACUGAUGAUGGUCCGGAACCAGUGGCCAAAGAAACUGAAGAAGGUGAAGAGGAAAAGACUCUCACCAAAGCUGAAGCAAAGAAGUGGGUGCAAGAAGACUUGAUGGUACUCUCCGUGCUGCAAGGAUCUCUUGAUGUCCCUCUUCUUGAAGCUUACAGAUACUGUGAGACUCCAAAACACUUGUGGGAGACCCUCUUAAAGACGUUUGGAAACGUCUCCAACAUCAGCCGUGUGUUUGAGCUGAAGAGAGCCAUUAACUCCAUGAAGCAAGAUGGAGGAAGGCUCACCAAACACAUGGGAAAGUUUGGAUCAUUAUGGUCUGAACUUGAAAGUCUAAGACCUAACACCACUGAUCAAGCAGCUCUUAUGGAAAGAAGAGAACAAGAUCAAGUGUUUGGGUUGUUGAUGACAUUGGAUCCUUGCUACAAGGAUGUCAUCAAACACAUCUUGAGAUCGCCUAACCUACCAUCCAUGGAGGAAGUAUGCGCGCAACUUCAGAAGAAAGAGGGAUCUCUUGGUCUGUUUGGAGGCAAGGGUGAGCUCACUAUGGCUCAUCAAGCUGAAGGAAUGAAGCAAACAAGGCUGCAUACAGAGGCUCAGGAAGGAAGUAUGAAAAGUAUGAGGGAAGCUGUGAGCAUUGCAAGAGGACCAGUCACAAGAAGAGUGAGUGUUGGAUCCUACAUCCUCACCUCAGGCCACGCGGGUUCAACAGGGAUAGGGAAGCAAAGGCUCAUCUUUCUUCUGAAGCAAAUGGUGCUGGUUCAUCCGGAGCUAGCUCAGGCGCUAAGGUGGGUGAAAGUGAAGGUAGAGCCUUGGCAUCUCAUCAACUAAUUGGAAAGGGUAUGGAUCAGGAGGUAUUCAAGAGAGCUGACCUUGAAGUCUUCUUCAAAGCUCUUAAAGAGUCUGGUAACACUUUCAGAAACACCCUUGGAUACUCAUAUGCUGCUCAUACAUUGCCUAGUACUACUGAUAAGUUACUAGACAUGUUUAAAAGCUCUUACACUGCUGCUAGUAAUCCUAGUAAUACUGAUAAGUUACUAGACAUGUUUAAAAGCGCUUACACUGCUACUAGUGAGCCGAGUAUAACUAGUAAGAUGUUAGGAUUACUAGGAAACCUGAUAAAACAAAAUGAACCAUCAAGUACUGAGAUUACUAGAAACAUGCAUAAACCUUUGAUCAUUGAUUCCAGUGCAUCCCAUCAUAUGAUUAGUGAUAAUAACCUGAUUAAAGACAUAGAACUGGCUCAUGGACAUGUUAUGAUUGCUAAUGGAGAUAGAAUUCCUAUUAGAGCAAUUGGUAAACUGAAACUGUUUAAUAAGGACUUUAAAGCAUUUUUCAUGCCUGAGUUUACUUCUAAUCUUUUAUCUGUCAAAAGAUGCACCACUGAUCUUCAAUGCAAUGUUAUCUUUAGUCCUGAUGAUGUUAAGUUUCAGGAUAUUAAGAGCAGUAGGUUGAUUGGGCAAGGAGCAACCAAAGGAGACCUUUAUAUGCUUGAAGAUCUUAGUCCCAUCUCUAGUUCUUGCUUCUCAUUUAGUUAUGUUUCUUCCUUAAGUAAAGAUGCAUUGUGGCAUGCUAGACUUGGACAUCCACAUGUUAGGGCUUUAAGCAUUAUGUUACCAGGUGUCAUGUUUAAAAAUAAUGAUUGUGAGGCAUGUAUUUUGGGCAAACAUUGUAGGACUGUGUUUCAAAGAUCAUCCACUAUUUAUGAGAAUUGCUUUGAUUUGAUUCAUUCUGAUGUUUGGACUGCACCUUUUUUUAUCUAGGGAUGAUUAUAAGUAUUAUGUCACAUUCUUUGAUGAAAAAUCCAAAUACACGUGGUUAACACUCAUUAAAACAAAAGAUAGGGUUCUUGAUGCAUUUAAAAAUUUUCAAAGCUAUGUUACUAACCAUUAUCAUGCCAAGAUUAAGAUUUUCGGGUCAGAUAAUGGUGGGGAAUACAUAGGCCACGCAUUCAAAGAUCAUCUAGCUCAACAUGGGAUUCUACAUCAGACUAGAUGUCCUUACACUCCACAACAUAAUGGAGUUGUUGAAAGGAAAAACAGACACCUCAUGGAAGUGGCUCGUUCAAUGAGAUUCCACAAGAGUGUCCCUAAGAGAUUUUUGAGUGAUGCUGUGAUGACUGCUUGCUAUCUGAUCAACAGGAUACCAACCAGAAUCCUAGAGGAUCAGUCUCCAUUUGAGGUACUCAACAAGAGUCGACCAGUUCUGGAUCACUUGAGGACAUUUGGGUGUGUGUGCUAUGUACUGGUGCAAGGAGAGAUGAGAAACAAACUUGAAGCAAAGAUCACCAAGGCUAUGCUUAUUGGAUAUUCCGCAUCUCAAAAGGGAUACACGUACUUUGAUCCCACUGCUGGAAGAGUCUUGGUGUAUAGGGAUGUGAAGUUCAUGGAAGAUAAAGGGUAUUAUGAAGAGAAGAAUUGGGAGGAGCUUGAAGAGCUUUCUCAACCAUCAGAUAGAGCUGCUAGUUUGAGAAACAUACUAGAAGAGCUUGGUAUUGGCGUGUCCCAGGAUCAGAGCAGGCGUGAAGAGCCUACUCAAGUGGCCGCUGAAGAACCAUCCCACUUUGAACAUGAGGGGGGAAGUGAAUCUGAAGCUGAAGGGUUAAAAGAUCAAGGCUCAGAAGAAGCUGGAGGUCUAGAAGAUCAAGGCUCAGAUUCUCCUGUCCAAAGUGGAGAUGAAUCAGUAAGAGAAGUUCAGAAUGAAGGUCAGGAAGCUGGAGAAGAAAUCCAGAUACAAGAAGAAGCUGUUGAGGAACAAGUAGAAGUUCCUUUGAGAAGAAGCACACGGGUAAGGAGGGAUGCUUCCGAGUGGGCAAACACGAGAAACUGGGUAAACACGAGAGUGUACUACAAUGCCCAGGCUGUGGAGCAUCCUUCCCAAGCUGUGUGCUCAUUUGCUGAGUUUCCGGAAGAGCACUACUCCUUUAUGGUAAGCUUAGAUGAAAGCUAUGUGCCAAGAAGCUAUGAAGAAGCAAUUCUGAUUCAAGAGUGGAGGGAUUCAGUCAAUGAUGAGGUUGAUGCCAUGAUUAGAAAUGAUACAUGGUAUGAGAGUGAGUUGCCUAAGGGGAAGAGAGCUGUGUCAUGCAAGUGGAUCCUCACCAUCAAGUAUUUACCUAAUGGGAGGAUUGAUAGGCGUAAGACAAGGCUGGUAGCAAGAGGUUUCACACAAACCUAUGGAGAGGAUUAUAUUGAUACUUUUGCACCUGUUGCAAAGCUCCAUACCAUUAGGAUUGUACUAUCAGUUGCAACCAACCUUGGGUGGGAUCUUUGGCAAAUGGAUGUGAAGAAUGCUUUCCUCUAAGGAGAGCUAGAAGAUGAAGUCUAUAUGCUACCACCUCCGGGUCUUGAAUGAAUGGUAAAGCCAGGAAAUGUUCUUAGACGGAAGAAAGCCGUCUAUGGAUUGAAACAAUCACCUAGAGCAUGGUACAAUAAGCUAAGAACAACACUGAAUGGUAGAGGCAUCAGGAAGUCCGAGCUUGAUCACACCCUAUUUACCCUCAAUACUCCCUCAGGCAUCAUUGUUUUGCUUGUGUAUGUGGAUGACAUCAUCAUAACAGGCAGUGAUAAGGAAGGAAUCCGAGCCACCAAGGAGUUUCUGAAACCAGUAUUUGAUAUAAAGGAUUUCGGAGAGAUGAAGUACUUUCUUGGGAUUGAGCUGUGCAGAUCCAAGGAAGGGUUAUUCAUCUCUCAAAGGAAGUAUGCAUUGGAUCUCUUGAAGGACGCUGGUGCAUAUGGAGGGAGAACAGCCAAGAUGCCCAUGGAAGAUGGGUACAAGGUUCCACGUGAGGGGGAGAUUGAAGACAGCAAGUUGUUCUAUGAUCCAAAGCUGUAUAGGAAGCUUGUGGGGAAGCUGAUAUACUUGACUAUCACCAGGCCAGACAUAUGCUUUGCUGUUAACCAAGUAAGCCAGCAUAUGCAAGCUCCACGAGAGCAUCACUGGCGCAUGGUGGAGAGAGUUCUCAUGUACCUGAAUGGAACUCAAGGGCUUGGUAUAUGGAUGGGAGUCAAUAAGAGCACUAAAGUUGUGGAUUAUUGUGAUGCUGAUUGGGCUGGAGAUAGAGCAGAUAGAAGGUCUACAACCGGCUAUUGCACUUUCAUUGGUGGAAACAUGGUUACUUGGAAGAGUAAGAAGCAGAAGGUUGUAUCAUGCUCUAGUGCUGAAGCUGAGUAUAGAGCUAUGCUAAAGCUUACCAACAAGUUGGUAUGGAUCAAAGGGAUUCUUAGGCACUUGGAGAUUGAGCAAGCAACACCAAUGACUAUGCAUUGUGACAAUCAGGUGGCUAUUCACAUUGCUACAAACUCAGUGUUUCAUGAGAGGACAAAGCACAUUGAAGUAGACUGCCACAAGGUGAGGCAGAUGAUAGUCUUGGGAGUGAUCUUGCCGUGUUAUACAAGAAGUGAAGAUCAGUUGGCAGAUGUGUUCAACAAGGCAGCAAGACAAAAGACUAUGGUUACUUGGAAGAGUAAGAAGCAGAAGGUUGUAUCAUGCUCUAAUGCUGAAGCUGAGUAUAGAGCUAUACUAAAGCUUACCAACAAGUUGGUAUGGAUCAAAGGGAUUCUUAGGCACUUGGAGAUUGAGCAAGCAACACCAAUGACUAUGCAUUGUGACAUUCAGGUGGCUAUUCACAUUGCUACGGUCGCUGCGUAGCAACCCUUUUCGUGCUCUUUUCCGAUGACUCGCGUUUCCUCCGCAAAGCUUUUCGUAAAGAAGAAUCUAUUUCGAAAAAGUAUUGUCGAAGAAGGCGCAGAUGUGUUCACCAAGGUAGCAAGACAAAAGACUAUGGAGUCCAUUCACAUCAGAUUGGGACUCAUAGAUCUUGGGAAGAGAAGGAGCUGAUCCCCUAAGUCAUGAGGUCUUUUCUCUUUUUCCCUCAUCAAGGUUUUGUCCCAAUGGGUUUUCCUUGGUGAGGUUUUUAAUGAGGAAGAUCUCAUGGCUAUCCAAGCUUAGACUUUCACAAAGCUAAGCUUGAGGGGGAGUGUUGAGAUGAGAUCAAUAUAUGGGAAGAGAAAGACAUGAGGAGUUGAUUAUGAUGAAGAGGCCAUACAUGGCGUAGUAAUACUAGUUACCCGAGUAACUUCCAAAGGUUAAACCAAAGUUACCCUAGUUAUCCUAGUAUACUAGUUAUAGUAGUUACCCGGAUAACUUUGGAUGAAGAAGAAAAUCUCUAUUCCCUUUGCUAAGGUAUCAGACCGUUGCAUGGGACGAGGAGGCGUGUGUGACAGGCAGGAAAAGAGCUGGAUGAAGCAAAAUGAGCUUUAUGCACAAGGAGGAAGUUCAUUGGAUGGUUUGAAUUAAAGCAAAUCUUAUCUCUUGUAAUAGUGCCUCUUUAUGAAACCCUCAUCCUAAUGUUGCCUCCUCAUAUAUAUUGUAAACUUUGAUCAAAUUAAUAAUUAAGAAGUUUGGGAUUAUCUCUCUAGACUCUCUCUCUUGUUCAUGAUGAUUCUUAAAUACUCUUAAACCUGAUUACUACCUAAUCUCUCUACAAAUCUCCCUUUAAUCUUCUCUAAUCUACCUUUAAUCUCUCAAUACCUACUCUAUUCUCUAAAAUCUUAUUCCUAGUGUUGAAGUUCCCUUCGCUAGACGCAUUAAGAGCCAUCUGAUACUACACUGUGAUGCCGCUAAAUAAAGUGCUGAGCAGCUGCACUUCAUUGAAUCCAUGGUGUGGACAAUCUCUUUGGUAAGACUUGAAUCUGAUCCAGGAGCUUCUGAAUGACUUUGUAGGCUCCUGCGUAAAUGUAGCAAUCUUUCUCCUCAAGUCUUCAGCACGCGCCUCAUCAAAGAAGUUACACAGGAAUGCGUUCUUGAUGUCGGCCCAGGAUGUAAGAGAUCCUGGUGGAAACUGCUUAAUCCAAUGUGAAGCCUCUCCAGCAAGUGAGUACUUGAAGAGCAUGCAUAAUAGGUAGUCCUCAUGGACUCCAUUGACUUUGAAAGCAGAUAUAAGAUCCUCGAACCUCUCCAGAUGGUCCAUAGGAUGCUUGUGAGGUAACCCACAUUAAGGUGUCUGUCCCACGAGUGUGUAGUACUGCGGCUUCAACUCGAAAUCACCAUUCUCAUCUCGUACAAUAACUAAAGUUGCAACCAUGUCUCGCGGCUCAGUAUCGAUUGAUAUUCGGGAUGAAGUAUUGAUCGAUGUCGGAUGGAAGAUAUCGGUCGACGGAAGAGUAGUUUCGGUCGAUGGUGGUGAGCGAGUGUCGGUCGACGAAAUUGGUGUUUGGGUCGACGGUGGUUGGCGAGUGUCGAUCGACGAACUAGUGUUGUUGUCGAUCGAUGAGGAGCUUCUUCCUUUGCGGAUCAAACGUUCCAAGCUUGCAGGAUCUGAUGAGAAUAGCAGUGGUGUUUCUUUGUUGCUUCUUGUACUGCAUGGCAUGCACCUGAAAAUACAAGAAAAAAAAUUUAUGUCAGAAAGAGGUUUAAAGAAGUAACCUAGACUAAAUCAGACUAGAUCUAUAGGGGAUCAAAGCUACCCGGCAGAAGCGUCAAAUUUGAUCUCACUCAAAUUACCAUAAGGAGUAAAUUAUUCUCUCAAAUAAGAGGUUCAAUUGUAGUACUUAGGGAUCGAAUCCACAAGGAGCUAGGGAACCUAAUAAAUCUAAUCAGGGUGAUUAAGCUAGGUUGAUUAUGUUUAAAUGUAGAAAACAAGUUGUGAGCAAGGUACUUUCUCGGUUGGUUUGAUUGAGUUUUGAUACUUAAAUGAAAUAGCUAGACUUAGGGUUUCUAUUCAUGUAAUCAGGAUUAUAGUCAUACAGAUGCUUAACAGUUGUAUGUAUGAUAUUAUAGAGCUCAAUCACUUAAGAACAUACCAAUCGGCUUUCGCUUUCUAGGUUUGUCUAUUGACCAGAUCUAAUGGUCUCAACAGUAGGUUGAACCAAUUAGAAAGUGUCGAUCGAUGACUCUAGAGGAAUAUCGAUCGAUGCGCUCUUAGUCAAGCUUUACGCGCGGGUUGAAUAAUUCUCACUAGGCUUACUAGAUCAGAUUUCGUCUUACUCUAGCAAUCCUACCUCAAUUAGGGCGGAUUCAGGGUGAGAUUCAAGUAUUAACUUGUGCCUACAACUCCUAGGUCAAGGUUCUAGCUAGCUAAACUAGAAACAUGCAUUAAUGACAAUCCUAUUGGUAAAUAUUACAACUAGCAAUCUAUAGUUGGGGUUAAUCCCUCAUAACUUAUUUGAACCCUAAACAUAACAGUAGAACUACUCAGACAUAGCUAAGCAAUUCAUAGCAACAAUAAGGUAUAAAACUGCAUAGAUAUAGAAUAGAAAAUAAUGGAGUUCCAAAUCACAAAUCUCUCUGGAUCUUCUCUCCAACUCUACUAAAUCCUAGAAAACCUUUUGCUGUGAAAACAAGAGAACAAAAAAGCACACCUUGCCUAAAACACAUUGGUAAGCUAUAAAUAUUAGGUUAAAAACUCGUAAGGGGCAAUCUUAUAAUUUUGUGAAAUCUUGGGCUCUAAGUCGGCUGGAACCAAACGGGCUUAUGUGCUCUUCGCUGUCAAUUGAUGUCACAAGGUGUGCAUCGAUCGAUUAUUUCCUCUGAAUGUCGACCUCUGGUCUUUCUCGAUGGUUAGCUCAGAUGUUCUCUCCUUUUAUCUCUAAAAUUCUCCAAAAUCAUUAUUUUCUUCCAAAUCACUCAUGAACCUAUAAAUAUACUAAAUAGACUAUAAAACAUAGUAAUUAGUUAUUAAAAUACUUAAAAACCAUGGCUAAAAGUGGGUAAAAUCCAUGGCCUAUCACUUGAUGACAUGCUUGAUGAGCUGCAUGGUUCCUCUGUUUUCUCUAAGAUUGAUUUGAAAAGUGGCCAUCACCAAAUUCACAUGAAAGAAGGUGAUGAAUGGAAAACUGCAUUUAAAACUAAGCUAGGGUUGUAUGAGUGGCUUGUCAUGCCAAUUGGUCUUACUAAUGCACCUAGUACAUUCAUGUGUUUGAUGAAUCAUAUCUUGCGGUCCUUUAUUGGCCAUUUUGUUGUUGUCCACUUUGAUGACAUUCUUAUUUACAGCAAGAAUCAUGAUGAUCAUAAGUUGCAUUUGAAAUCGGUUCUUGAAGUCCUUAGGAAAGAAAGGUUGUUUGGAAAUCCUGGUAAAUGCUCUUUUGUAACAGAUCAUGUGGUGUUCCUAGGUUUUGUUGUAGGUGCUGAUGGACUCCGGAUGGAUGAGGAAAAGAUCAAAUCCAUCCGUGACUGGCCUAGUCCGACGACCGUUGGUGAGGUAAGGAGCUUUCAUGGCUUAGCUGGGUUCUACCUGAGGUUUGUCCAGAAAUUCAGUACUAUAGCAACCCUACUCACGGAAGCGAUCAAGAAGAAUGUUGGGUUCAAAUGGGAACGAGCUCAAGAGGAGGCAUUUCAGAUUCUUAAAGGGAAUUUAACUCAAGCUCCUUUGCUUACUCUUCCUGAUUUUUCUCAAACUUUCAAAAUUGAAUGUGAUGCCUCAUGCGUGGGUAUAGGUGCUGUCUUGAUGCAUGAUAAGAAACCCAUUGCUUACUUCAGUGAGAAACUUGGAGGAGCCAUGCUCAAUUACCCCACUUAUGACCAGGUGUUGUAUGCUUUAGGGAGGGCUCUUCAAACGUGGCAGCAUUGCCUAUGGCCGAAGGAGUUUGUGAUUCACACGGAUCAUCAAUCCUUGAAACAUCUCAAGGGCAAUCAGAAGUUGAACAAGAGACAUGCAUGUUGGGUCGAAUUCAUUGAAACAUUUCCUUAUGACAUCAAAUAAAAACAAGGUAAGGAAAACGUGGUGGUUGAUGUCUUGUCUAGAAGGUAUGCUCUUCUUUUAGCCCAUGAAACUAAGUUGCUGGGUUUUGAAUUCAUCAAAGAUUUGAAUGCAACUGAUCAGGAUUUUAAAGAGGUUUUCAGAAAAUGUUCCAAGGCGGCUUAUGGAAAAUAUUAUCAAAUGUUUGGAUUCUUAUUCUUUGAUAACCUUUUGUGUGUGCCCCAAUGGUCUUUGAGGGAGUUGUGAGAUAUUGCAGAAUCAAGAAAACACACAAGGUGGUUCAUGAGCACUUCUCUUGGCCGAGCCUGAUUAAGGAUGUGGAACGGAUCUGUGACCGAUAUGUGGUCUGCAAGAAAUCCAAAUCCAAGGUGAAAAGUCAAGGUUUGUACUCAGCUUUACCCAUUCCAUCUCUUCUUUGGGUCGAUAUAUCUAUUGAUUGUGUGCUUGGACUGCCUAGAUCUAAGGCCGUAAGAGAUUCUAUCUUUGUGGUGGUUGAUAGAUUCUCUAAGAUGGCUCAUUUCAUACCUUGUCAUAAAAUUGAUGACGAUGUGCAUGUUGCCGAACUGUUCUUUAAAGAUGUUGUUAGAUUGCAUGGUAUGCCUAGAACGAUUGUUUCAGAAUGAGAUGCUAAGUUCCUUAGCUAUUCCUGGAAAACAUUGUGCUCUAAGCUGGAAACCAGGCUGUUAUUCUCGACCACUUGUCACCCCAAAACUGAUGGACAAAAUGAGGUUGUGAACCGGACCUUGUCUGCUUUGGUUAGGUCCUUGGUUAAGAAAAAUCUUAGGCUUUGGGAAGAAUGUUUGCCUCAUGUUGAAUUUGCAUAUAAUCAUUCCAUGCAUUCUUCUACUAAGUUGUCUCCACUUGAUCUUUUGCCUUUGCCUUUGAGUGAAAGAGUUAGUACAAAUGGCAAAAGAAAGGCGGAUACUAUUCAGAAGUUACAUGAGCAGGUUCGUGCCAACAUUGCAGCCAAAACAAUGGUUUACACAAGAAAAGCCAACAAGAAAAGGAACAAGGUCGUUUUUGAGGAAGGAGAUCUUAUUUGGGUUCACCUAAGGAAAAAAACGGUUCCCAGAAGAGAGAAAGUCCAAAAUCAUGCCCCGGGUCUAUGGGCCAUUUCCGAUCCUUCGGAAAAUCAGUGAUAAUACUUAUCAGCUUGAUUUACAAGGUAAGUACGAAAUCUCUUCAAGCUUUAACGUUUCUGAUUUAUCUCCUUUUCUUGCAGAUAAUCCAGAUUUGUGGAAAACUCCUUUUGAGGAGGAGGGGAAUGAUGCACCUCAGUACAUAGAACCGAACCAUGAUGAAGAUUAGACUGUUCAGAUCAAUCCAACCGAGGUUUUCCAUUGGACCGUGCUGAUCGUACCGCCCCAUCCGUUCAUGCCGUCCGAACCGACCGCGUUGUUUAUCGUCUGGACCCGCGUACGUCCAGAAUGGAGCUUAGGCCAGUCCCACGUCCUACACCAAAAGAAGACCUUUGGCCUACUGUCCAGGUUCAUCCCAACCAGCUGUGUCCAAAUCGGUAAGGAUCAGUGCAUGCGUGGGACAAUCAGUACGGGCCGCCGAACGUUCUGAUCAGUCAAGUUGAUAUGAUCAUGGACCAGUCAAACAAAGAAGAUAAUGAGAGCAUGGAUGAUCCAGCUGAUGGAGGAGCUCUACCCAUUUCUGAAGUCCUAUGACUCGAGUCAGAAGCAAGCAACUCAAAAAAGUCGAUUGAGUGUUGGUGUGUAAUAUCCAACUUCUGGUGUGUAAUAUCCAGAGUCUAAGGGCUUCUUAUUUGGUGUGUCAUAUCCAGAUCAGUCGCCUAGGAGUAUCAAGAGAUCAUCCAUCCCUCUUGUGUCACCAUUCGAUCCACAUACCUUGAGAAACUUGAGUCUUUUGAUUCGUUUCUGCAAGGAUUAUCCCUUCUGUUCCAGAGCAUCAUCCUAGGAUCUCAUUAUGUGGUAUCAGAGCAACUCUGGAACGGAAGUGUUAUGAUUUCUAACUGUUGUCGAUUUGAUCUCUCCAUAUUCUGUUUUGAUUUUGAUCGAUCUGUGUUUCUAUUGUUUAAAUCUGUUAGAUCUAAGUGUUUUGAUCACGAAUCUGUUGAAGUCUCUUCAUAUACUCUUUGAUUUCGUGUUGAUCUGUGUUCCUUGUGAAGAAAUCUAUCGAAUUUGGCUUAAUUAGAUCUUGUUUUGGGUAUUAGACUGUUCGGAUCCUUGUUCAUCAAGUUAUCCGAUUGCUUGAUCUGAAUCUGUUUGUUGAUUGCAGUCGAUCUGUUCUUAUUGUUUUAGAUCUGUUCUUGCUUGAUCUAAAUCUCAUCAUCUGUUAUCAUAUCAUCUCUGAUCGUGUGUUGAUUGAUAUUUUGAAACCUAAUCCGUGUAGUGCAAGUUUGAUUGAUUUCGUUUUGAUAUUUUUGUUUUGAAAAAUCUGUGCUUGAAUCUGAAAUCGAAAUCUAUCUCUCCAUUUUUUUUGUUCUAGUUUCGAAAUCAAUCUGAUCUGAUAGGCUUAAGAUUUCAAUUCUGUUCUGAUUAGUUUUGAUCUCUUUUAAAUCAUUGGUUGAGUUUGAAUUUGUUCUGAGAAUUGUCUAAAGUUUUAAGCUUCAAUUUGAAUCUCUGAUUUUGCAAAUUGGUUGUUUGUUUUCUCUGUAGAACUAUUUACUGGCUUAGUCUUUCUCUUGUCUCAGGUACCAUGGCAGGAGAUCAAAAAGGAGAACUCAGCAAGAAAGAAAAGCUUUUUCUUGAAGAAUUCACAGCCAGUCUGUAUAAAGCCUGCAAAGAUCAAAUGAGAAAAUUCAGACAACACAUACAUCAGCAAAGGAAAGGCAGAUCAUCCAGAGAUGAGUACAAGAAAAAGGAGUUUGAUCAGAUGGACAAAAACCGGAAGCAUGCUGGAUUGAAAUAUCAAAUUCCUUCUUUUCAUGGCAAGGCUGAUCCUGCUGCAUAUGUGGAAUGGGAAGAGAAGAUGGAGUUGAUUUUCGACUAUCAAAGCUAUGCUGAAGUAAGGAAGGUUCAAUUAGCCACUGCUGAGUUUUGUGGUUAUGCUUCAAGCUGGUGGAAGCAAUUGGUGUCGUCUAGGAGACACUAUGGAAAAGAACCUGUUGCAACCUGGCUUAAAUUAAGGGCUUUGAUGCGUCAUAAGUAUGUUCCAAGACAGUACCACAAGGAAGUGCUUCGAAAACAGUCUGAAACAAAGCCAUGCUCUGCAAACUCAGUCCAGGAACAACAAGGCAGGAUCAGAUCAAGAUCAACCGGUGUUAUUGGUUUACCUAGCAAGACAACGAGCUGGUUCUGUGAGGAGGACAUAAAGAAGCUGUCUCAAGUGAUUAUGGAUGUGGAGAAACAAUUCAGGGAGACCCACACUACACGUCCAUCCUUAGAAGAACAGAACCAGGAGUUAAUCACUUCAGUCUCAGAACUUAAUUCAGCAGAGCCGGUAUCAGCUACAUCUAUUCAAGGAGAUCAAGCCAAAGAAUCAUCAGCUGCCAUUCAGAAAGAUGAGCAGCCUGUUCAGAACGUCAUGGUUCCUUUCAAACAAGCCAUAGUACCAGAAGAGACACCCAGGGAACCACAGACAGCUUGCAAAAAGAGACAACUGAUUGUCUUUGACCCGUGUGAUUUCCAAAAGACAUUCUUGGGUAUUUUUCUGUUCAAUCCCUUUGUCUGGAACAAGACCAGAGCAGUAGAGCUUUCAAGACACGAACUGGGCAUGGAACAUGUUGUAUUUGAGCCUGGAGGAGAGUUGUGGAAUCACAGGAACAAUCCCAUAGUGAUUGAGAAGAAAUCGGCAGCAACAACAAUUGUUUUUGGUGAUCUUUUACCCUCUGAAGCUAAAGGGAUGCACGUCUCAGCUCAGCAAGAUUUUCACUACGAAACCAAUUGGAGAAUGUUACCAACUCUUUCCUGGAUCCAACAAACCGGAAAACGCAGCAAAUGGCCACCUGAUCAUCAAGAUAUUGUCAAUUCCGCAAAACAUAUCGGUUUAGCCAAAUUCUGUGAGCUGCUUAUAUCAGAUUGGGCUGGAAGGUUACAGAUCUACUUGUGGAAACCUGGAGCAUAUGACAGCACACUUAUCAUCCUUGGAGAGUGCUCUGCUCGUGCUAGAACCAGCUUGGGUAAUAAGGAGUUGGAAGCUGAUCAAAAUGCCUUGCUUCUUGAUCAUGUCAAGGUGUGGAAGCCACCAGAUUUGCAAAAGCUUCAAUACCAUUUCAGAGAUUGUAAAACCAAGAGUGGAAAUGGAGAUUUCACUAGAGAAAAUGGUGAAGUGAUUACUGGAGCAGGAGGAAAACUCAUGUUUUCUUCUCAAAUCAAGGAGAAACCACCAAAUGGACUCAGUCUAAAACAAUCUCCAAAUAAACCAACCCGAGGAAAUUAUCUAGAUUCAAAGAAACGCAUGAAACCUGAUUUGCUUUCUAUCGGUACAGGUCAAACAGUUUUGCGUGCUAUAAUUUCCGAAAGGAGAAACUAUGGUAAUGAUUAGAGUACCAAGAAUGGAUCCUUGGCUAAAUUGGAGAUGCAACAAUCAAAUCUUGGAAGCUGUCUAGCCGCCAGCUUUGACAUAGGAGCAGUCCGAGGAUCAUAUCUCAGCAACCAGAAGGAAUUAAGAAACAAACUCAACGGCAAUGGAAACCUAACUCAUCAGGGUCUCACGUCGAAUUGAAAUCAGGUCCAAAGCUUCUCAAAUGCAAGAGUUAUGGGUUCUACAAGUCGGUUGAUUCUGUGUUUGCUUUGUCUAAACUUUUCUGAGUUUAGAACAUCUCAAUCCUAUCUAUGGCGACCAGGUGAGCAUGCUAAGGUAACUAAUCAUGUUUUCAAGAGUUAUUUUAUUAAUUACACAGAUAUGAUGCACUUGUUUUUGUCAAAAGAAUCAUGUGCAGAUUAUAUGGAAGCUUUGAAGCAUGCAAAGACAAAGAACAAGCGUGAGGUAGACAAACGUUUCAAGCCACCUGAUCUAAGCCAGGAGAGACAUCAGGACGUCACUUGCUUCAUCCUCAUCAAAGAAGCACCUCCAGAUGCAGCAUACAAGCCAAAACCGAGAAAAUACAACUUUGGGAUAAGACUCUUACUCUAUGAUGAUUUUGCUUGUGUUCACUUGUUUUGUUUCAAUGUAUCAGGUUUAAGUAAUGCCUCAGGAGUAAGGAGAGCCAAAUGGCCCUUCUACAUAAUAGAACCAGUCAGCAACAAUGCCUAUCAAAGAGGCUUGCAAGGUAAGUGUAAUCUGAUUAUAAACUUUAAUGUUACUGACUUGGCUCCUUUUGUUGCAGAUGAGCUAGAUUUGAGGACAAAUCCUUUUCAAGAGGGAGGGGAUGAUAUGAUCAUGGACCAGUCAAACAAAGAUGAUAAUGAGAGCAUGGAUGAUCCUGCUGAUGGAGGAGCUCUACAUGGAGGAGCUCUAGCCAUAUCUGAAGGUCCUAUGACUCGAGCCAGAAGCAAGCAACUCAAAGAAGCCAUUGGAGGAUUACUUAAGACAUCACUGAAGCAAGAAGAGAGUCUUGGAAGAAGCUUGAUCAACCAAGACACACUUGCCACAAUUCAAGCCAUCUCAGCUCUAAGAUAGACAUCAAAUGAGCAAGUAACAUAUGUGUGCUCUUUUUCCCUAUCUUUGGUUUUGUCCCACUGGGUUUUCCAAAGAUAGGUUUUUAAUGAGGCCAUAUGUUGCUUUCCUAUCACUCAUUUGAUGAUCUCAGUUCAAGACUUAAUUUUAAUUAUUUAUCUUUGUUGACAUGAAGCAGAAUUAGGCUGCUAGACUUGAGAAUUAAUCUGCCAGACUUGAAAACCCAUAUAAGGUUUUAUAAGGUUUAUUUUUAGGCCCAUUUAGAGACCAAGGAGCCUGUUCCUUGCCUUCUCUAUAAAUAUGUGUCUGAAAACCCUAAUAGAACUAUCCAUCUUUUUAUCAAAAACCCUUGUUUUCUCUUUUCUUCUUGCUUGUCGAGUCGAUUGAGUGUUGGUGUGUAAUAUCCAACUUCUGGUAUGUAAUAUCCAGAGUCUAAGGGCUUCUUAUUUGGUGUCUCAUAUCCAGAUCAGUCGCCUAGGAGUAUCAAGAGAUAAUCCAUCCCUCUUGUGUCACCAUUCGAUCCACAUACCUUGAGAAACUUGAGUCUUUUGAUUCGUUUCUGCAAGGAUUAUCCCAUCUGUUCCAGAGCAUCAUCCUAGGAUCUCAUUACAAGUUGUGUUCCAACGUGACCGAAGUCUUCAGAAAGCUUAAGAAUCCUUGUCUUAGAGAAAUGUCUGAGAAAAAAGACCAUCAUCGCGUCGAACACGGAGGCAAGGUCAUUAGUACGGUUGUCAGGACACCUGGUAUGAACCAAUCUAACCAAAAGAGAGACGUUGUGGUUGUCGUCAGCUUCCUCUCGUUCUAAGUUGAUUAUGGCUCGACCAUCAGUUUUAGCUUGGCGCGUUGGACUGGAAAGGACGCCAGCGGAUCGGUCCGUUCCUUCGUCAGGACGUGGUUUCGGACGUACGCGGGUCCAGACGGUAAACAACACGGUUGGUACAGACAGCAUGAUCGGAUGGGGCGGUACGAUCAGCACGGUCCAAUGGGAAAACCUCAGUUGUAUUGUUCUGAAUAGGGGUGGGCAAAAAAACCAGGCUGUUAUUCUCGACCACUUGUCACCCCCAAACUGAUGGACAAACUGAGGUUGUGAACCGGACCUUGUCUGAUUUGGUUAGGUCCUUGGUUAAGAAAAAUCUUAGGCUUUGGGAAGAAUGUUUGCCUCAUGUUGAAUUUGCAUAUAAUCAUUCCAUGCAUUCUUCUACUAAGUUUUCUCCAUUUGAGGGCGUUUAUGGUUUCAAUCCUUUUGUCUCCACUUGAUCUUUUGUCUUUGCCUUUGAGUGAAAGAGUUAGUACAAAUGGCAAAAGAAAGGCGGACACUAUUCAGAAGUUACAUGAGCAGGUUCGUGCCAACAUUGCAGCCAAAACAAUGGUUUACACAAGAAAAGCCAACAAGAAAAGGAACAAGGUCGUUUUUGAGGAAGGAGAUCUUGUUUGGGUUCACCUAAGGAAAAAAACGGUUCCCAGAAGGGAGAAAGUCCAAACUCAUGCCUCGGGUCUAUGGGCCAUUUCCGAUCCUUCGGAAAAUCAGUGAUAAUACUUAUCAGCUUGAUUUACAAGGUAAGUACAAAAUCUCUUCAAGCUUUAACGUUUCUGAUUUAUCUCCUUUUCUUGAAGAUAAUCCAGAUUUGUGGAAAACUCCUUUUGAGGAGGAGGGGAAUGAUGCACCUCAGUACAUAGAAUCGAACCAUGAUGAAGAUUAGACUGUUCAGAUCAAUCCAACCGAGGUUUUCCAUUGGACCGUGCUGAUCGUACCGCCCCAUCCGUUCAUGCCGUCCGAACCGACCGCGUUGUUUAUCGUCUGGACCCGCGUACGUCCAGAAUGGAGCUUAGGCCAGUCCCACGUCCUUCACCAAAAGAAGACCUUUCGCCUACUGUCCAGGUUAAUCCCAACCAGCUGUGUCCAAAGCGGUAAGGAUCAGUACAUGCGUGGGACAAUCAGUACGGCCGCCGAACGUUCUGAUCAGUCAAGUUGUGUUGCAACGUGACCGAAGUCUUCAGAAAGCUUAAGGAUCCUUGUCUUAGAGAAAUGUCUGAGAGAAAAGACCAUCAUCGGGUCGAACACGGAAGCAAGGUCAUCAGUACGGUUGUCAGGACACGUGGUAUGAACCAAUCAAACCAAAAGAGAGAUGUUGCGGUUAUCGUCGGCUUCCUCUCGUUCUAAGAUGAUUAUGGCUCGACCAUCAGUUUUAGCUUGACGCGUUGGACUGGAAAGGACGCCAAUGGAUCGGUCAGUUCCUUCGUCAGGACGUGGUUUCGGACGUACGCGGGUCCAGACGGUAAACAGCACGGUCGGUACAGACAGCAUGAUCGGAUGGGGCGGUACGAUCAGCACGGUCCAAUGGGAAAACCUCAGUUGUAUUGUUCUGAAUAGGGGUGGGCAAAAAAAUUGAACGGAGUCAAACCGAACCAACCGAAAUCGAUUCAAACCGAACCAAAGUCUAUUUCAGAUUUCUCCAACCCGAAUGGUUUGGUUUAAACCGAACCGAGAAACCGAUAUGUUUUGCAAUUAUUUAAAUUAAAAAUAUUAGUAAUACCAAUAUAGUAAAAUUCUAAUAAUAUACCACAUAUUUUCCAUUUUUCAUUCAUUAACAUAUAUUCUUUUACCCUAAUAUUUAUUCAUCAAAAUAUUUGAUUUGAAAAAACAGAAAAGUUUGUAUGUUUGUAUUUUUGUAUAUGUAAACGUGGAUGUAUAAUCUAUAUCUAGUACCUAAAGCAAAUUUUAUUAAAAACAAAAGUUAUUCUCCAUAGCGUCACAUGGAAAAUGAUUCAUUACAUGCUUUUUAAUAAUGAUAUAAGAGACAUUACUAAUGAUGUUGUUUUUUUUUAGUUAACUUAUGGAAGAUGAUUCAUUUAUUUUAAUUCUUAUAUACUUUUUGUGACUUAAAAAAAAAAUUCUUUCAGUUUAUAUUGAAUUUAGUUCACAUAGUUUAUGUUUACAUAAUUUAUGUUUUAAAACAUAAUUUCACUUAAAAAAAUUAAACUAAAAAGAACCUAAUUAAACUGAUCAAAAAAAUAAACCGAACCAAAUACAAACCGGACCGAAUAUAAACCGAACCGAACACAAACCGAACCGAACCAAACCAAACUAACUAUGGUUUAUUUCAGUUGGAAAAUACUAGAACCGAAUUAACCAAACCGAACCGAUAAAAUAACCGAAGUGCCCACCCCUAGUUCUGAACAGUCUGAUCUUCAUCCUGGUUCGGUUCUAUGUACUGAGGAGCAUCACAAUUACUGGCCACAAUGAGUAUUGUCUUCCAUGCUUUCCGAAUGGACUGAAGCCAUCAGUACAUAGUCCAAGGUACACAUUCCUCUCUCAUAUGCAAAGUCUGGAUAUGUUGAUUGAAAAUGCUUCCACGCUUUUGGUUUGAAGGAAGAAGAUUCAAUGCCUAUGAGAUUGUUCAGAAAAUUAUUCAUGAAGCAGAUUCAUGGUUUAUAGCUGAAGAGGUGGAAGUGAGAAGAUUGGAGGAAGGGAAAAGGGUGGCGCAGGCAGUGGUAAUCAAAUGGGAGCCUCCUCAAGUUUCAUGGUUAAAAUUCAAUAUAGGAAUGCACUGGAAGAAUGAUAUUGCGUCGGGAAAAGCUGCAUGGAUGUUAUGGGAUUCUGAAGGGAAGGUGUUAAUGCACAGUAGGAGAGCUUUAACUGGUUUAAACAACUUGGAAGGAACUGAAGUUUCUUGUGCUUAUGUGGGAGAUUGAUAGCAUGGUAAACCACAUGUUGAACAUGGUGAUUUUUGCGAUGGACGAUGACAUGAUUGUUGGAGCAAUCACAAGACCAAAAGCAUAGCCAUCUUUCAAAGCGAUGGGAGCAAAUAUUUUGUUUACAAUGAGGAAGAUUGAAUGGUGGAGGGUGGUUAAGGAAGUGAAAAUCAGAAAUAGAGGUGCAUUUCGCAUUGCUCAAAGUGUGACUAAAGGAAGAAGAACUCAGUCUUAUGUUGCAGUAGGUUAUCCUUUUUCGCUGCAGGAAGUCUUUGAAAAUGAGAAACGUUUGGCCUCUCUUUUAAUGAAACUGGUUCCCUAGAGAAUUAUUUUUUUUGGUAUACUAGGGGUUUGGAAGUGUUAGCUUGACUGAUUUUAGGAUUGGAGUUAGUAGUGGCUAUGAUAGUGGCUUUUUGUUAAAAAAUGAUGGUUGCAGUGUUAACCUUUAUGGUGAAUGAAAUAUUCAGAUGACAAAAAAAAUAUUUCAUUAUGGUUGUAAUGUUAACCCUUAUGGUGAACAGGAGAGUAUUACCGGUCGAGCCUACAACCCUUCCUUCGAUUCCAGGAAGAUGGUGUUUCACAGAUGGCUCUUGGAAGGAGAAUGAUGUUUUCGCUCAGGACAAGGUUGGCUUAGUACUUUAGAAAGUUUUGCUGGUUUGUUGGGGGCGAGGAAUGUACGAGCUUGUCUAAUUCUUCUGCAUGCGGAAAUGGAAGCUCUACUAUGGGCAAUGGAAUGUAUGAAAAAUUUACGUCAAUUUCAGGUUACGUUUACAACGGAUUGUUAUUAAUUGGUGAAUAUGGUUUCGGAACCAGAGGAAUGGCCAGCAUUUACAAAUUAUUUGGAAGAUAUCAAGAUCCUGAGAGCGAGUUUUAUUCGAUCAGAGAUCAUCUAUGUACCAAGGACGCAAAAUUCAAAGGCAGAUAGUCUAGCACGCAGUGUCAGGAAACAACCGUAUUUCGUCGUUCACAUGGAUCAAGAUUUCCCGGUUUUGUUCACGGAGUCAGUAUGAGUCUGUUUUUGAUGACAAAAAAAAAAAAAAAGUUAACCUUUUUGGUGAAUGAAAUAUUCAACAUCCAGAGGGAGUCUCUGUUUUAAAAAGAAUAUUAAUCUUCUUUUACCGACAUAUGGUUAGGCUGAAACCUAACUUAUGUUUCUAAUUAAAAACAAUAACAAGUGAUUGUUGGUAGAAAGUUUUAGAACUAUAUAACUCAAAUUUUUGGCUGCUUUCCUUUAUCACAACCUACUUGAGUUCGUGCACAUCGACAUAAAGUAGUAAAACCAUGGGUGUUCUGCCUAAUAAGUUGAAAACCCAUUUAAGGUUCUCAUGAAUAGUCAACCAAGAAGAAAUACAAAUAGGUUUACUUCAAAGAAAUCAUUUGUCUCUUUUCAUAAUAAUUUUAUUUAUUGAGGCGUUUGUUAGCCUUCUUGAUUAUGUAACAAAUUAUGGAAAGAUAACGGAAAUGCGUGUUCACGUAUUAGCUCUUCGAUAUCACACAUUCCUUUUGGUGAGGAUAUUAUUUUUUUGUAAAGUGGAGCCUGUAAAUAUAAAUAAGAUAUAAAAAUAGUGAAGACAUAUGGGAAAGCAUCAGGCUAAUGCAUCAAUUUUUAUAAACCAUUCUUAAUCUUUGGUAAGAGAGUUCCUCAAAAUGUAAGGAAAACAAUUAAAGAUAUUUUUGGGAUCCAAAAUAAAGGUGGAAUGGCGGCUCUUACUUAGAGAUCCCAGAAGAUAUUAGCGGAUCCAAAUAUAAAGUGUUUGGCUUUCUUAAGAACAGAUUACAAAACAGAGCAAGUAGCUGGAUAUGGUUAUCAAAAAGAGGUAAAGAAGUGCUAACAUCUAUUUUAAUGGGUCAACAUCAGCCCUAAAGGUCAACACAAGUGCUAAUAAAAUCUAUUUUAAUAGCUUUUUGGACCUAUGUUAUGUCUUUUUAUUUCUCUUGGAGAUCUGCAAAAAUUCUUGCGAGUUCCAUUGCACGUUUUCGAGUCCCCCCUCCCCUCCCUCCUCCAAAGAGAGGAAUACAUUGGAAAAAUGACAAAAAAAAAACUACGCUAAUCAAGAAAAAAAGGAGGAAUUGGCUUCAUAAUGAUUCAUGAGAUUAAUUUAGCUGGCAAAACAGUUUGGAGAUUAGUACAAUUUCCACUCUCUUGUAGCAUGGGUUUUGCGUGGCAAGUACUAUAGACUUAGUUCAUCGUCGCGAGCUGGUGUUAUAGAUUCCCCAUCAUACAUAUGGACUAGCUUAUCUAUUGCAAGGCCUCUGCUGUUAUUUGGGAUUUGACAGAAAAUUCAUUCAAUUUGACAAAAAAAAAUCCAGCUAUGCCAAAUGUCCCAAUAGUCCAUCUCAAAAUGACAAUUAGUGAUCUUAUCAGCAAAGAUUCAAAGGAUUGGGAAGUUGCAAUGUUUAGAACUUUGUAGCAAAAGAAGAUAUACAUUUGAUUAGAAGCUUUUGAUACCACUCAAAUUACCUUAAGGAGUGAUUUAUACUCUCCCAAAUAAGAGGUCGAGUUGUAGUACUUAGGGAUCGAAUUCACAGCGAGCUAGGGAACCUAGGAAAUCUAAUAUGAUUUGUUAAGCAAGAUUGGUUUUAGAGUAUUUAAAUAUAAAUUACAGUUUUUAUAUUGAACGAGUAUUUGUUCGAUAGCUGGUUUGAGGUUUUGGUGCUUAAAAAAAAAUAGUUAGACUUAGGGUUUUUAUUCAGGAAACUUGGGAUUAUAAUCCUACAGAUGCCUAAUGAGUUGCAUGCAUGAUAAUGUAAAGCUCAACUACUUAGUCUACAAGUCCAUCAUCGUUCGCAAUGUUUGGACUCGUCUAUUAACUAGAUCUAUUGAUCUCAACUGUCGUAUUUUGAUUAAUAGAAAGUGUCUAUCGAUAAUCCUAUAGGGAUAUCGAUCGAUACACCUUAUGCACCGCCGAUCGAUUAUUCAAGUGUGAUAUCGAUCGACGCGCUCUAGUCAAGCUUUAUGCGCGGGUUGAAUAACAGCUUACUAAGCUCACUAGAUCAGCUCUCGCCUUGCUCAUAGCAAGAAACAUAGCUCUAUUAGAAUGUUUUCAGGAUGAGAAUAAAGCUCUCGCUUUUAUCAAUCAAAUCCAAGUGCAGGUUCUAGGUAGCUAAUCUAGACAAAUGCAUUAAUGAACAAUCCUAAAGAUGAUUAUCACAAAUCAGCAAUCUAUAGUUGGGGCUAAUCUCUCCUAACCUAUUUAAACCCUAAAAUCUAACAAUGGAACUACUCAGACAUGGCUAAGCAAUUUAUAACAACAGUUAAGAUUAAAAACUUAAUUAGAAUAGUAAAUAGAUAUCAAUGGAGUUCCAAUCACAAAUUAUAACUUUGGAUCUUCUCUCCAAUCUAUCAAAAUCCUAAAAACCUUUGCUGUGAAAAUCUUAAAACUAGAAAAGCACACUUUGCCUCUAACAUGGCGGCAAAGCUUAUAUAAUUAGGGUAAAACUCGUCAGGGGUAAUCUUGUAAAAAGGUGAAGACUUGGGCUUCAAGUUGGUUGUGACCAAACGGGUUUUCUGCGCGCUUCGCUGUCGAUUGAUACAUAGAUGUGAGUAUCGAUCGAUUAUUUCUCUCCAAUAUCGACCGAUGGUCGAGCUCGAUGGUCAUCUCGGGUGCUUGCUCCAAAUAUCUCCAAAACGCUCCAAAAUCAUCAAUUAUCUCCAAAACACUCCUGAUCUUAUAAAUAUAAUAAAUAGACUCUAUAAUAUAAUAGUUAUUAGUAAAAACACCUAUAAACUAUGGAUAAAAAUUGGUCAAAUCCAUAGUCUAUCAACUCCCCCAGACUUACCCUUUUGCUUGUCCUCAAGCAAAACAAACAGGCAGUCUCUCUGAAAGAGGUUUAAAACAGCAGACCCCGGGGGAUGAUCAGUUUCCCUUACGUCAGACCGGGGUCUGGUGCUGUUUUGACCGCUGAUUCUCGUUGAGGACGGGGAGCUCUGGGCUUCUGAUGAUGUCUUGGAGACGGUGGAGCCUAGAGCUCUGAUGUUUCCUGAGAAGGAAGUGGCGUAGGAGCGAGUCCUGAUGCUGGCGCGAAUAGAGUUCGGGAUCUCUAUCUCUGGUACCGAUUCUCGCCUGAUUCUGAAUAUUUUACUUCCUUAAAUAUAGGAGAUUGACUGGGAUCCACUUUGCCAGUGAAGGAAAGAUUUUUGAAUUUUGAAUCUCCCCCAAAAUCUGGAAGUUAAUAGAUUUGCGGCUUUUUCGGGAAUUUUCCCAACGGUUCCUUCUUUAUAGGCUUUCCCUUUCUUCUCUCCCUUCUUAUUUCUUGCUCUCUCAUCGUCGGGGCCUUGAGUCCAGGUAAUUUUUUCUUUCACCUCUCUCUUAGUUCUUCGGGUUUUGGUUAGAUGGAUCAGACCUCUUAUUAGGUUUCCUCGGAUUUUAGCUUUCUCAUCGCCGCGACCCGUUAAAUAGGAACCAUUGGCAUCAUGUCUAAGCGAUCCACUACUUCUGUUCCCAUGGCGGCCGAUAAGGCUAGGUUGAAGAGGAGGAUGGAAUCGCCGGUUUCCCGAUCAGACAGCUCGUCGGAGGCGAGUGAAGGAUCUGAUUACAAUCUGAUGGCUCCAUUGCCUCUAUCCUUUGUUUACACGGCUCCUUCAUUAGUGGGUCAUGCCUCGUCAGUCGGUGAGGAUGAUGAGCUGGCGGAUUGGCGGAGUAGGUACUCGCUUCCUUCUUCCAUUGUUCUCCCAGUUCCCACACCAUAAGAGCGCGCUUCCAGCUACAUCCCGAGGGAAAUCGCCGUCUACAAAGCUUUCUUUGACUCCGGCCUUAGGGGAACGAUUCCUGCUCUGAUUACGGGGUUGUGCAAUCUUUUCGAGAUUUCGCCCUCGCAACUGAAUCCCCCUGCUUGGAGAAUCCUCAUAGCUAUCCAAAACAUAGGUGAUUUGGAGUAUCUCUCCCUUGGUAUUAAUUAGGUCAUGUUUGCGUAUCACUUGGCUCCCCUUUACGGAGGAGAAGGGAGAUUCCAUCUUCGCCCACGCAGCGGUUUGCCGAUUGCGGAGGAGCUUCCAAAGAAUGAUCGGAAGGGACCGGUUUUUAAUAAAAAAUGGAAGGAGAGAAACGCUUUUAUGGCGUUCCCCGGGUCCUCUCAUCGAUGGAAUUUUAAUGGUAGGAGUCGUUUAAUCCUUUUGUUGAUCGGACACCUUUCUGAUCUUGCGUGUUUUUGUUGUGCAGCCGGAACUCAUUCUGCUCCUUCAGAAGGAGAGAAAGCUGUUCUCCGGGCGCGGCAGCUUCCUGCGGAUCGACGUCAGGUUAAUUUCUUGGUCAGCGAGACGGUGCUGCAACGUAGUAGCCUUUGGAGUAAGCACCUCCUUGCCCUAUCCUCUUUUCUCUCAUAAUUCCUUAACGAUUAUUUCUAUUUAAGAGACAUGUCGGGAGGCAGCCUAUCAGGAAGCGGCGAAGGUGAUGUCUGCGAAGAAAGGGUCUAGCAGUAGGAGUACAUCUGGGGACGAGGUGGUGAUUACUGGCAGCCGUCGUUCACCAGUGGUUAAGUUGGAGCCUUUUUCUUCUCUUCCGGGGAAGAGAUCCAAAAGUGGUGGCGUGACGACUCGAUCAGCACAGCAGUCGCUGACAUAGCUCGUUCUGCAGGUAGUUUAGCUACGGCUUUAUCCAACCUGAACUGGAACGUAUUUCCUCAAGAUGGCACUGUCUUGUCUAUAGGAGAUUCCUCAGAGGUGAUCCAGGUUCUUCAAGGAGGGCUUCUCCGGGUAAGUUCUAUUACCUGCCCGCUUUCCUUUUUGGUUUGGUAAUUUGAUCGAGAUCCGCGUUUUGUGCAGACCGUUUCCCAGCUGCACCAUCUUAGGGGGCGACUAUCGGAUGAAGGCUUGCUCUUCCUUCGAGAGGAGGUCGAGGUUUUGAAGCGCCAGGUGUCCGGAGAGAAGGAACAACGUGUGGCCUGGGAAUUCGAGAUACGCGAUCUUAAGCAGAAGAUAAAAUACCUGGAGAAGGUGGCCGAGGCCUCUUCAGCUGAUGCGCUGGCUGUGAAUCAGAAGAACCAAGAGCUGGAGGAAGAUAUCGAGGCUCUGAGGGCGGCGGCAGAGACUUUUAAGUUCGAGAUGGUGAUGGCCGUUAAUGGAGCCAGAGUCAUCGCUCGCUGGGAAUUGAUGAGGAAGUGGCUGAGGAAGCAGAGUGCCCAGUUGGACUUGGUCACGGCGUUGGAACAGUACAUGUCUGUAGUCCGAGAGGAAGCCAGGAGAAAAGGUGCCCCCCUUCCCACUUUCGAGGAUGAGCCUGCUAUUCCGCCGUCUUCUGAUAUGGACAUGGAUUCAUCCGUCAAGCCGAGAGGAUCCCCGACUUAAACUUGUGUUCCCUGUUUUUCCCUUCUUUGACUAAUGAUGUUUGUUUAAACCUUGGUCCUUCGUGGCCUUUAUUAUUUCUUCGAACAAUGGCCAUGUUGUUGCCUUCUUAUUAUCCAGACUCUUGCUUGCUUUAAAUCGAGUCUCUAGAGGUCGUUCUCAUAAUAGGCUAAUAAUCAAGAGUUUGUAUGAGGACCCGGGGAUCAUUGGAGAGGGAGGCGCAGAGGCUCCUUUUAGAUCCUUAAAUUACGUCUGGGACCCGAAGGUCCCUGUUGGACCACGAGAUCUUUUAUCUGGGACCCGGAGGUCCUUUCUCAAGGUCAUGGGAUCGAGACUGGGGCCCGGGGGUGAUGUAGGAAUCCGGAGAUUCCUUAGUUGGAUCCUGAGAUCGUGGUUGAAACCCGGAGAGUUCUAUGAUUUGGACCCGGAGGUCGUGUAAGAAUACAUGGUUUCUUCCUUUAGAUCCGGAGAUCGUAUUGGGCCCCUAGUGUAUCUGGACCCAGAGGUCGUGUGGGAACCCAGAGGUUCUUUAGGGAUGUAAUGACCCCGAUGCGCCCUAGGCUGCACAUGGGUUCUAUCCUUUUUGCUAGAAUUGUAUUAGGCCUUUGAGGCCGUGUUGGAACCCGGAGGUUUGGAUCCGGAGAUCGUUGUUUGGAACUCGAAGGUUCUUUGAAGUUGUAAUGACCCCGAUGCGCCCUAGGCUGCACAGAGGUUCUAACUUCUUUCGGAACCCUGAGGCCGUAUAGGAACCCGGAGGUUCUUCCUUAAACCUUGAGAUCUUUGAUUGGAACCCAGAGGCUAUAGGGGAACCCGAAGAUUCUUCCUUAGAUUUUAUACGUAGGACCCGAAAUUGUUUGGCGAACCCUAGGUUUCCUCUUUGGAUCGGGGGCUCGCAUAAAAACCCGGAGUUCCUUGUGAACCCGGAAUGUUUUUGUUUUUCGCAGGGACCGUACUCCGUCUUCCUAGGCAAGACUACUACCGGUACCUGUUUGGAUUCGCAUUCUUCCGCUUGGAAGCUGGCCACUAUCGAGUUCCUAUGUUGUAUUCUACUUCUGCAGGAAGUCACUGACAUGCUUAAAGGGUGCUGGUGUGGGUGUUGUGACCCAAGUGCCAGGCUCACGCUGCUUUCCACGUCUGGAGAAGCAGGAUUUAGAUUUCUCCUUGUGUUUCACAGUACUUUUGCAAUGAGUAUAUACCAUGUGUUCCCCGUAUCAUAUAGCUCGUAGCGUUUUAAUACAGGUACUUUUCACAUUGGUACUCUGGGGAACCCCAUGCGCCUUAGGCUGCACAGGGGUUUUAGGUAGUUUUGACAACAUACUCAGGCUUGCGCAUACCCAUUCCUACUUUAUGUCUCAUACCCAUUUUGAUUCUUUGUGGGCGUGCCGCUGUGGUCGUGCCACUGUGGUCGUGCCGCUUUUGUGAGGGUUGGCCAAGAUUGGAGGUCUCUGGAGACCUAAUCCAGCUCGUAUGCCCUUUAAGUAUAAUGAUUUCCCUCUACUUUUAUAGUCAGAACUAUUUUAUUAUAAGCUUUGUCCGGAGACGUUUAGCAAACAUAGGACUAGGAAAUAAUAAUGCUUAAAUAGUAUAUAGUAGUAUAGAAAUCAUGGUCCGGAGACCGUAUUAAAAAUGAUAGGCUUUGAGGUGCAGGGCAUUCCCGCAGUUAGGUUGUAUUUUAUCGAGCAGGUCGAGGCUUAGCGCCAUUAGCUCGUUGUUUUCCUCCUGAGAGGUGGAUCCGGAGACCGUUGUUCUUUCGUGCAUCUCUGUAGGUACAAUGGCCUCAGAGCCAUAGACUAGCGAGUAGGGGGUUUCCCCUAUUGCUGUUUGUUUUUGGAGUGGUAUGGUAGGCCCAGAGGACUCCGUGUAGUUCUUCCGCCCACUUCCCGUGAGAGCCCUCCAGUCACUUUUUGAGCAUGUUGACCACUAUUUUGUUUGUGGACUCGGCUUGUCCGUUAGACUAGGUUGUCGGGGUGUGACAAAAGUUAGUUUUAUGACCCAGUCCUUGCAUAACUCCUUGAAGUUGUGGCUUGUGGGGGACCCCGAAGCGAGUGAUUACGUAGGUCCACAGGAACUUGCGGAUCUGGAGAUCUGUUAUGCGGCUGAGCGCUUCUGCUUCGACCCACUUGGAGAAAUAGUCAGUGACUAUCAGAAGGAAGACCUUCUACCCCGGCGCCAUAGGGAAUUUCCCUACUAUAUCCAUGCCCCACUUUCCGAAAGGCCAUGGUGAGCUUAUGGACUUGAGGUUCUCCGGGGGGAGCUUGGAGACUGGAGUGUGCCUUCGGCAUUGGUCGCAGUACUUGGCUUGUCUGUUGGCGUCGGCGGCCAUCGUGGGCAAGAAGUAACCAGCCCUUCUGGCUCUGAGCACCAGACUUUUGCCGCUAGAGUGGGAUCUACAGUCUCCUUCGUGUAGUUCUACAAGGAUUCUAGCGGCUUCUUGGGGUGUGACACACCUUAGGUACGGGCCAGAGAAAGACCUCCGGUGUAGCUUCUCCUGGGAGAUAUGUGGGAACCAAAAUUCACACGUCGAGUUUUGUUAAUCGGAGGAAAGCCAAGUUAACCUAGCCUUCCCUGAAGGUCCCGGUUAUCUGCUGGGCAACGCACAACACAAUCAAUAUGAAAGAUCCGAAAGUAAUAAAUCGUAAAAGAGUGAAAAGAGAACAAAGAGGUCUUAUUUCCGAAUUCGCGUUUGAGCGUGAACAUUAGGUAAGAUCCUAGGCCACGAGAGCGGUCGGUAUGUUCGCUAGUCUAGCCACCUAAGUUCUAACCUAGUCGAGUCGCAGCUCGAUAGUAAAAACGGAAAAAUACCCAAAUUGCUCUAAGUAUUAAGUUUGCUCUUAGAAUGCUCUUCUCUUCUCUUCGUCCUAGGUCCUCCUUAUAUACUCCUCCUUAGGUCAGUUUACCUCUUCUCGGGACGGAUUUGUCGCAAAGCGGGCUUUCCCAUAUUUCCUUCUUCUUUGUGAUUAUCUUUGGAAAUUUGACAUUUAUCUCUUCCCGCGGAUGCGAUAAACCGUUAUACCAGUUUUUGAGUUCAAGUCUUUUGGGACCAAAGAUGGGCCGUGGUCCGCAAUUCGGACCCUCUUUGAGCCGUAUCGAGACUUAAGCAUUUUUACGAUUUUACUCGCGAAGUAGCCGUUGGUAUAGGCAUGGUUCUUCCAACGGAGCCCUGUUUCUUCGCAUAGCCGAGGCAGUUGGUGUUAAGUUAACCGUAACCUGCUCUACUACGAAGAAUAGGAAACUGUUCGAGAGACAUAACCUUCCCAACUUCCUGAAUACUUUCAACGAUGUUUUUUAGACGGAACGAGGGCAAGACCUAGGUUUACUUUCGGCUCUAAGGAUGUGCGACGAUUGAUCGGCUCUCGUUUUGCAUGUGGGCGAUUUCCACCUGGGUUUUUCCGAUUUAAAGUCCGCGACUUCGCGCCGGCUUAUAUGACUUGUAUAGAAUGAACCGAGCACUCUCCAGAGACCGUCUGGAGUGCUGACCAAAAUUUUGGAUUUCUUGUAUAGCGCGCUAUGGUAUCCUCGUUGGAUGUAAGAGAACCUUUACUUUUACGAAAGGUUAGACUACGAGUUCUUUUUUGAGAACGUUUUGGNNNNNNNNNNNNNNNNNNNNNNNNNNNNNNNNNNNNNNNNNNNNNNNNNNNNNNNNNNNNNNNNNNNNNNNNNNNNNNNNNNNNNNNNNNNNNNNNNNNNNNNNNNNNNNNNNNNNNNNNNNNNNNNNNNNNNNNNNNNNNNNNNNNNNNNNNNNNNNNNNNNNNNNNNNNNNNNNNNNNNNNNNNNNNNNNNNNNNNNNNNNNNNNNNNNNNNNNNNNNNNNNNNNNNNNNNNNNNNNNNNNNNNNNNNNNNNNNNNNNNNNNNNNNNNNNNNNNNNNNNNNNNNNNNNNNNNNNNNNNNNNNNNNNNNNNNNNNNNNNNNNNNNNNNNNNNNNNNNNNNNNNNNNNNNNNNNNNNNNNNNNNNNNNNNNNNNNNNNNNNNNNNNNNNNNNNNNNNNNNNNNNNNNNNNNNNNNNNNNNNNNNNNNNNNNNNNNNNNNNNNNNNNNNNNNNNNNNNNNNNNNNNNNNNNNNNNNNNNNNNNNNNNNNNNNNNNNNNNNNNNNNNNNNNNNNNNNNNNNNNNNNNNNNNNNNNNNNNNNNNNNNNNNNNNNNNNNNNNNNNNNNNNNNNNNNNNNNNNNNNNNNNNNNNNNNNNNNNNNNNNNNNNNNNNNNNNNNNNNNNNNNNNNNNNNNNNNNNNNNNNNNNNNNNNNNNNNNNNNNNNNNNNNNNNNNNNNNNNNNNNNNNNNNNNNNNNNNNNNNNNNNNNNNNNNNNNNNNNNNNNCGUUUUUGACCCCAACAGUUAGCCCCCCAGCUAGCUAGGAUCCGUGGACCUGGGUGUUAGGUCCUAGCUUGCGGUAUGGUCUGUUCUAGGUGGAAUUUAGACGUAAUCGUUUGUCGAAAGAUCGAAGGUGAAUAGUAAAAAAGAAAAAAUUGUAUAAGUAAGGGAAGUAAGUUUUUCAAAUUCUUUACUCACUUCUUCCCUUAAGAAAAGAUUUCUCCAAGAUCUCUCUUUGCUCAAAGAAAAUGUCUUCAAGAAAAGGAUCUUCAAAGAGGAAUUCUUCCUCACAAAAACUCGUGGGCGAUUUUCGCGAGUGCCGUGGCUUGGUUACUACCCUCUACGAGUCAUAGAACGAGGACUUCUCUUUUCCUACCGAGGUCGCCGAGAUGUCGGGUCUUAUGAAUGGGUGUGCCCAUGCCGAAUCUUUGGUUCCUCCGAUCGAAGGAAGGGUCCGACAGCUUUAGGUCUCCAUCGAGGUCUCGGAGGACACGGCGGAAGCGGUAACCGAUGUCGGUGAUGAAGGUGCCGGAGUCGCGGACGGAGAGGUGGAUCCGCCCGUGAGCUCGUUCGAGAUCUCCAUGUCCGGGUUCCUCGACUUCGAGCUUUGAGGAUUGUUGGGAUUAUUUCCCUUAGUUUUAUUUCGAGGUUUGACGUAUCUAGGCCGAGUGUGGCCGUAUUUGAUUUAUGUGUGUUAUGGCCUUGCGAGGCUAUGUGAACUAUGUGUUUGAGACCGGCCGUUUGGUGGCUUUGGGUCCUAGCCNNNNNNNNNNNNNNNNNNNNNNNNNNNNNNNNNNNNNNNNNNNNNNNNNNNNNNNNNNNNNNNNNNNNNNNNNNNNNNNNNNNNNNNNNNNNNNNNNNNNNNNNNNNNNNNNNNNNNNNNNNNNNNNNNNNNNNNNNNNNNNNNNNNNNNNNNNNNNNNNNNNNNNNNNNNNNNNNNNNNNNNNNNNNNNNNNNNNNNNNNNNNNNNNNNNNNNNNNNNNNNNNNNNNNNNNNNNNNNNNNNNNNNNNNNNNNNNNNNNNNNNNNNNNNNNNNNNNNNNNNNNNNNNNNNNNNNNNNNNNNNNNNNNNNNNNNNNNNNNNNNNNNNNNNNNNNNNNNNNNNNNNNNNNNNNNNNNNNNNNNNNNNNNNNNNNNNNNNNNNNNNNNNNNNNNNNNNNNNNNNNNNNNNNNNNNNNNNNNNNNNNNNNNNNNNNNNNNNNNNNNNNNNNNNNNNNNNNNNNNNNNNNNNNNNNNNNNNNNNNNNNNNNNNNNNNNNNNNNNNNNNNNNNNNNNNNNNNNNNNNNNNNNNNNNNNNNNNNNNNNNNNNNNNNNNNNGUACAGGAAGGCCAUCGGGUACUCUCUCGAAGACAUUCCGGCGAGCUGGCUAGUGUCGCGGCCGAGCUCGCCGGGCGAUCCGUUUUGGCUGUUCGUUUUCUCGGCUUUUGAAGUUUUGACCGAGAUUCAGUUUUUCAAAGGACUUUCGGACAACGAUUCUGUCGUGACUGAUUUUGACCCCAACAGUUAGCCCCCAACUAGCUAGGAUCCGUGGACCUGGGUGAAUAGUAAAAAAGAAAAAAUUGUAUAAGUAAGGGAAGUAAGUUUUUCAAAUUCUUUACUCACUUCUUCCCUUAAGAAAAGAUUUCUCCAAGAUCUCUCUUUGCUCAAAGAAAAUGUCUUCAAGAAAAGGAUCUUCAAAGAGGAAUUCUUCCUCACAAAAACUCGUGGGCGAUUUUCGCGAGUGCCGUGGCUUGGUUACUACCCUCUACGAGUCAUAGAACGAGGACUUCUCUUUUCCUACCAUCUCGUAGUUCUGCUUUGUUGUUACGGGCGUUCCUACUCGUUAGAUAGGGCCGUUUCUGUUACUUUGGCCGUUGAGGCUUUAGUUAAAUUGGCGACCGUUUCAUGAAUCGGGUUUUCCGCUGGUAGGGCGCUGGACUCCGGGAUCGCGUCGCUGUCCGGAGCCGUUGCCUGGGCGAGUGAUUCCGAAUCGCUCUUUGUGGAACCUUCGGGAGUACUCUGAGUUUUCUUGACUCGCUUUGAGCUAACCGCAGGGGUGUUCCGAGUUUGUCGUAGCUUAUGCUCGGCCAAAAAGCAGAGCCUAGAUUGUUUCUGGCAUCCCCAGAUUACUGUUGUUCCGUUUGGUGUUGGGAACUUGAUGCUAAGGUGGUAAGUCGACGGUACCGCCUUCAUUGCGUUGAUCCAUGGGGUUCCCAUGAUAACAUUAUAGAUGGCUGGGUUAUCGCCUACGGCGAAGUCAACAGUGAACUAUAUGUUUGAGACCGGCCGUCUGGUGGCUUUGGGUCCUAGCCGUUUUUUGCGGCUUCUAUAUAAAUGAUGAAUGAUUGACAUUCUGUAUGUUUUAGUUUAUACUUCUGCCAAGUGUGAGGGAAAGAUACGAGUUGUCACUUCGUAUCUUAACUCUUAGUUUAUCGUCUUGUUCGUUUGCUCUUACUGAACGAGGGCGUUCGGAAACGUUUAGGAGUUUCGCAAAGUUUCGUGAGCAUAUUUGAUAUCGACGAUGGGAGCGGGUCGCAGUGAGGUUUAUCGAGUCCGACGGUUUCCUCCUCGAAAACAAUCGUAUCGUUUGGAGCGUUCUCGGUCAGGGACCGAGUCGUCCAGUUAGAACUUGUUUCCGCCUUUCUUCCAUAGGCCUUGAUGGAUGAAACAGAGUCGCGGUAGAAUUACGAUUCUUCAAUGAUCAUGUUUAUCCUCCGGCGGGUACUAUUGUCGCCAAGGUCAUCUUGCCUUCUUCCGCGUUUUUCGCCAGACAGAUUUGCGCGUGCGUCCCUCUCGGGAGACUCUUUAUAAGUCCUGGGAGGGCGGUCAGAAUCCAGGAUGAGGUCUUCUAUGCUAGUGACCUUCGUGAGGUCGCCAGCGAGGAGUUUUGCGGCUAGCCUUGCGCUGAGAACUUUGCAGUCCGUAGUGGAAUGACCUUUGGUCUGGUGGAACUCGCAGUAGGAAUUAUCCUUAUACUGGUUCCUGGACCAGGUGUUUCCGGAGGUCUUCCCUUUUUCGGAAUUGAUAGUGUUCUUGUGCUCGCCCUGGAUGUCUUCUCCCUCGUGGUGGACAUACUUGUCGUUUCGAGAGCUUUUCUUUUUUGUGGGCGUCUUCUGCGGGUUGUACUUCUGGGAGAGGAUUUUCAUCUCCUCUUCCAUUAUGAUGAAGUCCAUUGCCUUAUGAAAGGCAUCCUGAACCGUUCUCGGUUUUUCGAAGGAUACCCAUUGCCAGAAUUUUGACCGGUACUAGAGAGUUUUCUUCAGAGCAUCGAUCGCCACUUUGUCGCUGAUCCCGGUGACUCUUGCCAUUACUAGCUUGAAUCUGUUCAUGAACUCGCGAAGUGGCUCAUCUUCUCUUUGAGACAGGCUCCAGAGAUCGACGUCCGAGGUUUCUCUGUCCAUGAACAUGGAAUACUGCUUGAGAAACUCUGAAGCAAGUUGGCGGAAACUUCCGAUGGAAUUUCAUUUUAGGCGAGAAGACCAUUCGAGCGCGGCUCCUUUGAGGUUUUCGACGAAGAGGAGGCAGUAGCCAGCGUCUUGUUCGCGUUCCUUGAGUUUCCACCUCCCCAUCGAGAUAUGGAAAGAAUGCAGGUGCGCUUUCGGGUCGGUGGUGCCAUCAUAGAUGGGAAUUUUGAUCUUCCCCGGGUCCGAGACGUUGGUCUCAGUAAUCUGGGCAGUGAACGGGGUUUUACGUGCUUCCUCGAGAAGUCUGUCGAUCUCGGGUGCAGCGCUUGUCGCGUGGUGGAUUUGUGAUUUCACCGCUUUCACCUCCGCUGCGAUUUUUGCUAUGUACUCGCGGAGAUCGUGGAUCUCAUCAGGAUUUCUGACAGCCGUGCGAGCUUGUCUGUGUUGGCCGCGGUGGAUCCUGGCCUGCUUCUCGGCCAGCUCCUCCUGUUCUACCCAAUAGAGGUUUUCUUCUUCCUCAGUCAUGGGUUUUUAGAAGGACGCGUCCUGCCGAGCAGACUGCCUUCGCGUUCUUCUUGUGUGGAUGUCAGCACCGUCGUCCAAGUGAUCGGACUGGUCGCUUAUAUCCAGGUCGAUGCGCUCAAUUUCUUCUCCUUCGUUGCUCCCGGUAGGAGGUGGAAGGUUCUCCGCAGUUGGCUGUGCACCUGGCUGGAGCAUUUCAUCAGGGUUUUGGCCUGAGGAAGCCUUGUCCGCGUGUGCAGCUCGAUUGCCCGGAGUUUCGAAAUUAAGUCUUCUACCGCUGCGGGCUCUUGUUGAAGAGGAGGCAGUAGCCAGCGUCUUGUUCGCGUUCCUUGAGUUUCCACCUCCCCAUCGAGAUAUGGAAAGAAUGCAGGUGCGCUUUCGGGUCGGUGGUGCCAUCAUAGAUGGGAAUUUUGAUCUUCCCCGGGUCCGAGACGUUGGUCUCAGUAAUCUGGGCAGUGAACGGGGUUUUACGUGCUUCCUCGAGAAGUCUGUCGAUCUCGGGUGCAGCGCUUGUCGCGUGGUGGAUUUGUGAUUUCACCGCUUUCACCUCCGCUGCGAUUUUUGCUAUGUACUCGCGGAGAUCGUGGAUCUCAUCAGGAUUUCUGACAGCCGUGCGAGCUUGUCUGUGUUGGCCGCGGUGGAUCCUGGCCUGCUUCUCGGCCAGCUCCUCCUGUUCUACCCAAUAGAGGUUUUCUUCUUCCUCAGUCAUGGGUUUUUCGAAGGACGCGUCCUGCCGAGCGGACUGGCUUCGCGUUCUUCUUGGGUGGAUGUCAGCACCGUCGUCCGAGUGAUCGGACUGGUCGCUUAUAUCCAGGUCGAUGCGCUCGAUUUCUUCUCCUUCGUUGCUCCCGGUAGGAGGUGGAAGGUUCUCCGCAGUUGGCUGUGCACCUGGCUGGAGCGUUUCAUCAGGGUUUUGGCCUGAGGAAGCCUUGUCCGCGUGUGCAGCUCGAUUGCCCGGAGUUUCGAAAUCAAGUCUUCUGCCGCUGUGGGCUCUUGUGGUUCCGCACGGGGCUUUGCUCCUGGCCUUCGCCGUUAAGAUUUCCACCUGUUUUGCGAGAGAGGCCACGAGUUUUCCUUGUUCGUCCAUCUUUUUCUAAGCGGAGGCAAACAUUUCCUUCAUCUGGUCUAGUAUCGCGGUGUCAGCAGUGACCGUUGAUAUGUUUCAAGCUGGAGUUUUAUCAGUGUUGGCAUCGACGGGAGUCCCAUCGUGCGUUUGCGGGUCUUUGUCAGCGUUGGUCGUCAUAUUGGACUGAGCGUGUGUGGUUGCGAGAGAGAUAGAUCCGUACCCUCCCCUCCUUCUAGCGCCAAACUGUGGGAACCAAAAUUCACACCAUCGAGUUUUCUUAAUCGGAGUAAAGCCAAAUUAACCUAGCCUUCCCUGAAGGUCCCGGUUAUCUGCUGGGCCACGCACAACACAAUCACAAUCAAUAUGAAAGAUUCGAAAGUAAUAAAUCGUAAAAGAGCGAAAAGAGAACAAAGAGGUCUUAUUUCCGAAUUCGCGUUUGAGCGUGAACAACAGGUAAGAUCCUAGGCCACGAGAGCUGUCCGUAUGGUCGCUAGUCUAGCCACCUAAGUUCUAACCUAGUCGAGUCGCAGCUCGAUAGUAAAAACGGAAAAAUGCCUAAAUUGCUCUAAGUAUUAAGUUUGCUCUUAGAAUGCUCUUCUCUUCUCUUCGUCCUAGGUCCUCCUUAUAUACUCCUUCUUCCUUAAUCUUGCCUUGGAGGCGUACCUCCUGCUCCAGAGCGGGGAGCAAGGCAGGGGAGAAUUCAGCCACGAAGUCUGCUAGGACCUGUGACUUUAUAGCCGUGGCAGGUCGAAAUAUUACGUCGUACUCCCCUAGUUCCACGGCCCAUUUGGCUAGGCGUCCGGAGACUACCGGUUUGUGGAGGACCAACUUUACAGGGAAGGAGGUAACAAUCACAAUUGGAUGAUCCUGGAAGUAGGGUCGGAGCUUGCGAGUGGUGACUAUCACGGCUAAGGCCAGCUCCGCGUCUAGGAGAGCCUUUCUUACAUAGUAGAUUGGUAGCUACAUGUUCCCCUCCUCGCGAACUAAGAAUGCGCUCACGGCCUGUUCGGAGACUGCUAGAUAUAGCAGCCGGACUUCACCGAGUAGUGUCUUGGACAGGAGAGGAGGAGUGGUAAGAUACGAUUUCAGCUCUUGGAGGGCGGAUUCGCAUUCUCCCGUCCAGUGGAAAUCCUUCCGAUUUUUUAGAGUUCCGAAAAAGGCGUCAGAUUUUUCGGAGAGUCUGGAGAUGAAUCAGCUCAAGGCUGUCAUCCUUCCCGUUAGCUUUUGAACCUCCUUGACUUUCUUCGGGGAAGGGAUCGAGUGGAUGGCCCUGAUUUGCUCCGGGUUGGCCUCGAUGCCCCGGUGGGUUACAAUGUACCCGAGGAACUUGCCAGAGCUGACCCCGAAUGAGCAUUUAGCCGGGUUGAGCUUCAUGUUAUAUUUCCUGAGGGUGGAGAAGGCUUCCUGCAGGUGACAUAUGUGGUCUUCCGCUUCCAAGGAUUUAACCAGCAUUUCGUAAAUGUAGACCUCCACGGUUCUCCCGAUUUGGUUCGCGAACAUCAUGUUCACCAGCCGCUGAUUGGUCGAUCCAGCGUUCUUUAGGCCGAAGGGCAUAACCUUAUAGUAGUAGAGUCCUCUGGACGUCAUGAAGGAUGGUUUCUCCUAGUCUUCCGGAUGCAUGAGUAUCUGAUUAUAGCCGAAGAACGCGUCCAUGAAGCUCAUCAGCUGGUGCCCCGCGGUGGCGUCCACCAGCUUGUCGAUAUGAGGUAGCGGGAAGGGGUCCUUUGGACCGGAUUUAUUGAGGUCCGUGAAGUCAAUGCAAACUAUCCACUUCCCGUUCUUUUUCUUGACCACGACGACGUUAGCUAGCCACUCUGGAUACUGCACCUCAUGAAUGAACCCCGCGCCGAGCAGGCUCUUGACUUCAUCGUUGAUGAUCACAUCUCUCUCAGGAGCAAACUUCCGUCUCUUUUGGCUGAUGGGUUGGUGUAGGGGAUCCACCUGCAGCUUAUGCAUGAUGAUCCCCGGAUCGAUCCCAGGCAUGUAUGCGUGGGACCAAGCGAAGCAAUCGGAGUUAGACCUGAGGAAGUCUAUGAGCCUUCUUCUCAACCCUUCGGUUAGCUUGGAGCCGAUCUUGAUAUGCCGGGUCUGAUCUCCUUUGGUUAAUGGCACCUCAUCCAUUUCUUCUACCUCCGGUUCCUCGGUGUGGUGAGCCAGAGGUUUGCUAUGUAAUUCCUAUAAGACCUUGGUCUUUCCUUUCAGAGUGGUCUGAUAGCAGGCGCGGGAAUAUUCUUGAUCCCCUCUGAUCGCUUUUAUGCCCCAGGGCGUAGGGAACUUCACCAUUUGGUGAAGGGUGGAGGGGAUGGCCCCCAUUCUGUGGAUCCAGGGCCGUCCUAAGAUCAUGUUGUAGGAAGAAUCGCAAUCAACCACGAGGAAUUUGGUUGACAUGUUGACUCCUUCGACGUAUACGGGGAGGGUAAUCUCCUCUGCGGUUUGCUUGACCUCCCCGCUGAAACCUAUAAGGGGGGUUACCCUACGAGUUAGAGCCCCUUCCUCCAGCCCCAGGUCAUUGUAUGCGACCUGGAAGAUGAUGUUGCCUGAGCUUCCAUAUUGUCUACCAGUAUCCUUUUUACCAAGCAGUUCGCUAUAGUGAGCGAGAUAACCAGGGUGUCGUGGUGAGGAGAGAGAACUUUCCCCUGCUCCUUGGCCGUGAAACUUAUUUCGUCCAUCCCUAGGAGCAGGCGUUUUGGCUUGGCUGCCUCUAUGACGUGUUUGGCGUUCCAGGUGCUUUUCUUCGCGGCCGCAUGGUUUAUGCCGCUGAUUUCCGAACCGCCCGAGAUGACAUGGAUCACUUGGUCCUGUCGCGGUGGUUUUAUUUCGAGGUUUGACGUAUCUAGGCCGAGUGUGGCCGUAUUUUAUUUAUGUGUGUUAUGACCUUGCGAGGCUAUGUGAACUAUAUGUUUGAGACCGGCCGUCUGGUGGCUUUGGGUCCUAGCCGUUUUUUGCGGCUUCUAUAUAAAUGAUGAAUGAUUGACAUUCUGUAUGGGCUUACCCGUUGUCUCCUUGCUUAGAUGGCUUUUGGCCUUCUUGGAAAGGAACUCCCUGAGGUGCCCUUUACUAAGCAGCUCGUUGACCUCGAUCUUUAGUGCGACACAGUCCUCCGUUUUGUGACCGUAGUCUCGGUGGAAGUCGCACCAGAAGCCAGGAUUCCGGAAAGAGUCGGAGGCUUUCAUCUUCUGAGGCCACUUGACCUGGUGGCCCAUCUGCCUCAGAACAUUGAUAAGCUUCGGCCUUGAGACGGAGAGGUGAGACAUGUCUGGCCACGUGGACACUGCCAUCCCUUCUACCUUCUCGAUUGGCCGGUUCUGGUACCUGCCCCGUUUUCGAUUCCCGGAGUCCCUAGCUGGUCUUUGAGAUGGUUUCUCGUCUCGCUCGGUUCGGUCUGGUCUGAUCGUCUUAGGAUCUUGCUUUUGUUGCGCCUUGGCACGGCUGGCGAUGUCUUCCUCCCAUUUGACCUGCGCCCAGGCUCGAGAUAGGACGUCUUCCAUGGUUUUGCACUCGUAUUUGGUAAGCUCUUUGUAGAGGUCCCUGUCGGGGAGCAGGCCUCUCUUGAAAGCAUAGAUAGCAGUGGGGAUACUGCAUUCGGGGAUAGCCACCUUUUCUUGAUUGAAGCGGGCUAUGUAGCCUCCCAGGGGUUCCGCUCGAUGCUGGAGGAUUUCGUAGAGGUUGUCGGAGGUUUUCUCCAGGUCCCUGCUGCUGCCGAAUUGUUCCACGAACUUAUCGCUGAGGACUGGGAAGGAAUCUAUGGACCUGGAGGGCUAGUUGAUAUACCAUUGCAGAGAAGGUCCGGUCAUUUUCGCGUGACCCAUUGGGGAGUGCUUCAGCGAGCAUCAUCUGCCUGUAUUGGGCAACAUGGUCGUCCUGAUCAGUGGUGCCAUUAUACACCUUGAUACUGGGGAAAGAGAACUUCCUGGGCAUCUCAAUCAAGGUGAUCUCAUCCAUGAAGGGAGUGUCAGCGUAGGAAUCGGGGUUGCUCUUCUGUAUGGGGGGAGCUACCCCUGGGAGUCUCCCUACCAUGGAUUGCAUAGCGUCAAGCCUAUCGGAGAACAUCUGGUGAGGGUGAGCGAUCAUGGGAGACUCCGCUCUCGCUGCUCCGUCUGAUGCUUCCUUAUUAGGCCCGGGUUCCGGUCGCUGUCCUCCCUGUCAUAGGUCUGAGCGUUCUUAGCCUUUUCUCGCGUAGAUGCUUCUCCUCCCGGCGCCGCAGUUGGGAGAUUCGCGCCUGCCCCGAAGUUUGGUGUUUCCAGAGGCGGCUUGGGGAGAACCUGAGUCCGGAAUCGACGCUUCUUGUUGACCGCUGCGUUAAGGGCUUGGUUCUCGUCUCGGAGGGUAAGAUUCUCCGAUUUGAGCUGGCUGAGCUUCUCGGCGCUCUGCUCCAGUUGCUUAUAGUGUUCGUCGAGUUUUUCCUUAAGGAUUUGGAACUCCAAGGACAGCUCGGGAUUGGUAUCUUCCCGAGCUCUAUGUAACCCGGUUACUUAAUCUUUCAGGUCAUCGAUUUGUCUUUGGAGUUCAGCCUCUCUCUGAGUAGCUUCGGGUAGCUCGUCAUGCUCAUCCACCGCCAUUAUCACGUAGUUUAGAUUACUCCCCUCCUUCUAGCGCUAAACUGUUAGGGGAUUUUUGUGUAGGAUCUUUGUGAGUACUACGGAACGAUGGACAAGGCUAAUAUUUGUAUUGAUUUGCAAGUAAGAAAGUAGAAGGAGACGUUUUAUUAGAUCAAAGAGCCGGAACUACAACAGUUUUGAGUAAGAACCCUAGUUCUAUCCGCCUAGCUCUAAUCUCUAAGUCUGAAGUGCCGAUCCCUUGCUUUAGGGUCUAGAUUCCCUUUAUAUAGUCUUCUUAAGGCGGGCCUUAGUCGGUUGGAGUAGGUUAAACUCUUCCGUAUUCGGAAAUAUGGAAGGUUCUCCGUAUCGAAAGUUUUCCAUUUCCCGUAGGAAUGGGAGCGAUCCAGAGACCGAACCCGGAAAACUCCAUAGCGGGGAACCAGGGUUCCUUCCAGCGGGGAUCCUGGGAACCGGGAUUCCUUCCAGUGGGGAUCCAGAGGCCGGUGUUCCUUCCAGCGGGGAUCCUGGGAACCGGGGUUCCUCCCAGUGGGGAUCCAAAGGCCGGUGUCCUGCCUGGGAUCUGGAGGAAUUCAAUACCUGAGUAUUUUUCCCCAACAUUUAGUACUAUCUGCAAUCAGAAAGUUUAGAAUUGUGCUAAAGAGUGGUUAGAUAUCUAGCAAAAUCUAAAAGUUCACAAUCCCCUUCUUGACUCAAUAAUAACAUAAUUUUGAAAACAUUUUAAUAAGACUAAUAAGUAGAUAAAUAUCAGUAAACCUCCCCCCAGAAUUAAACUACACUGUCCCCAGUAUAAACUCAGUCGGAGUUAUGGUGAGAACUAAAUCAUAAGGACUCAAUUUAACAAGUAAGAACGAUAUACCAGACCGGAAUGGAUGUCGACCGAUGUAGGGUUGUUGAUAUCGGUCGAUGCAGGUAUGGCCAUGUCGAUUGAUUUCGACAAUUACGCGUUGGUCGAUACUGAUGGCAAUCGUCGACUCGGUUCUACUUUUUUUUUAUGACCUGCAAUAAUUAAAAACCAACAUAAAUAGUAUAUCAAUAAAAACUAAAUAAAUAUUACCUAAUAGUGGGUUGCCUCCCACUCAGCGCUUUGUUAUAGUCAUUUAGCUUGACUUUGGAGGUGAUUUGGUUAGUAAUGUUGAGAACUGAGACUUGUUGGAAAACAAGUAUCCAUCUCUUCUUUGCGCUUGUUGAACCAUGUACCAGUGAAGUCUCUCAUAGCUUCAUCCCCUCUACGCCAUUUUUCUUUCAUUGUUACAGUUGUGUUUUCCAUUCGCUGCAACCUUUCUUCAAGAUUCUCCAGGUUGAACCGAUGUCUCCUAAGUGUGGCGUAAGUCUCAGCUGAGAUCUCCUCUCCAUGGUAAUGUGUGUUGGACGUGUCUGAUGUCAUCUUUGGUACUAGCCGUCCUCGAUUUUUAGCGUCGUCGACCGAUGUUCGAUGGCGAAUGUUUGUCGAUAUGUUGUUGGAUGUGUCGAUCGAUAACGAUGCUUCUGGUCGACGGGCUAUGUAACUCUGAAUCUCCACCAAUUCCCUUUGUAUAGCUUCAAUCUUGGAUGUCAAAGCACCGAUGCUAAGAUCCAUUGGGAAAUAGAUGUCAUCACAUCUCCCAUCGAGCCUCUCUUCUGUAGUUUCCAGAGCUCUAUAAAUUUAUUCUACCAACUGAUCUAUCUCUUCUCUGGUGUGAAAGUUCUGUGGUGGCUGCAUCGGAUGUGAAUGUGGUGAACUGGUGUCGAUCGAUGCUGGUAAGCGUGGGUCGAUCGAUGCUGGUAAGCGACAAUCGAUCGAUGAAUGAUGACGUCUGUCAAUCGAUGUCUGGCGAGAAGCUUCGGUUGCUCGCUGAAUUUUGGCUAUGUCUUGCUUCAUCUCCUCCAUGCAAGUAGUUAACCAACCGAUACUAUCAUUUAAUGGAUAGUAGACACCAUCAAGCUUCAUCUGGAAAGCUUCUUUGUUCUUCUCGUGUUCUCCACAGACUCCAUAGAACAUCUCAUUAAUCUCGUCCGUGGUGUAGAUCUCUGGUACCAGCUUGGUCUGUGUGAAUAAGUUAGCAUGCUCAGGAAGACAUAUGCAGCUUGGCUCAUCUCUUGAAGCUCUUUCCAGAAUUUUUAUGAUAUUCGUGUUGUGAAGACGAAUGGUGUUUUCAUCUAGAUCUCUGGCGUAUCUCUGAUCAUCUCUGAAGACUCCAUACUCAUCUUUCUCCUCCCAAUAAAAUUUCCUGUUACCAUAGAGAUCAUAAGCUCUUCUGCCGAAUUAUGGCUGUCUGUCGACCGAUGUUGGCACGGCAACGUCGAUCGAUGGUUGAGUUGGAUGGCGAGAUUUUUGUAUGAAGUUGUUGUCUAUGCCACCAGCUGUGUCAUAGAACUCCUUUGUAGCCUUAUGUUCUGGAUUGUUGUGGUGAUGCAUGAACAGAUUGUCUGCUCCAUUGGCUGUCUAAAGGAUAUUUGCGAUAUCUUUGCGAGAUAGGUGUAGUGUACUGCCGUCUAUUGCUUUUGCGUAGCCAUCAGGGUCCCUGAAAAUACCAAAUUCAUCUGGAGUUAGAAACUGGUGAUCGAAUUUAUCUUUUUCUCUUACAGUGGUGUUUGGUAUUGGACGGUUGUCGAUCGAUGUUGCAUUGUUGUUGUCGAUCGAUUGUUGGUGAUGUGUGUCGAUCGAUGGGCGGAUUGCUCUGUCGAUCGGAUGGCUGAAACGAGUUCUUUCCAAAGCAGCUACUGCUCUAAUCUGAUCUGUUCCAUCGCGUUUUUGCAUGUUGAGCAGCUCCUCGUCUGUGAACUUGUCACGUAUAUUAUCUGCUCCUGGUGCGUAGGUUGAUGUUUCUACUGCGAAGCUUUCGUGGUGGUCUUCAUCUGCCUAACUGCCAAUCGAGUAGUCUCCUUCUCGUGCACGGUUGACGUUAGUGUCGAUCGAUUUGCAGUAGGCAGUAUCGAUCGAUGUUCGUUUUUGGAAUCGUUGAUGAGGUUGAGUGUCGGUCGAUGGCCAAGUUGUCAUGUCGAUCGAUGGUGAAUUCCUUUUCCAGGAGGAAUGAUGUAAUAGUUUAUCUUCCACAUCAAGGAUGGCUCUGUACUCAGCAGCUCGUUCCUCCUCAUAGUCUUCAUCAUACUCUUAUGUAUGCAUAUUUUGUCUGGCGUAUGCGGCAAUAGCGGGAUUAUAGUAGUCGUUAUCCCAAUCAUCUGGACGACUAUCGACCGAUUCUUCUUGUGGUAUGUCGGUCAAUUUCUGGUGACCACUGUCGAUCGAUGUUGCAGUGUGAGUUUCGAUCGACGCCGAGUAAUCGGUUUCGUACUCGUUUUCACAGUGGCAAGCUGCAAUGACUCCUGAAUCAUUGAUUCUUCUGGAGAUCGAAUGUGGCAUCUUGACUGGUAUAGGGUCGUAGUGGGCAUUAGGAUCGAUGAGUGUUAGACACAACUGGUUGGUUUGCAUGUUGCACACUGCUCCCACUGUUGACAAGAAAACUCUCCCAAGUAGUAGAGAGGAGUUCCAGUUUAACUUGAUGUCCAAGACAUGGAAAUCAACUGGAACUAGGGCAUUAUUAAUCUGCACCUCUAGGUCUCUCACAAUUCCUCCUGACUUCUUCUGGGAACAAUCCAGAAAAGUGAAUAAUUCCUGCGAAGGCUCCACCUGCAGACCCAGAUGGUCUGCUAUAACCUUAGGUAGGAUGCUGACUGAUGCUCCUGUGUCGCACAAGGCAUGUGGGAACUCAAUACCCUUCACCGUGCGUGGUAUUGCAAAUUUUCCAGGAUACCCUUCAUCCUCAUCUUUUCUCUAGCUUCAUAGAACAUUCUCCUGAUGUCUUCUUAUUUCUCCCUUGUCUCUCUGAAGAACAUCCAAAAUAUGUGGGUAUAAUAAGCAUCCUCGAAUGGCUUAUCUAUAGGAAUCCUGAAGACUCUCUUCCAAAAACUUUCAUUUUCCUUAUCAUUGGCCCCCCUCUUCAGAUGUUUCGCCACUUUUUCCUUUCUUCUCCUUAGGGUUCUUCCAGUAGGAACCCUAUCCUCUUCCAUAGGAUCUUCUCCAUCAUCUGAAGGUGUCCUGACGGGCUUUGGUGGGUGUUCUGAAGGUUUGGGUUUGGGCCUGAGUGCAUUGAGUCGUGCAACAUCUAUCUUUGGCAUCUGCACUCGGUAGGUAAUAGGUGCUCGUCUAUCGAUAGGCGCUGGAGGUUAUCGAUCGAUGGCGCCUCUGAGUGUCGAUCGAUGGAUGAUUGUCCGUGUCGAUCGAUGGAGGUAUCAGCUCGUAGAGCGAUUCUGACUUUAUCAGGGCUGGGCGGAUGUGGGUGUUUUGCUGCGAACUCAUCGUGAAUUAGAAUCUUCAUGGCAUUGCAAGAUGCAGCUGACUCCGUAGGCGUCGUCGAUCGAUGCUCUGGAGUUCAUGUCGAUCGAUUUGGACUGAUGUAUGUCGAUCGAUGUUGGUGGUCUGGAAUCGAUUGACACCAUUGCGAUCCGCCGAGACUCAUCAAACUUUCUACCUCGAAAUCUCCUUCUUGCAGCUUCUCUUCCUUCACCACUUGCCAAAAAUCAUCCUCAAUGAUGGCAUUCACGUGGUGUUCAUCACAUCAUCCCCUACUCCUCUUGUCGAGGUUUCCUGCCUCUUAACAGCAUCUCCUGUCUGCACAACCUUCAUCUCCAGCUUCUUCAUAUGAGUGCUCAAAGUCUCAAACUUUGUGUUCAGGUUGGUGUAGACAGAAUAUAUCUUCCCAUUGAAGUCCACUGUCAUUCGUUGCUGUGCCUCAAGAACCCUAUCGAGCAUCUCUUCAAUCUUGCUCUCUUGAGUAGGCGGCGGUGGGUUCUGCUAGUAGGAACUUCCAUAAUUCAUGUUGUUGUCGUAGCUGUUGUUGUAGGGUUUCUGGUACUGUGAAUUUUGGUUGAAGUUACUCCUAUUUCCAUAGGAGUUUCUGUUUCCACCCUGGUUUCCAGAACCUUGGAAUCCAGUUCCACCAAUGUAGUUCACCUCUUUUUCAUCUCCUCUACCCUCUACAGCUUCUGCAUCUUCAACAAAGCUAACCUGCUUCCUGAGAAGUUUGUGAACACUAUCCAGCUUUGCCUUCACCUCAUCCAUCUGAUCGUUCCCAAGGAUGGUGGCAGAUCUUUUCCUCUCAAAAUCAGUGUUCUUGGUGCUAUUGCUGGAUGCUAGGUUUUCAAUAACCUUGACUGCCUGCUCUGGAUUCCAGGUGUUGAAGUUUCCAUUGCUAGAAGCAUCAAGAGCCAUUUGGUACUGCACCGCGAUGCCUCUGUAGAAAGUACUGAGCAGUUGUACUUCAUUGAAUCCAUGGUGUGGACAAUCUCUCUGAUAAGACUUGAAUCUGAUCCAAGAGCCCCUAAAUGAUUCUACAGGCUCCUAAAUGAAUGUAGCAAUCUUGCUUCUCAAGUCUUCAGCACGCGCUUCAUCAAAGAAAUUGCAUAAGAAUGCAUUUUUUAUGUCGCUCCAGGAUUUAAGAGAUCCUGGUUGUAACUACUUGAUGCUUUUGUUGCGCCUUGGCACGGCUGGCGAUGUCUUCCUCCCAUUUGACCUGCGCCCAGGCUCGAGAUAGGACGUCUUCCAUGGUUUUGCACUCGUAUUUGGUAAGCUCUUUGUAGAGGUCCCUGUCGGGGAGCAGGCCUCUCUUGAAAGCAUAGAUAGCAGUGGGGAUACUGCAUUCGGGGAUAGCCACCUUUUCUUGAUUGAAGCGGGCUAUGUAGCCUCCCAGGGGUUCCGCUCGAUGCUGGAGGAUUUCGUAGAGGUUGUCGGAGGUUUUCUCCAGGUCCCUGCUGCUGCCGAAUUGUUCCACGAACUUAUCGCUGAGGACUGGGAAGGAAUCUAUGGACCUGGAGGGCUAGUUGAUAUACCAUUGCAGAGAAGGUCCGGUCAUUUUCGCGUGACCCAUUGGGGAGUGCUUCAGCGAGCAUCAUCUGCCUGUAUUGGGCAACAUGGUCGUCCUGAUCAGUGGUGCCAUUAUACACCUUGAUACUGGGGAAAGAGAACUUCCUGGGCAUCUCAAUCAAGGUGAUCUCAUCCAUGAAGGGAGUGUCAGCGUAGGAAUCGGGGUUGCUCUUCUGUAUGGGGGGAGCUACCCCUGGGAGUCUCCCUACCAUGGAUUGCAUAGCGUCAAGCCUAUCGGAGAACAUCUGGUGAGGGUGAGCGAUCAUGGGAGACUCCGCUCUCGCUGCUCCGUCUGAUGCUUCCUUAUUAGGCCCGGGUUCCGGUCGCUGUCCUCCCUGUCAUAGGUCUGAGCGUUCUUAGCCUUUUCUCGCGUAGAUGCUUCUCCUCCCGGCGCCGCAGUUGGGAGAUUCGCGCCUGCCCCGAAGUUUGGUGUUUCCAGAGGCGGCUUGGGGAGAACCUGAGUCCGGAAUCGACGCUUCUUGUUGACCGCUGCGUUAAGGGCUUGGUUCUCGUCUCGGAGGGUAAGAUUCUCCGAUUUGAGCUGGCUGAGCUUCUCGGCGCUCUGCUCCAGUUGCUUAUAGUGUUCGUCGAGUUUUUCCUUAAGGAUUUGGAACUCCAAGGACAGCUCGGGAUUGGUAUCUUCCCGAGCUCUAUGUAACCCGGUUACUUAAUCUUUCAGGUCAUCGAUUUGUCUUUGGAGUUCAGCCUCUCUCUGAGUAGCUUCGGGUAGCUCGUCAUGCUCAUCCACCGCCAUUAUCACGUAGUUUAGAUUACUCCCCUCCUUCUAGCGCUAAACUGUUAGGGGAUUUUUGUGUAGGAUCUUUGUGAGUACUACGGAACGAUGGACAAGGCUAAUAUUUGUAUUGAUUUGCAAGUAAGAAAGUAGAAGGAGACGUUUUAUUAGAUCAAAGAGCCGGAACUACAACAGUUUUGAGUAAGAACCCUAGUUCUAUCCGCCUAGCUCUAAUCUCUAAGUCUGAAGUGCCGAUCCCUUGCUUUAGGGUCUAGAUUCCCUUUAUAUAGUCUUCUUAAGGCGGGCCUUAGUCGGUUGGAGUAGGUUAAACUCUUCCGUAUUCGGAAAUAUGGAAGGUUCUCCGUAUCGAAAGUUUUCCAUUUCCCGUAGGAAUGGGAGCGAUCCAGAGACCGAACCCGGAAAACUCCAUAGCGGGGAACCAGGGUUCCUUCCAGCGGGGAUCCUGGGAACCGGGAUUCCUUCCAGUGGGGAUCCAGAGGCCGGUGUUCCUUCCAGCGGGGAUCCUGGGAACCGGGGUUCCUCCCAGUGGGGAUCCAAAGGCCGGUGUCCUGCCUGGGAUCUGGAGGAAUUCAAUACCUGAGUAUUUUUCCCCAACAUUUAGUACUAUCUGCAAUCAGAAAGUUUAGAAUUGUGCUAAAGAGUGGUUAGAUAUCUAGCAAAAUCUAAAAGUUCACAAUCCCCUUCUUGACUCAAUAAUAACAUAAUUUUGAAAACAUUUUAAUAAGACUAAUAAGUAGAUAAAUAUCAGUAAACCUCCCCCCAGAAUUAAACUACACUGUCCCCAGUAUAAACUCAGUCGGAGUUAUGGUGAGAACUAAAUCAUAAGGACUCAAUUUAACAAGUAAGAACGAUAUACCAGACCGGAAUGGAUGUCGACCGAUGUAGGGUUGUUGAUAUCGGUCGAUGCAGGUAUGGCCAUGUCGAUUGAUUUCGACAAUUACGCGUUGGUCGAUACUGAUGGCAAUCGUCGACUCGGUUCUACUUUUUUUUUAUGACCUGCAAUAAUUAAAAACCAACAUAAAUAGUAUAUCAAUAAAAACUAAAUAAAUAUUACCUAAUAGUGGGUUGCCUCCCACUCAGCGCUUUGUUAUAGUCAUUUAGCUUGACUUUGGAGGUGAUUUGGUUAGUAAUGUUGAGAACUGAGACUUGUUGGAAAACAAGUAUCCAUCUCUUCUUUGCGCUUGUUGAACCAUGUACCAGUGAAGUCUCUCAUAGCUUCAUCCCCUCUACGCCAUUUUUCUUUCAUUGUUACAGUUGUGUUUUCCAUUCGCUGCAACCUUUCUUCAAGAUUCUCCAGGUUGAACCGAUGUCUCCUAAGUGUGGCGUAAGUCUCAGCUGAGAUCUCCUCUCCAUGGUAAUGUGUGUUGGACGUGUCUGAUGUCAUCUUUGGUACUAGCCGUCCUCGAUUUUUAGCGUCGUCGACCGAUGUUCGAUGGCGAAUGUUUGUCGAUAUGUUGUUGGAUGUGUCGAUCGAUAACGAUGCUUCUGGUCGACGGGCUAUGUAACUCUGAAUCUCCACCAAUUCCCUUUGUAUAGCUUCAAUCUUGGAUGUCAAAGCACCGAUGCUAAGAUCCAUUGGGAAAUAGAUGUCAUCACAUCUCCCAUCGAGCCUCUCUUCUGUAGUUUCCAGAGCUCUAUAAAUUUAUUCUACCAACUGAUCUAUCUCUUCUCUGGUGUGAAAGUUCUGUGGUGGCUGCAUCGGAUGUGAAUGUGGUGAACUGGUGUCGAUCGAUGCUGGUAAGCGUGGGUCGAUCGAUGCUGGUAAGCGACAAUCGAUCGAUGAAUGAUGACGUCUGUCAAUCGAUGUCUGGCGAGAAGCUUCGGUUGCUCGCUGAAUUUUGGCUAUGUCUUGCUUCAUCUCCUCCAUGCAAGUAGUUAACCAACCGAUACUAUCAUUUAAUGGAUAGUAGACACCAUCAAGCUUCAUCUGGAAAGCUUCUUUGUUCUUCUCGUGUUCUCCACAGACUCCAUAGAACAUCUCAUUAAUCUCGUCCGUGGUGUAGAUCUCUGGUACCAGCUUGGUCUGUGUGAAUAAGUUAGCAUGCUCAGGAAGACAUAUGCAGCUUGGCUCAUCUCUUGAAGCUCUUUCCAGAAUUUUUAUGAUAUUCGUGUUGUGAAGACGAAUGGUGUUUUCAUCUAGAUCUCUGGCGUAUCUCUGAUCAUCUCUGAAGACUCCAUACUCAUCUUUCUCCUCCCAAUAAAAUUUCCUGUUACCAUAGAGAUCAUAAGCUCUUCUGCCGAAUUAUGGCUGUCUGUCGACCGAUGUUGGCACGGCAACGUCGAUCGAUGGUUGAGUUGGAUGGCGAGAUUUUUGUAUGAAGUUGUUGUCUAUGCCACCAGCUGUGUCAUAGAACUCCUUUGUAGCCUUAUGUUCUGGAUUGUUGUGGUGAUGCAUGAACAGAUUGUCUGCUCCAUUGGCUGUCUAAAGGAUAUUUGCGAUAUCUUUGCGAGAUAGGUGUAGUGUACUGCCGUCUAUUGCUUUUGCGUAGCCAUCAGGGUCCCUGAAAAUACCAAAUUCAUCUGGAGUUAGAAACUGGUGAUCGAAUUUAUCUUUUUCUCUUACAGUGGUGUUUGGUAUUGGACGGUUGUCGAUCGAUGUUGCAUUGUUGUUGUCGAUCGAUUGUUGGUGAUGUGUGUCGAUCGAUGGGCGGAUUGCUCUGUCGAUCGGAUGGCUGAAACGAGUUCUUUCCAAAGCAGCUACUGCUCUAAUCUGAUCUGUUCCAUCGCGUUUUUGCAUGUUGAGCAGCUCCUCGUCUGUGAACUUGUCACGUAUAUUAUCUGCUCCUGGUGCGUAGGUUGAUGUUUCUACUGCGAAGCUUUCGUGGUGGUCUUCAUCUGCCUAACUGCCAAUCGAGUAGUCUCCUUCUCGUGCACGGUUGACGUUAGUGUCGAUCGAUUUGCAGUAGGCAGUAUCGAUCGAUGUUCGUUUUUGGAAUCGUUGAUGAGGUUGAGUGUCGGUCGAUGGCCAAGUUGUCAUGUCGAUCGAUGGUGAAUUCCUUUUCCAGGAGGAAUGAUGUAAUAGUUUAUCUUCCACAUCAAGGAUGGCUCUGUACUCAGCAGCUCGUUCCUCCUCAUAGUCUUCAUCAUACUCUUAUGUAUGCAUAUUUUGUCUGGCGUAUGCGGCAAUAGCGGGAUUAUAGUAGUCGUUAUCCCAAUCAUCUGGACGACUAUCGACCGAUUCUUCUUGUGGUAUGUCGGUCAAUUUCUGGUGACCACUGUCGAUCGAUGUUGCAGUGUGAGUUUCGAUCGACGCCGAGUAAUCGGUUUCGUACUCGUUUUCACAGUGGCAAGCUGCAAUGACUCCUGAAUCAUUGAUUCUUCUGGAGAUCGAAUGUGGCAUCUUGACUGGUAUAGGGUCGUAGUGGGCAUUAGGAUCGAUGAGUGUUAGACACAACUGGUUGGUUUGCAUGUUGCACACUGCUCCCACUGUUGACAAGAAAACUCUCCCAAGUAGUAGAGAGGAGUUCCAGUUUAACUUGAUGUCCAAGACAUGGAAAUCAACUGGAACUAGGGCAUUAUUAAUCUGCACCUCUAGGUCUCUCACAAUUCCUCCUGACUUCUUCUGGGAACAAUCCAGAAAAGUGAAUAAUUCCUGCGAAGGCUCCACCUGCAGACCCAGAUGGUCUGCUAUAACCUUAGGUAGGAUGCUGACUGAUGCUCCUGUGUCGCACAAGGCAUGUGGGAACUCAAUACCCUUCACCGUGCGUGGUAUUGCAAAUUUUCCAGGAUACCCUUCAUCCUCAUCUUUUCUCUAGCUUCAUAGAACAUUCUCCUGAUGUCUUCUUAUUUCUCCCUUGUCUCUCUGAAGAACAUCCAAAAUAUGUGGGUAUAAUAAGCAUCCUCGAAUGGCUUAUCUAUAGGAAUCCUGAAGACUCUCUUCCAAAAACUUUCAUUUUCCUUAUCAUUGGCCCCCCUCUUCAGAUGUUUCGCCACUUUUUCCUUUCUUCUCCUUAGGGUUCUUCCAGUAGGAACCCUAUCCUCUUCCAUAGGAUCUUCUCCAUCAUCUGAAGGUGUCCUGACGGGCUUUGGUGGGUGUUCUGAAGGUUUGGGUUUGGGCCUGAGUGCAUUGAGUCGUGCAACAUCUAUCUUUGGCAUCUGCACUCGGUAGGUAAUAGGUGCUCGUCUAUCGAUAGGCGCUGGAGGUUAUCGAUCGAUGGCGCCUCUGAGUGUCGAUCGAUGGAUGAUUGUCCGUGUCGAUCGAUGGAGGUAUCAGCUCGUAGAGCGAUUCUGACUUUAUCAGGGCUGGGCGGAUGUGGGUGUUUUGCUGCGAACUCAUCGUGAAUUAGAAUCUUCAUGGCAUUGCAAGAUGCAGCUGACUCCGUAGGCGUCGUCGAUCGAUGCUCUGGAGUUCAUGUCGAUCGAUUUGGACUGAUGUAUGUCGAUCGAUGUUGGUGGUCUGGAAUCGAUUGACACCAUUGCGAUCCGCCGAGACUCAUCAAACUUUCUACCUCGAAAUCUCCUUCUUGCAGCUUCUCUUCCUUCACCACUUGCCAAAAAUCAUCCUCAAUGAUGGCAUUCACGUGGUGUUCAUCACAUCAUCCCCUACUCCUCUUGUCGAGGUUUCCUGCCUCUUAACAGCAUCUCCUGUCUGCACAACCUUCAUCUCCAGCUUCUUCAUAUGAGUGCUCAAAGUCUCAAACUUUGUGUUCAGGUUGGUGUAGACAGAAUAUAUCUUCCCAUUGAAGUCCACUGUCAUUCGUUGCUGUGCCUCAAGAACCCUAUCGAGCAUCUCUUCAAUCUUGCUCUCUUGAGUAGGCGGCGGUGGGUUCUGCUAGUAGGAACUUCCAUAAUUCAUGUUGUUGUCGUAGCUGUUGUUGUAGGGUUUCUGGUACUGUGAAUUUUGGUUGAAGUUACUCCUAUUUCCAUAGGAGUUUCUGUUUCCACCCUGGUUUCCAGAACCUUGGAAUCCAGUUCCACCAAUGUAGUUCACCUCUUUUUCAUCUCCUCUACCCUCUACAGCUUCUGCAUCUUCAACAAAGCUAACCUGCUUCCUGAGAAGUUUGUGAACACUAUCCAGCUUUGCCUUCACCUCAUCCAUCUGAUCGUUCCCAAGGAUGGUGGCAGAUCUUUUCCUCUCAAAAUCAGUGUUCUUGGUGCUAUUGCUGGAUGCUAGGUUUUCAAUAACCUUGACUGCCUGCUCUGGAUUCCAGGUGUUGAAGUUUCCAUUGCUAGAAGCAUCAAGAGCCAUUUGGUACUGCACCGCGAUGCCUCUGUAGAAAGUACUGAGCAGUUGUACUUCAUUGAAUCCAUGGUGUGGACAAUCUCUCUGAUAAGACUUGAAUCUGAUCCAAGAGCCCCUAAAUGAUUCUACAGGCUCCUAAAUGAAUGUAGCAAUCUUGCUUCUCAAGUCUUCAGCACGCGCUUCAUCAAAGAAAUUGCAUAAGAAUGCAUUUUUUAUGUCGCUCCAGGAUUUAAGAGAUCCUGGUUGUAACUACUUGAGCCAAUGCAGAGCUUCUCCAGUAAGUGAGUACCUGAAGAGCUUGCAUAACAGGUAGUCCUCAGAGACUCCCUCGACUCUAAUAGCAAAAAUCGGAUCCUCGAACCUCUCCAGAUGGUCCAUAGGAUGCUCGAGGGAUAAUCCAUGGUAGGGUAACUGUCCCACAAGCGUGUAGUAUUGCGCUUUCAACUCAAAAUCCCUCUCGAUAGUUGUUGAGCAGAAUCGAGCGACACACAGGUGGUGUUGUCGGUCGAUGAGGAGUGCGCUUCCUUGCGGAUCGAACGUUCCAAACUUGCAUGAUCUGGUGAGAAUAGCAGUUGAGUUUCCUUAUUGCUUCUGGUACUGUUGGGCAUGUACCUGAAAAGCCAAGAAACUUUUAUGUCAGAAACUUAACAAAAAUUAGAUAAAUAUGCGAUCAAAGCUCCCCGGCAACGGGGCCAAAUUUGAUACCACUCAAAUUACCCUAAGGAGUGAUUUAUACUCUCUCAAAUAAGAGGUCGAGUUGUAGUACUUAGAGAUCGAAUUCACAGGGGGGCUAGGGAACCUAGGAAAUCUAAUAUGAUUUGUUAAGCAAGAUUGGUUUUAGAGUUUUUAAAUAUAAAUUGCAGUUUUUAUAUUGAACAAGUAUUUUCUCAAUAGCUGGUUUGAGGUUUUGGUGCUUAAAAAUGAAAUAGUUAGACUAAGGAUUUUAAUUCAGGAAACUUGGGAUUAUAAACCUACAGAUGCCUAAUGAGUUGCAUGCAUGAUAAUGUAAAGCUCAACUACUUAGUCUACAAGUCCAUCAGUGUUCGCAAUGUUUGGACUCGUCUAUUAACUAGAUCUAUAGAUCUCAACUGUCGUAUUUUGAUCAAUAGAAAGUGUCGAUCGAUAAUCCUAUAGGGAUAUCGAUCGAUACACCUUUUGCACCGCCGAUCGAUUAUUCAAGUGUGAUAUCGAUCGACGUGCUCUAGUCAAGUUUUAUGCGCGGGUUGAAUGAAAGCUUACUAAGCUCACUAGAUCAGCUCUCGCCUUGCUCAUAGCAAGAAACAUAGCUCUAUUAGAAUGUUUUCAGGAUGAGAAUAAAGCUCUCGCUUUUAUCAAUCAAACCCAAGGGUAGGUUCUAGGUAGCUAAUCUAGACACAAGCAUUAAUGAACAAUCCUAAAGAUGAUUAUCACAACUCAGCAAUCUAUAGUUGGGGCUAAUCCCUCCUAACCUAUUUAAACCCUAAAAUCUAACAAUGGAACUACUCAAACAUGGCUAAUCAAUUCAUAACAGCAGUUAAUAUUAAAAACUUCAUUAGAAUAGUAAAUAGAUAUCAAUGGAGUUCCAAUCAGAAAUUAUAACUUUGGAUCUUCUCUCCAAUCUAUCAAAAUCCUAAAAACCUUUGUUGUGAAAAUCUUAAAACUAGAAAAGCACACUUUACCUCUAACAUGGCGGCAAAGCUUAUAUAAUUAGGGUAAAACUCGUCAGGGGUAAUCUUGUAAAAAGGUGAAGACUUGGGCUUCAAGUUGGCUGUGACCAAACGGGCUUUCUGCGCGCUUCGCUGUCGAUCAAUACACAGAUGUGAGUAUCGAUCGAUUAUUUCUCUCCAAUCGGUCGAGCUCGAUGGUCAUCUCGGGUGCUUGCUCCAAAUAUCUCCAAAACGCUCCAAAAUCAUCAUUUAUCUCCAAAACACUCCUGAUCUUAUAAAUAUAAUAAAUAGACUCUAUAAUAUAAUAGUUAUUAGUAAAAACACCUAUAAACUAUGGAUGAAAAUGGAUCAAAUCCAUAGUCUAUCAACUUUCCAUUAAGCCGAUCUUUACAUUGUGAUACUUAUUAUUAGAGUUUUACCAAGAGUAGUUUGUAUACUACUAAUUCAGGAUAUUGGAUGGCAAGACAUAGACUCAAGACUGGAGAAGAUGUUUUUUACAUUGAACCUAAUAUCGCAAAGCUCCAAGACUUUGCUUGAAAGUUAAAGACUCCUCAAAAUUUUAUCAUUUUACAUGGCAGCUAAUCACAGGACAUGUAGAUGUCACAAGAAAUUUGAGUCGUCACCAUAGCGAUGUGACAAUAUUUGUCUAAGAUGUGGGGAAACUGAUGAGUCUGUAACUCAAGCUAUUCUUCAAUAUCAACCAUUGCUUCAAGCGUGGGAUCUAGCAUCUACACCAUCUCAUCCAAAUAUAUUUCCAGUUUCCAGCAUAUACACUAACAUGAAUUAUCUUUUUUAGAAGAAUAAUAGUACCGAAGAUCUGGAAAUUAACAUAGACUUUAUCCAUGGAUACUUUGGUAUCUUUGGAAAGUAAGUUAUGAUAAACUAUUCAUAGCGAUUGAUAAAGAACCAAUUGAACUGAUCAGAUAUGUAGAAGGAGAAUGCCAAGCAUGGUUCACGACAAAUGAACCAACUAGUGAUUUGAUCCAAACAGCAGUAGCAACAUCUCAAGGCUUACACUUAGAGAAUAUAUGUUUGGUAUAUGGGUUUUGGACCUCUACAUCGAUUUUUAGUGGAUGUGGGUGGAUGUGCAAAGAUAGCACUGAUCAAACACAAUUUAUGGGUUUAAAAAAUAAAAGACGAAGAGAAUAUGCAUUGCAAAUUUGCAGUUGGAAGCGCUACGCUGGGUAAUGGAAAUCAUGUUGUAUCAUUCCACAUUUCAGUACUUGGGACAUAAAGUAAAGACUUGAUAACGAUGUUACUGGAACCUUAUGCAUGGCCGAAUUUCUCAACAGAGUUGUAGAAGAUAUAAGAAUUGGAGAAAAAAUUCCAUAAUUUCAGGGAUAUUCCAUAUUCUCGGAAACAAAAUGGGACGCAUAUUUCUUAGCCAGAACAGCUCGAUUUAGAGAAUAAAUGUAUUCUUUUUAAUCACAAGUUUAAUGUAUUAAUAAAAAUAGCUAUCCAAGAUAAAUUUGAAAAGUUAAUGAAAGUUGUGGUAAAACAGGAAUUCCACAGAGAUAGGAAAGCAACUGGAUAAACUGUAUUCAGAAUCAUUAUACAAUUGUUAGUUCUUUCUUCUCUUCAAGCAACGGGAUAAAAUAGGAAAGCCAGAAGCUUGUUUUCUGAAACCAAUGCUAAAUGGCCAAGACUCUGUUCAGCCUACAGUGAGCAGAACCAAAUCAAACUCUUUCAGCUCCACAUUAUACUUAACUGCUACUUAAGUUAUAGAGCAGCAAGCAAAAGCACAACUAAAAACAAAACAAGACAGCAUUUAGUAGAACAUCUCUUCAUAUAUCUAUUUUAUAUAUGAAUCUAUUACCUCAAAUAAUUUCAGAGAGUUUAUCCAUUAAUAAUCCUGUUUACUACACUUUGAAAUAGACAAAAGAAGCUGAUGAUAUAGAAGAUGACGGUUACAGAAGACGGUGAUGAUAGUAGGGAAGAUGAUUCGAUUUGUCCGGUUGAGAAAAAGAAGAAAUGCUUUAGCGUAUUGACAACCACAUGAUAAAAAAACAUGCUAGUAAACGACAAAAAAAAAAAAAAAGGAUUAGGCUUUAGCGUUACUACAACAACCUCACUGGUCUUAUCUUUUUUCUUCUCCUUCCUUCCUCUCCCAAUCAAUGGCUUCUCUUACCUCCUUUUCUUCUCUCCUUCAACCAAAAGUCUCUUUUUCUUCUACCCUUAAACCAAAAGCUGUAAAGACUUCGACUUCAGCUCCUCAGACCCAGACAAUAACUGAAGGGCUUGAAGAAAAAUUUGGACGAAAGGGCAUAAAGUUCUCGGAACCAAACAUGGUCGAGCUGAAGGUCAGAAACGGAAGCUCUUUAAAGCUGAGUCUAGCAGAUGCUCAUGUUAUUUCAUAUCAACCAAAAGUAUACUGGAAAGACGACGGAUUCGAGGAAGUCCUUUACACAGUAGAGGACAGUAAUAUAACCCGAGGCGGGGUUGGUCUUAUCAUCAUAAACGAAGAAGAAGCUUCUUCAGUACUAUCAGGUUGUAAUUGGACUGUUAAGGACACUGAUUCAGACGCCAUUGAGGCUCUUCAGGUGAGAUUUGGUACUACCUAAAUACACCCAAUCAAAUCUUUUUUUGUUGAGACAAAUGAUGAAAUCUUGUGGCUUACGUUUCUCAGAUUGAACUGAGCUGUACGGCCGGAUUUCUUGACAUAACCUACAUCGUCUCUCUCUAUCCAGUAAGCAUAGCUACAGCUGUGGUGGUGAAGAACAACGGUCGCAAACCGGUUUCCCUUAAACCGGGGAUUAUAAGUUCCUUGAUAUUCAAGAAACGGAGUGGUGCUGGAAUUCAAGGGCUUAAGGGCUGCUCCUAUUGCCCCAGUCCACCAUUAUCUUCGCCCUUCGAGCUUAUGUCUCCUUCUGAUGCAAUGAAGGCAGACUCUUCCGGGUGGUUUGGGUCAGAAGAUGGGGAAAAACCGGGGAUUUGGGCAGUUGAAGACUCUAUGAUUACACUUCUUGAGAAGAAGAUGAGUAGAGUCUAUGCUGCCCCUCCGGCUGAGAGACUAAAGGCCGUCUAUAACACUCCACCUUCUAAAUUUGAAACCAUUGAUCAGGUAAUUUUAACUUCAAUAUAUUUUUCAGGUUACUCUCUGUUCUGAUAUUAUGGUAAUUUUUCGUUUAUGCAUUUGGAUGCAACAUAUGGUUGCAAAUGGCAUGUAGUAUGGUCAAUUUGGCCUCACGUUUAAUGCUGCAUUUGGAUUCAGAACCAAUCAUCCAAGAAAAUCAGAUAUAUGUUGGAUGCAAAAUGUAUGUAGUUGUGGUGAAAAUAUGCAUUAAAACUUAAUAAAAUAGCAAUUGACAACGAGAACAUAAUUGAUUUGAAUAAUGAAUAUAUUAAUUUUAUGUCACCUUAGGUUCAAUUUUAUUUCUGAUGUUGUAUCAGACUUUCAACUAAACACUAAUUUACAUUGAACAGGUUGACUCGUCUCUUAUAUAUGAUCGUGGAUCUUUGUUUAUCGUCUAAGUGUGUGUUUAUAACAUAACUACGAAUUUAUUAGAAUCUGAUGUCUGAAGUUUAAACUUUGUAGGGACGAGGAUUGUUCUUCAGGAUGAUAAGGAUGGGGUUCGAAGACAUGUACGUGGGAUCCCCAGGAUCAAUGUGGGACAAGUUUGGGAAGCAACAUUAUUUUGUGUGCACCGGUCCUGCAUCCAUGCUCGUUCCCAUUGAUGUUGGUGCCGGUGAAACCUGGAGAGGAGCAAUGGUAAUUGAGCAUGAUAAUUUGUAAAUUUCAUUUUCUAUAUAUCUAUCGUCUUUAUUUUCUUACAUAUUUUUGUCAUUCUGCAACGAAUAAGAUGUUAUUUCAUAUUGUACAUAUGCAAAGUCAAUUAGUCAAAAAAAAAAAUAUAUAUAUAUAUAUGCAAAGUCAUAACUACAAGGAUCAUCCUCGUCCCUUUUAUAUUAAAGGAGAAGCAUUCGUGUUAAAAGUAUUCGCAUGUGGCAGGCCUCACAAAGUUUUUAGAACAAAGACGCCGUUACAAGGCUUCUCGAAAAGUUUAUUGUGUUUUAAAGACAAAUUUUCCUUAUAUACGUUUACUAAUGGAACAUAAACUUUCGGACAAAUCAAUUACGAGCCGUUCAUAUCGGCUGCAUGAGUUGAUGAGUAUCAAAGGAGAGCAGCUAAUAUUAGAUUUUUUUGUGAGCAAAUUGGGUCAAAACCCAUUGAAGAAGUCCAAAUUAGGUAAGUACCAAGAAUAGUACGGGAACCGAAAAGUUGUGGAAAAUGGAAUAUGGUUGAUGACGAAAAUGCCCUUACCACUUGCGAUUUCGACUUCCACGAGCAUAGGGAAGUAGGGUUUAUAGGUGUAUUAGAAUUAUUAAGAUUUUCCACAGAUUAUGUGUAGAUAUUAUUUAGAUAUCAAAAGAUAUUAUUAGAUUUCAUUGGUAAACAAACUUAAACAGUGGUGAGUAGUGAUAACUUCUCGUCCACAUAACUUCUGACACAAACGGCGCAAGCCAAAAACGAAUCAACCCCAAAAGAUUUGCCUCACCCCGUAACAAUGGAGCUGUUCCAGAUAAUUAACAUAUACAACUUAGCCGGCUACUACCAAAGUGACACAAAUAAUAACAUUUAGAGAAAGAUAUUUAGCUAUUUUUGAAACUUACAAUGGUGUUUUCAUUUUGUCAAGGAGAAUGGAGAGUAGUCAAUGCUACUUCUUGGGUUGUUUGACUCUGCAAACCGUCUGUCUUGCAAGGUUGAGAAACCGUUUGUCACAUUCAUAAUUUCCUAGUAGAGACUUGGGGGGUUUUUUCUGCCGUUUACUCUUCCUACAACCAAGACCAAACUCCUCGGUCUCAGGUUGAAUGUCGUCACUUCCAGCAACACCACCUCCCUCGUCUCCCCCACUAAUACAUGCACUAACGACCUUGUCCACCACCGCACGUUCCUGCAGCAUCGGUGUCGGGGCAUGUCCAGGGCUGAUAGAUUUCUUCACGGCGUUAUUGUCAUCCUCAGAUGAGCUCCCAUAUUGAACCACCUCAGCAUGACUAACUGUAGUGCUACCACGAAUCCUUUCAUGUCACAUAAGACCUAAACCCUAAAUCCUAAACCCUAAACCCUAAACCCUGAACCCUACAACUAAUCUCUAAACCCUAAAUCAUAUACCCUUGCCCCUUGUGUUGCUAACAUGGACGCCCUCAUAUCUAAUAAAUAUAGUUUACGGAUAAUGUUUAUGGUAGCUCGACCAAUACUUAUAUUGACCAGCUAGUUCCAUAAACUCGACAUGUAAAAAAAGUAAACCCAAUACCGUUAACCAUGAACCCUGAACUGUAAACCCUCAACAUACAACCCUAUACCCUUCAUUUUACAACCUUAUGUUCUAAAUUAUAUACCUAAACCCUAAACCCUAAACCCAAACCCAAACCAUAAACCUUAAACACUAAACCCUAAACCCUUAACCGUAAACCCUAAACCCUACAUGUAAUCCCUAAACCCUAAAUCAUAAAGCAUAAAUCAUAUACCCUCGCCCCUUAUGUUGCUAACAUGAACGCCGUCAUAUCUAAUAUUUUACGGAUAAUGUUUAUGGUAGCUCGACCAAUACUUAUAUUGGCCAGGUAGUUCCAUAAACUCGACAUGUAAAAGUAAACCCAAUACCGUUAACCAUAAACCCUAAACCAUGAACCGUAAACCCUGAACAUACAACCCUAUACUCUUCAUUUUACCACCUUAUGCUUAAAAUUAUAUACCUAAACCCUAAGCCCUAAACCCUAAACCUUAAACCCUAAACCUUCAACCCUACAACUAAUCCCUAAACCCUAAAUCAUAAAUCAUAAAGCGUAAAUUAUAUACCCUCGCCCCUUAUGUUGCUAACAUGGACGCCCUCAUAUAUAAUAAAUAUAUUUUACGGAUAAUGUUUAUUGUAGCUCGACCAAUACUUAUAUUAGCCAGUUAGUUCAAUAAGCUCAACAUGUAAAAGUAAACUCAAUACAUUUAACCAUAAACCCUAAACCCUGAACCGUAAACCCUCAACGUACAACCCUAUACCCUUCAUUUUACAACCUUAUGCUGAAAUUUAUAUACCCUAAACCAUAAACCCUAAACCCUAAUUCCUAAACCCUAAACCAUAAAUCAUAUACCCUUGCCGCUUAUGUUGCUAACAUGGACGCCCUCGAAUCUAAUAAAUAUAUUGUACGAAUAAUGUUUAUCGUAACUCGACCGAUAUUUAUAUUGGCCAGCUAGUUCCACAAAUUCGACACGUAAAAGUAAGCCCUAAACUCUAAACCAUAAACCCUAAACCCUGAACCGUAAACCCUCAACAUACAACCCUAUACCCUUCAUUUUACAACCUUAUGCUGAAAAUUAUAUACCUAAACCCUAAACCCUAAACACUAAAAUCAUAAACCGUAAACCGUUAACAGUAAACCGUAAACAGUAAACCGU